CUUAAUCAUGCAUAUCUUUUAGAUGUCAGUUUGUCAAACACUGAUCAUUAUCCAGUCCUUAGAAUGUUUUUAUGGUUUGUACUAUGUUCCCCCUUCACUAAUUAAGUAGUGAAUGUUUCAUCAAUUGUAAGGUGAACGAAUUGAAGUAUUACUCCAAGAAUAGCAUUUAUUCUCUUCACAUCACUUUCAACUUUCUUUCAAGUCAAAGUUCUUUCUUAACAUUCUUCUUGUUCUUAAGUUACCUUUGCAUUGAUCAUACUCAUGUUUACUUUAUUUAUUUCUUGAAUACUUUGUUAAUUGAUUAUCUAUUUUGUGGCUUGAAUGGUUUACCAAACUUGAAUGGACCAAUACAUUAGAAGCAGACAUUGAUCUUAAACGUGUUAAUUCCAGGUUUGAGUUUUUAAACCUUGUCUGCGCAUAGAUCUUGUACUUACAACUCGUAUCAGAGCUUGAGUGGUUGUCCUUUGAAUCCAUAAGAAAAGAUUAUAAUUGAUCUGAGAUUACCAUGGUAUCUCAAUCAUUUACGUGUCCAGGAUAAAAAUUAUUCUAAAUACCACUUCUGCUCUAAUACUCUUAUCUUCAAUUGCUGCUCCUAACCUGUGACAACCCGAAAUUUCUCCCGUUAUUUUUAACCAGUCUCCGCUAAUAAAAUUUGAAUUUUAUUGAUUUUCCGUCAAAAUUCUUGGGUUAGAAAAUCAACUAAUGUUAUAGUUAUAAUGCUAUACGAGUCGAAAAACCAAAAAUCACGCGAAAAAACCACACUUUCUCAAAAAUCAACGUGUGUACGGCCAGGAGGAGUUUACAGCCGUAAACUCGUGUACGGCCGUAAACCCGUUUACGGUCGGUCCCAGGUGGACCUCACCACCGACCAUACCCUCCAGCCUAUAAAUACAGGACCCCCACCCUUAUUUGAACUUUCUUGGCUGAAAACACCCACUUUCUCUCUCUAACUCUCUUGACCGUAAACACCUAAAGCCCCUUAUUUCAUCCGAAAAACACCAGAAAUCGUCAUCUGGGGCCGUUUGGGAGCAUCUGGAACACGUUUUCAUUGAAAUCAAGCACCCUUGUUCUUGAGUUUACGACCAUAAACCUUUCAAAUCUUCAAAGGCCGUAAACCCUUCAAAGGACAGUUCACGGCCAUAAACCCUGUUCACGGCCGUAAACCCAGUUCACGGCUGUAAACCCCCAUUUACGGCUGUAAAUAACUUUUAAGUGGUGAAAAGCCUGUUCCCUCGAUUCAACCAAGUACCAGUAACAUUCCUUAACCAAAAACAAGUGUUUAUCUAACACUUUAUCUAACGAAAUCGUUAAUUUAGAUACGUAUAUGUAUUUAUUGGAAUUAGGAUUCCGUUAAGUGCCUCGUGCGUCGACUUGAAGAUCUUCCAGUUCAAUCCUUUACGCCCAAGAAACAGUGAGUUCAUACCCCUACGCUUUUAUAGUUUUUAAAAUGUUUUCAGGGGGAUACAAGCCAAACAUAAAGGUUUUCACAAGUUAAUAACUGAUGCAAUUUCAACGGUUUUACACCAAACAUUUAGAUACUCUAUCCCUUUUGUAAUAUGCAAAACAUAAGGGAUGUUUUCUAAAACAUAAUUGCAUAGUUUUCAGAACGGUACAUGAACAUAACAUACCAGUUAAACUAUAAUAGGUAUAGUUUGGGAAAUUCAUUAUCAGUUUUACAAAUUCAAACUACGUUCAAGGUUGAACAUAUAAACUAUGACAGAUUUAGUUUAUCCAUUAUUACAUACAGAUAAUAAGAGUAUCAUACUAAAUAAUUAUUUUGCGUAUAAUUAUUUAUACUCUACAUAGUAUAUAAAUGAUUUCAAACAUGCGAACAACAGAAUAACACGUAAACUAGUUAAUACAGGAUUGUGAGACGUCUCUUCAUUGUACCCUUCGGGGUACUGGUAAAUCCACUACAUUUAGUAUAGCCAGAGUCUCCAGGAGGGAGAGCGUAAAAUUUGUGAAUAGAUCUAUUUGGGAUCGACAAUCCCACACCUGAACUGUUAGCUACAGUUAGGCAGGCAUGUCUGGGGUGACAAAUUUUGUAACAUACGACGCCUGAAGAAACGUCGCAGAGGUCACCAGUUACAUUAGCAUGGCUAUACGAAAUCGCAAUAGUAUAACUAACCUUUGUUUACGGGAUUAUCAUUCUUCAAUAGUUUUAUUUUAAAUUAAUAAGACUACCUACACACUAUACUGGAGGGAAUUCCAGGGAUACAACAUUUGGUUUUAUUUUAAGUAAUAAGACUACUUUACAUAUCGGUGGUAGCUAGGGUUUUCGAAACAGAAUAUACAUACUGGUGGUAGCCAGGGUUUCCAAAAAUAAUAUACAUACUGGUGGUAGCCAGGGUUUUCCAAACAAGAACAUACAUACUGGUGGUGACCAGGGUUUCGAUACAAACGAUGUUUUACAUAUAAUGAAAAUAAAUCAUUUAUACAAAUUUAGUGAGUAGUUUUCAUUACAAAAACAUGCUUAUGAAUUCACCAGCUUUAUGUUGAUUUGUUUUCAAAACUGCUUGUAUUCUCAGGACAACAAUACUAAUUAAUUCCAUAACUUAUGUGUUUAAAAGUAUUCAAAACUAAUUAAUUCCAUAACUUAUGUGUUUAAAGUAGUUUUAAUCCAAAAACUCUUCAAGUUCCAUAACUUGAGGACAAGUUAUGGAAGACUUUAAACUAAUAAAAGAACUAACUUUUUCUUUAUUUUAUAACUUAUGGAUUUAAUUAUGGUUACAUAUUUUUCUUUAAUGAAGUGACUCUUGAACUUCCAUAACUUGAGGACAAGUUAUGGAGUCAUAAAAAAUUAUUCAAUGACACAAGACUCUUCAUUUUGUAACCAUUGCCAACUUUUAUGAGUUUUAUGAGUCUUUAAUGUGACUCUUCAUGUAACUUGAGGACAAGUUACACAAACACAUUUUAUACUCAACUCUUAGAUUAAAAUGGAUUGAAAACAACUAUUUCAAUUAACUUUUCUAUUAAUCUAAGCAACUCAUAAGAACAAGAUAAUUCAAAUCAAACUUUUUCAUGUAAUUAGUCUAAACCUUAAACUAAUACAAAACAUGAAUCUAUUGACAAUUAUCUUUGAAAAUGGAUUAGCAUGAACAUUACCACAUCAAAAACAAGUUUAUAAGUUCAAAAACAACUUGGGUUAAUGUUCCUAGUCCAUUUCUAGCCAAAAAAAACUCGAAAAUAUGCUGUCUGGGGGUCCAACUCGUCGAGUGCAUGAACCAACUCGACGAGUUGGAUCGAUUUGAUCACUUUUUAGGCAUGGACUCGCCGAGUCUCCUGAUGGACUCGCCGAGUCUGAUGACCAGACAGCACCAGAUUCGUUUUUUCAGCUUCUAUUGCAGGUAUAACAAGAAAACAAGCCUAGGCUCUGAUACCACUGUUGGGUUUUGAGCAUUCUAACACUCCUAAGUGUACAUGCAACCCUAAAUACCUUGGAUCUAUGUUUUCUCUAUUAUACAUGCAAAUAAGAACUUCCAAGGUAUUAUCCUAAUCUAGCAUACAAAACAAUGACUAUAACAAGAUAGAAUACAUACCUCUUUGAUGUAGAAAGUCUUCAUGAAGCUUGAGUGCCUAGUGCCCCAAGUGUGACACCUCAAAUGGAAUCACAAUCAUCAAAACACUUGGAAUGACUUGAGAGAAUUCUACACUCUUCAAAAUCGGCUAGCCCUUUCUUCACUAUCACUAGUGGCCGAUUUUUCCUCAAUAAUAAGAUGCUUAUAUAGUUACACAAUUAGGGUAAACUCUUAAUUGUCAUGGCUUUCCAUUUCCUUGGAUCCAUGGGUACAAAUACACCAUGGAGCAUCCAUGGACCAUCCUAUGGGUUUUAGCCCAACUUGAUUAUCCAUGGAGCAUUAGCCCACUAUACAAGUAUGGAUGAUUUACACAAUCAACCCAUAUAUUUAAUUAGUCUUCUUUUGAUCACUUAAUUAAUCCUAGAUUAAUUCUUGAUCAAUACUAAUUAAAUAAUCUUAUUAUUCUUAUUAUUAAUAUACUAGAACUUAUAAUAUAUUAAUAACCAUAAGUGUCUUAUUUCUCUCAUUAUAGUCUAUCCAAGUGCAUGAUGGUAUGCAACCCAAAUGGACCAUGCCGGGUCGGGUCAAGUCUUACCAAUUAUAGUUAUGGACUUAGACAUUAAUCCAACAGUCUCCCACUUGGAUAAGUCUAAAACUAUUAUUGCGUAUGACUUCAGGAACCAACUGGCAAUCGUAGCUCUCAAAAGCUUCUGUCGAACUCUGACCUUGUAGAUGAACUCUGACCUUUGUCAAUGACUUGUCCAUUAGAUAAGGGAUCAUAUAUUCCUCCAUUCUAGAUAUCAUAUGGACUGAGACAUGGAUUAUAAUCAUUCUCUCUGUCCAUUUGUUGUUUCCCGAUUUCCGAUUUAUGACGACUGACUAAUUGAACAAAUCAAAUCAGUCCUGGCCCGGCCGAGCACUUCCAUUUGUCAUCAUCAAAUCAUCGAGGGGCCCACAGAUAUCGCUUUUAUCCCGAAGGUAAAAGGAAUGGAUAAACUUCGACUCAUAUGGCUUGUUCUACUACUUGUUGAAUCAUACACAAAGGCACGUUUUAUAGCACCGAGUUACCAAAUGCGUUUUCGUGCAAUCAAUGUACUAUCAACUCAUAGUAACAACUCAUAUCUCUAGGUUUGAAGAAUAUAAGAUAUUAUCGUCUCAUGAUCACUCGUGAUAAAAUCCAUGAAGUGAUUCCAAUGAGCGCGGGUUGAAUCCAAUACUCAGAACUUAUGAGCACUCAUGAGUGUUGUAGCCCUUUGUCCAACACCUUAGACCUCUACAAGCCAACCCAUGACAGUCUUAAUUCAUAUCUACUUCCAACAUAUGACCGACUGUGGAUGGUUUGAAUAACUUAGUCAUUCCGGAAGAAUAACCCAGUUUAUUCGGGAAGUCAAAACAUGCAAAAUGAAACACAAUAAUAAUUGAAUCCAAUAUGGUAUCAACCCUUUGAACAUAAAUAAAACACCUUUUAUUUAUCACCAUAUGAUUACACAUUAUUCAUUGUAUACUGUUUCAGCUAUCAACUUUAUUCUUGAAUUUAAAACAAUAGUUGUCCCAUGCUCCAAGCAUGUACACUAUGUUUUCUUAAACACUAGUCAUGCCACACACCAAGUAUGCAUACUAUGUUUGUCUAUGAUCUUUACUUUGUGAACUAGAUCAAUUGAACAUAACUUCAAUGAUUCUCUUUUCACACUCCCAAAUCCUUACUGCAAAUGCAAGAAUUCCAAAUUCAUGCCAUUUACUGAAAUCUGUUAGAUUCUAAACUUAUAUGCAUUGAUCCUCUUGUAAUGAUUAUGCACAAAGUCACAAAGACUUGGCAACAAUCAUUACAGAGUAUUCCAAAGGAGAUCAACUCCUUGGAAAUAUCCUUCUUGCAUUAAGUUUCCUUAAUCUUACACAGAUUGAAAAUUCUAACUUUGAAACAUUUCCAGAUUCCAUUUUGACUAUCACUUCUGAACAAGAGUUGCCUCCUUACAGAUUAUGUCAAUAUGGUCCUUCCAGAAUUAUCACUAUACUUCCAAUUGUCCUUGAGUAACCAAUCUUUGGUAAACCUUAGAUUGUCCUCGACAAUUGUUUAAUCCUUUUAGUCAUAUCCAGUUCUAAACCUUUUCCCUUCUUAAUGCCCCAGGCAUUUGGAAAAUUUUAGAACGGAUGAAUAUAGCACAUGUAAUCGAUCCUAUAUCCGAAGCAUAUGGGACACGAUUCAUGAUGUCUUACAUAAAGACUAAACCAGUCUUUUGCUAUAAUAUUUCCAUUUCAAUUUGCCAAGUUCUCAUAAUUCAGAUUAUGAAAAGGGAUGCCGUAAUCAUAAUCGAAUUUUAGAACGCAAAUAAUGGACCCAUAUACAGAAUUUCCUUAUGUUGAGCCAUUCCAACAUGAAAUUCAUAUAUAUCCUUGACUAAAUGAUUAAAACCUCACGAUCUAAGCUUAUAGAUUUGAGAUGAAGCAUAAUUUCCUCUCCCUUAAUUAUAGCAAAACAACUUUUUCCCAAUUGAAACUUUUGUUUUCUAUAAUUAACAUUGCUAACUUGCAAUACUUAUCAUAAUUAUCAUGCUCCCACUAACAUGAUGAUUAUUAGCAUAACACUUAUGCUCCCACUAGCUUUGACAUGUACUCAGAAAUCAGCUGGACAGUCUGAAAUUUAGAUUCAUACACCCUUUCCGUAGAUAGCUCACCUGUGUGUCUAAGCAAUUUCAAGAACCAUGAAAAGGGAUACCGUAAUCAUGGUCUCAAUUGCUUAGGCAUUUGCCAUUUCUCACAAGUCCAUGUUAGUGUGCCGGUUAACCACACGCGCUCCACUAACGACUUUUGAAAAUGCAAAUAACACAAUUGAUAUCUUCGUAAAAUCUACUUAGUGAAAGCGUUUCCUCACCAUCAUUUUCAUGAAUCGGAGAGAAACCUUAUGACACUUAGAUUUAUAUGGUGUAUGAGUUCCUACCCAUAUGAAUUUGUCAAACCAUAAUCACAAGACAAAGAUAAUGACAAAUCCAAAACCAUAUGGAUUGAACUCAAUCUUAACUUCUUGCCACCUGGCAGCUCAAGGGCCUGCCAUUGCUUCCAAGUUGUUGUGCAACAAAUUGAGAACUCUAAGAACUCAUAUGCAAAACCAACUUUAACUGGAAUGGGCACAGAAUAUGUCAACACGAUAGGUUAUGAACCUCAAGUCGUGUGCUAGUGAAGAACUUUAGGUUUUAUUCUUGAUUAUUUCUUGAGACUUUCAAGACCUUUAAGACUCCCACUGUCCUCUUGACAUAUAAGACUCCCUUGUCAAACAUCCAAGAGAUAGUGCGGAUUCUAAUCAAGAAAAACACUUUACCCAAUUGGCCUAAGUUGGUCUUUGUUUUAUCCAAAACAUCACAACUUACCAAUUUCAAAUGUACAAGAGUAGAAAACUUUUACUCUUACAUUUGACAAGUGUUUUAAACCUUCUUUAAGACAUGUCACUCAAAUGACAAUCUUGGAGUAUGACUCUAAGACUUGUAUUGGAACGAAGUAUGACUCAUCUUCUUGAUUUAACCAUUUCAACAAUUCAAGUUCCUCUUCUUAGUCAUAAGAAUGCACUAAGAUUUCCUUAGAGAACUAAUUUUGAUAUGGUUUCUUAAUCAUUAAGAUGAUCACAAAACUGAUACUAAAGUACUCUCCCAUCUUUUCAGAUUUGAGAAACUUUUAUCCUUCUGCCUUAUUUGAUUCUUCUUAUCGAUCUUUAGUGGUGGACUUAAUCAGUGCACAAGAAUGUGUACUCGAUCCCUAAGUCCUUUACUUGACUCACACAUCCAUGUGAACAAGUAAUUAGUCUUAAUUUUCCAAAACUUGAAAGUUCUCAUUCAUCAUGCUAUACAACUUGCAUGAUUCCAAGUUCCGGUCCAAUUGAAACUUGGGUGAUGAGAAUCUUUCCUUAUUUGGUAAAUUUAGACAUUACCACAAAUGAAAGAAUCAAUUUCAUACUUCCACUCUUGCUACUAAUGGAAUCUUAUAAGCAACAAAAAUUUCCACAGAUGCCAUUGUAAGGAUAUUUUAAAAUAAAUAAAAUCAAAAAUUUCCUUUUAUUUUAAAACUUUGCGGAAAAACUAUCCUUACAAUCCAUAUGAAAACUUGUUGUUAUCUAUUCCUAAGCAAUAUCUCAUAACUCCUAAGAAGUAGCUCAAGAAUCCGAUUUUUCAAACUAUGCGAUAGAAAUCCAUCUAUGCGAUCAGAUUCAGCAUAUUCUUCCUUUAAGUUUCUUCACUUUCCUUUGAUUCUUAAACCAUCACCAUGCGACCCGGUCACAUCAUGUAUCAAGAAUCUCAGAAUAGAAACUUAACAGAGUUAGAUAGUGGAUUUUACCUGAAGUAGAGUCAAACUUAUUGACUUUAACAUCCUUAGGUAAAUUUGGCAGCUUCGCAACCAAUGCCCUUUCUUUGGCAAUACAAACAUAUGGACCCUUUGAUAAUGGUACACAGGACUAUCACAGACUUAGCUUUUCUCUUUACCAUUUGGUCAACCGAGUUGACUAUAGCCGAUCCCUUUCCAUUGGGAAGAGAAUGCUUUACUGGAUAUCCAAUGUCAUCAUUGUCAAUGUCCAUAAAGUUUUAGGAAGUUGAUCUUAGCAAAUAGAUAAGAUCAUUAAGGGUCUUGUCAUAGUCUGUUUCAUAGGUGUCCCAAAGGAACUCACUAUGUGACUUAGAAAGUGGUUGAACCACCAACUUUCUCAAGACUUUGACACCCAACUCUCCCGGCUUGUCAAUAUGUGACUACAUCUCCAAGAUGUGACCACACCUAGACCUUGCCUUGCCAAUAGGGCCUGAGUGACCUUAAACUUUUCAAGAACUUGUGGGUUAGGGAGAAUAAUUUGAAGAGGUGAAGAAGUAUGAUAUCCAUGGGACAUCAUCUUCAUUAGGAAACCUUGUUUCAAGAGAUUUGGGAAGAUCAUAGGUGUCUAAACCAGACAUCUUUUGGGAGAUAUUCAAGAUAGUUGAUUUAAAGUCCUUAAUAUGACACCCAAUAUGAAAUAUUAAGGCUAGGACCCAACAAACUAUUUUAUAACUUAGAAGAGGUAUGCCGUAAUCCAAGCUAUAAAAUAUUUGAAGGUAGGUGAAUGACGAUUCACCAAUUUCCACCAAGAUAAACGAAAUGUAUUAUUAGGUUUUAAUUGGUUUUGAAACUCCUAGAUCUUUGAGAUUCAUUGAACUUUUCAAAGGCAUGUUUCAAUCUCGAGUGUGCCCUUCAGGUUUUGUGACUGGGAUGCCGAGGAUCACAAAACAAGGUGUGAAGUAACCAUGCAAAUCACUUGGUACCCUUAAUAAAUUACCCCUCAAUCGAUGUGCCGGUUAACCACACACGCUCCAUCGAUACUAUGAUAAAUAUUAAGUCACCCUUUACCUACCUUGUUAAGUCCAAGUUAGUGUGCCGGUUAACCACACACGCUCCACUAACGACUUAGACAAAGUGUAAAGUGUAAUUUCAUGGAUUAGCACCUUAUUCACAUUUUUCCUAAGUAACUAAGAUUGGGUAUUAUUAAGAGUUUAGUUACUUAGUAUUAUCAUUAAUACUUUUAAUGAAGGGAGAAUUCUAGUCCUGUCAAACCCGUUCGGCUAACGACCCUCCACCAGUCAAGCAAGCGGUGGGUGAGAGUGGACACCCAUUAAGUUGCCAUUUUAUAGGCAACAACCUUAUACCCACCUUAUAGACCGGCUUCGUGAAUGAGGCGUACUAGCGGUAAGACUGACUUUACUCUUAUACAUAUAUAUAUUAUUAACUUAUAAUAUUAUAAAGUAUAAGGGUUGAAUUUUAACUUUUAAAAUUCUAAGGGCUAACUUGGAAUUAAAGUAUUCAUAAGUGAAAACUUUACAAAUUCCAAAACUUGAGGGCAAGUUUUGAAACUAUUCAAAACUAAUUAAUUCCAUAACUUAUGUGUUUAAAGUAGUUUUAAUCCAAAAACUCUUCAAGUUCCAUAACUUGAGGACAAGUUAUGGAAGACUUUAAACUAAUAAAAGAAUUAACUUUUCUUUAUUUUAUAACUUAUGGAAUUAAUUAAGGUUACACCUUUUUUUAUUUUAUUUUAUUUUAUUAAAUGAAGAGACUCUUGGUCCUCCAUAACUUGAGGACAAGUUAUGGAGUCAUAAAACCAUUUAAUUAGAACUAGACUCUUCAUUUUUGUAACCUUUGCCAAUUUUUAUGAGUUUUAUGAUUCUUAAAUGUGACUUUUCAUAUAACUUGAGGACAAGUUACAAAAACACAUUUUAGAAUCAAUUCUUAGAUUAAUUUGGAUUAAAACCAACUAUCACAUAAUUUUAUUCAUUAAUCUAAAUUCACUCAUAAAACAAGGUAACACAAAAAACUUUUGGUGAUCCAUAACUUAUUCUUAAGUUAUGGAAUCCUUUAAAACAUUAACACCAAAUUUUGUAACUCCAAAAAAACUUUGAAUCAAUUUUUUUUUUAAAACCUUUUCAUAUCCAUAACUUAUGGAGGUUUCAAAAAAUAAAACUCUUUAGAUCAAACUUUUAAAACUAAUAAAAUAAUCAUAUUAUUUUAUCUUUUAUUAAAUUUGACCUAAUUCAACUCAUAAAGCAAAUUAUUCAAAUUUUACAAAUAAUUAGUUUUUCACAAGAACAAGUAAUUAUCUUAAAAUUUGACAAACUUCAUGUUUUUUUUUUUUUUUUUUUUUCAACUUUGAAAAUAAAAUAUUUGCAUCAAUAUAACAGAAAACAACCCGUGGCUCUGAUACCACUGUUGGGUUUUGAGCAUUCUAACACUUCCUAAGUGUACAUGCAACCCUAAAUACCUUGGAUCUAUGUUUUCUCUAUUAUACAUGCAAAUAAGAACAUCCAAGGUAUUAUCCUAAUCUAGCAUACAAAAACUAUGAAUGUAACAAGAUAGAAUACAUACCUCUUGAUGUAGCUUGAUGUCUUCAAGCUUUAAGAGCUUAGCCCCAAUAGUGUGGAAGCCUCAAGUGGAAUCACAAAUCACCAAGACACCUUGGAAUACUUUAGAGAAUAUGAUUACUUGGUUCUCUCUAGUGAAAUUGGCUAGCCCUUCUUUAGUGUAUCCACACUAGUGCCAAUUUCACCAACCAAAGACAUCUUUAUAUAGUAUGGAGGAUUAGGGUUAAACCCUAAUACCCAUGACCUUUCAUUUCCUAGGAUCCAUGGGUUAAACACUCCAUGGACUAUCCAUGAAAGCUUAGCCCAACCUAAAUGAACUUGGCCCAUUCCAUAUAUAUAAGAGUCCAUAUUUAAUUAGUUCAUUUUGAUCACUUAAUUAAUUAUAAAUUAAUUCUUGAUCAAUACUAAUUAAAUAAUAUGAUUCCAUAUUAAUAUAUUAGAACUUAUAAUAUAUUAAUAUUAAUCAUAAACAUACUAUUCUCAAAAGAUUAUCCAUAUAAAUUGUGUCGGUGAAGUGCAACCCAAAUGGACCAUGCCGGGUCGGGUCAAGUACAUACCAAAUAUAGUUAUGGACUUAGACAUUAAUCCAACACUCAACACAUGCAUUCAAUGCAAAUAGCAAACAAUGUGGGCUGCCCUACAAGUGCCCUACUGUUGGUUGUUGAAGAGUAUGACCACUGGAAAGUUAGAAUGGAAAGAUUCAUACUUGGAAAACAGCGUCGCUGCUUGAUCGGCGGGGAGGAGCAUCUCAAAGUAUGGGGCAAAGGAUCAAAGGCUUUUACAUUGUCACCCGGGAUCCACCACAGGUUGGGUUUGAGAGCCGUGGCAGUCAAAGACCUUGCAACUAAGGGCUUCAAUUGAUGCCUUCAAGCUCACCUAGCUUGGUUCUAGUGUUGUGACUGGCACUCUACCAAAUCCAUCAAUUCUUGGAUUGGUUGAUUUCUGAGAGAGUUGCUCUUCCGACUGCUCGUAUUCAUCUCUUCCCCAUGAGGGCAAUCAGCCCCUUGUCACACUAAUAGAAUCUAAACACUUUCAAAGUGUGGUGGAUUUAUAAAGGUAGGUUGGUUGUGCUUGGGUCUCCUUCUCUUGUGUGCGUCUUAACUAUUAUUGAAAGGANAUUCCUUAGUAGCUUUGACAACAUUCGUCUCCGUGUGAGCCCUCAUCUCAUGCUCCUACUACCUCUUAACUUCAAAUGGGAGUGAUGGACGAGUGAAGAUCGCCAGCUCUUUCUUCCCCGUGAAUUGACUUCAACUGAAAUCGGGCGGACCGGCUUCUCCCUUUGAGCAUAGCAUGCUUUUGGGGAGUAAGUCACUUAAUAUAGUAUAUUAUGUGAGAAUCGAUUCUUACAUCACAUCAAAAUAGCAUGUCUAUAUACUUAUCUACAGGCAGUUCCUCUUUUUUACCUUCCAUUNUAAUAGAGAAAGCAGGCGUGGAGGAAUACCAAAGGUAGCUAAAGGCGUUGAAAAAGCCUAACUCUCUUCUUUAGCAACACUUCAAGCUUCUCUUCCGUCUACCGAUCCACGGUUUGCCAUAAAUAGCGCUUUCUUUUUUAACUUCGGGUAUAGAUAGUAUCGAAUUGCUAUAGGCAUGUGGGCUUUAAGAUCCUUGGGCGUCCCAGAAGACCAUCACUCAGGUUUCACUGAUCGAGCAACGUGGUUAUUUCGUGGACCUUUCUGUUCCUAGUUAAAGUGUAGGCCUUUUGGACUUAAGCUGGGAUUUGGUAUUUCGACCCAGGUGUUACUAUCAUUUCUAGGCAUCGUCUGUACUUAACAGUUCCCUUUAGUGUAGUUUCUCGGAGAUAUCUGGAUUAUUAAAAAAAACAAAAAACGGGGACGAAAGAGAAGAAAAAAGGUAGUUUACUUGCUUAGUGCUUGUGCGCUAAGGGAAGAAAGAUCGAAAAGUCGAAACUUUCGAAAGCGCACUCACUCUUCUCAAAAUAUCUUAAGAGAAGAAAGAUCUACGCUACGAAAAGGAGCGAGUUGAGCAUUGAAUUUUGAACACAGGCCAAACUACGCUCCUAGGCUCCCUUCUUCGAGGUUGAUUCCCCCAGAUCAAAUGACAAGGAGCCAAAAGCGAAGAUGGCAGCGGAGGAAUCUGAUGGCUAGGCGAAUGGGGGGUUGAAUACUCCGAGUCAACAGGGUUGGUUGGAAAGCCUCAGAAGAGCCGCUUAUGUUAUGAGCAGGGUUCUAAAUAAUCAGCCCUUUGAAUGAAUUGAAUAAUCAAGGCUUUCCCGAUAGAAAGAUUUGUCAGAUGGAUUCCAUAAGGAUGGACGUGGUGCAUUGAACACUAAGGCCUCUCCACUCGACGUAAUCAGUAUUUAGACUCAAACAAACCCAACUAAACCCUGAGGACACCUUCUGCUUGGAGGGCACAAUCCAGCAUUUCUUACAAAGUCUUACAACGGAUGUGAGCUUAACAACCCUCGUGCCAUGCCCAAGCCCUUACCUUCGCCCUAUACCGAAAGAUAUUAGUUCAUUGAUCAACUACCACUUGAUCCCCUAGGUAAAGGAAUUUAUCUAAGGUACCAAAGAGUCCCCUCCGAAUAAGUAGGGCUUUGCUGGUCUUGCAAGCAUUCGUCUACGCUUGCUCACAAAACUGCUAAGGUUAAGAUAGCCAAUCCCGUUUUGUUUCGGCAGAAACGAAGAAAUUUCGAACAGUGUAUUAUAGUCGACGGGCCUCUAGCGACGAUCGGACCCAGAUAAUCAAUGUAUUCAUCAUGCCCCCCUGGUUCGGUGAAAGAAUUUAGAUUUCCCGAUGAGGUAGCCUGCUGGGACUUUGCUAUAAAAGGGAUUAGCGGCUUAAUGCAUGGAUUUGAGCUGUGAAACUAGUGCUAUAACAGAAAUUGCCCUUAAUGCGCAAAUAAAAGCCCUCACAACACUCGAUACCUGCUCCCGCUUAUUGAUUAGGGUGAGUCACUCAAGUCCCUUGUCACUCGUCCCUCUUUUACGUUUACGAAAAUACCGGGCUUUAUGCUUUUUUCGGAAACUAAACUAAAGUAGCUCGUCAACCUAAAAACAGAGGACUUCCCUCACUAUGAAAGGUGUCCCGUGGAUGGGAAAUGCCAUAAAGCGCGAACCAAGAUCCGUGAGACGAAAACCAAAAUAAGAAUGAGGAAGAAAAAGAUAUUGUGAUGUAAGUCAAAAUAGAACACUAGAAAAUUUUGAAAUCGAUAACAACAUUUAUAGAGCUUUUGCUCUAUGAUAAUAAUGAAAAGACCCAGAAAUAACGAAUAAUGAAACAACCCCAAACCCUACCAGCUUUCCAGGCCAUUCAAUCCCCGUCAUUCCAUUUUAGCUCACCUCCAACCGGAAAGCUUUCGCGAUGAUGUUUUCCGAGAAUACAUCCUUCAAAAAUGGGAUUUGGUUGGAUGGAGUCUCGCAGAAGAAUAUCAUUUUUAUAAAGGGGCGCUACAACUAGCAGCCACUUUCUUAUUAGUAAGAUAGGUUGCUUGAGCCAAUCCUUAAAUCGUGGGAGGAAAAGNGGUUUAGAGUUAGAGGAAUAUCAAGAAUUGGAAUAUCAGUCAGAAAUUGAAUAAGAGAAGCAAAGACGGGUUAUAGUAUAGUAGAAUCAAUAAUCAUCUAGCGGGGACAGUUUCACUUAUAGGUCAAGGGUCUCGCCCAUCUCUAUUCGUCUAUCCUCUUCCUAGAUCGAAGCUUUCCUUGGCUUCGAAGCCUAUCUCCACCAUGACCUCUUUCUCCUAGCUCUAGCUGUCGAAAUAAACCGCCUCUCCCUCUGUCCUAGUCAAUUCAUUCUUUCUUGGCCUCUUCGUCAGUAGGGGUCUGNGAAUCUAACCUCAAACCUUUCCUUUAAGAUAAGAAAAGCGUAUCGCCCUUUCCUCUAUCAACUACCAUCAGAAACGCGGAAAGAGCCUAUCUCUUACUCUUAAAUCCAGUAAAGCUUAAGAGAGGUACUGAAAAAAAAGACUAAGUGACCCGAGAAGCCCACCCUUUAGGUCCCUUUUCAUAGACGAGAGAAUGAGGAUCGAUUUAGUGCUGAAAGCCUUAAAAGCAUCAAUACGAUUUCAGCUUGCCCCUAUACUCUAUGAGAUAGAAACUUUUGCCAUUGAAGGGUCCUCAUAGAAGGAAAGAGUGAAAGUCUCAUUUUGACACUAGCGAGAUACCUACUUUCUAAUGGAUCUCUCAGUCUACGAAGGAAAAAGUGAGAACGUUAAAAUGCCUUUCUAAUAGAAAGUUUCUACAUGCUAUCUGGAGCUAUAGGUAGAGGAAUUUGAUCGAUUGGCUUUCAAGCUGAACUAUGUAAUUAAGAAGUGUAAUGCCAAACUGAUUAGCUAAGAGAAGCCCUGGAGUAAGGCUUUAGCCUCAGCCUCCUAUUGCCCUGACCAAAGUUGCAUGAGAAUGCUAAAACAAUUAAACCGACUCUCUAAUGCAGCCACCUACUGCACUAUUUAAGUCAAUAGCAGAACCAUCCACAUUUAGUUUAAGGCCUGUAAUAUGAGGAAUCUGAGCCAUUUCCCUCUUUUGGGAAUGGCGGGCAGAAUGAUUAUCAAGGCUUGAAUGCAUGUCUGAUCAUGAAGACUGAGAGAGUAAGAAGCCUUAAGAGAUCUGAGCACCACUUCAAAACACUUAGGAUCAUUUUUGUUUUUCUUUGAAGGAUCUUCACACAGGGAAAGAGCUCCUAAGUGCUAAGUCCGACAGUGCUCUCCACCCUGGAUAAAGGUCUAUGAGGUGUGGGAUGUCUUCCCUUCCUGAGUUAGUGCCAAAAGAAUAGUAAGCAAUGAUCAUGUUGCCAGCAUGCUAUGCGACUAGUCGAUUAUCUUACUAAGCUAAGAACUGGAUCUCCAUCCAAGAAAGUCAAUAGAUAUUUUUUAUGGCUUUCAGUGCCCCUAGCACGAGAUCAUCGAACUGCACUUGAAUUAAGAGGUUCACUUCACUGCUGGUAUGCUUCUCCCAUGCAUCAACCAUGAAUCACUACUCUCUAAUGCUCUCUUCACUCCUUUAAGUCACUGACAUUUCCUAUUCUUAGCUCGGAUUAGCAAGCUUGAAUCAUUCAAUCAUAUAAUCAUGCCUCCAGAGUGACUUAAUUUCACAUUCUGAAUAUUGGAUUACCUGUUAGCUACAACUCACAUCUGCUGUUAGCUUCUUUAAGUCUUCUCUUUAAGUCUGAUUGCCUUCUCAAUCCUAAUAAAUGACGGGAUGAGUUAAAGCACUAUCAGACUGAAUACCUUUUCUUAUGAGUCUUCCAUGAACUCAAGACCAACUCUACUUAUCCUUAUCUGGUAUGCCUUCGGCUUCCUCAGGGGCUACAGAGAAAGGUGAAGAAAUUUGGAGGUCUGUGAAAGAUGGUCCACAUGUUACAUUUAUAUAAAUGGUGAAAGAUGAUGUUGCAACUCUCAUGGGCCAAGAACAUCAACGUCCAACACCUCUUACUGCAACAAACAUUGAAAAGCUGCAUGCUGACCGAAAUGGUGUUCCGAUUACCUCCCUUGCACUUUGAGCACAUUAAGUUGUGUAAAUCAGUAAAAGAGAUUUGGAAAACUUUUCAAGACUUGUUCGAAGGAUCAUAAAACAUGAAGGAUAAGCGUCUGACUUCAGUAGUCAACGGUUUUGAUAACUUCACCACUACUCUAUGUUAAUCCGUAGCAUCGGCUUCCAUUAGGUACAAAAUCGUUGUCAACAACAUGACAACUCAUGGGAUUGUACAAACUCCGCUAGAAUACAAUCUCAAGUUCAUCAAUAGUAUUGGUAAAGGAUGGGGAAAUAAAAAAUCUUGUCUUCAAAGAAAUGGAUCUCUGAAAAAGCUAAAGCUUUAUCAGCUGUUUGAUGAGCUUCAAGGUCAUGAAUCAAAUGUUGCAUAAACAGUAAGACAACUAUAAGGAGGCCCUCUUGCUCUUGUUAGCUCUUUUGAUCAACAAGUCUCAAAUUCCUCUGUUUUAGAUCCUUUCCAAGUUGUUAUCCUACCCAUUCCAUCUGCUCAACCCCCCUAACCAGUUUUACAUGUUCCUACAAAUUCCAACUAUCCGUUUGAUGGAGACCUUGAUCGUGAAGCCAUGGACUCCGAACUUUGUUUCCAAUAGGAGUUUGCACUAUUGUCCAUGAAAUACAAACGUCCAUGUAAUCACAACCAAAAACCCUAUCAAAAUCGUUUCCAAGCACCUCACCCAAUAAUUCCACAACCAUUUCCUAAACCCUUAGAGAACCCACCUUCUUACAAACCGAACAUCUCAUAAUGAAGUCAUCCCUCGGAAUUCCAUGGAAGUCCAAAAUCAGACAAACCGAAGAUAGUGUCUCACAAGUGUGUUCAUGGUAAUCAUUUUGCCAAAGAUUUUUUGGUUGAAACCAUUUAGAAACCAAAGGUCAAGGAUUCUGCAUACUAUGUCUGCAAAGCUCAAGAGAUCGAUGCAAGUGAGAAAGCCUGUGUUACCAUUGUGCCAAGAGAUGUUGAAGGGUAUUGGUCCUCUGGAGAUGAAGACGAUGUGAGCACUGGAAGGAAUAUGUGUCUUAGGGCUAGACAGACAAUUAAAUGUGAUGAAGGCUACUGGUCAUCUAGUUCAGAAGGAGAUAAUGAAGAUGUUGAGCAAAAAUUUUGCUACAUGGCGACCAAUGAUUCACCAGGCAGAAGCAUUGUUCAGCAGGUAAAAUUUAUGAUCACUAAAAAUAAUUUUGAUUUAUCUCUCUGUGAACCAUAUCUAACCCAGAUCCAAUCAGAUAUGACCAUCAUUCAUAAAGCCUAUAAGUCUGCCAUAUAAGUGAGUGAGGAGCUGGAAAGUGAACUGAAUCAUCUUAGAUUACGAUUCAAAGAUCGGAAGCUUAAGAUAGAAUCACCAGAAUGAGAACUUGUAAUGUCUCAAGAUGAAUGUAUCAUUUUAAAAGAAAAAUGUGAAAUCACUUAUUCUGAAAGGAAUGUUUUAAUUUCUGAUAACAAACGUCUGGAUGCAAAAAUUGAUGCUUUACAUCAUUCUAUAGAUAUUCUUGAAGAAAAUGAACGGAUGAUUCAUAAUUUUCAUCAUCCAUGGUCCAAAGCACUAAGUCUCGGUAGCAAGUUUACGAAAACUAUUGCUCGUCCCUUGAAGGAGUUACAAAAUCUAACAUUUAUGGGAGAUAUUCCAAACCACAAACAUUCAAAUACCUCUGUCUCACCGUUGUCUCCCCUUCCUGAGCCCUAAGACCAGUUUCAAUCUCUAGUUCCUGAGUUUCAAACCAUAGUUGUCAAAUGUCAUGAUUCCAUUCCUCUUCCGCCUCUGAUACCCCUGGACAUGAAUCAGAACUCGGAAUCAUUCCCUAGCAUCACCCAUACUAGAGUUUAAAUUUUGAACUUCAGUCGUCCUAACAAUUGUGUCGUUGAGGAAAUAAAUCCAAAGACAACUGGACCUGACUCUGAUAGAUCAGAUUUCGUUUGGGCAUCUUUAGAUAAUGACGUUGAUGAAGAAAUUUCAUGUGAUGAUUUAUCUGACUCUUGUGUUUCUAAUUCUCAAGUGAUUUCAAAAACAACCAUAGUGCCAAUCAAGCCUAAGUUUGACAAUCCAUCAGUUGGACAAACUUCCAAGUAACCAUCUGACUCUCGGAAGAAACCUUUGUUAAAUAAGAAAUAUGUUUUCGACCCUAAAAUUGAAGCCAAAAUGCCCUUAAAAAGGAAAUUAGGUCAAGGUAUGAUUCCAGAUUCAUUGAAAGUUGAAAAAAGAAAGUAUCUCAGAUUGUUAGCCCAUGCAUCCAUUAGGAACAACAACACAUUUACGCCUGUUAGGAUUCGCAAAAGGCCAUCCAAUUCUCCUAGUUUGGUAGAUCAAAACAAGGUUGUUAGUCCUAUUCCAAAAAAGACUAUUGUUGAUACUCAUCCCACCAACACCAACUCUCCUCGGAUAGUUUCUUAUGUGUUUAUUGCUAAAUCUGAUGGUAUGAUUUUCAAACCACAACAACUUCCAAAACCAAAUGUGCCAUCAAAAAUAGAAAACAAAGAAUGAGUUGUUAAGAACAAUGUUACUCAAAAAAUUCCAAUUGAAUCAAAACAAAAUUUUGAGUGGAAAGUAAAAAGUCUUGAAAAAAAAAGUAAAUUUAGGUGACAUUGUGAUUCCUACAACUCCAAAAAUUGUCGGUACGAGAAAAGUUGUUCCCAAAUAACCUUUUGUUGAAUAUGGUUUCUGGAUAAAUGAAAAUAACAUGGCAUUUUGUUUCUUUCUGAAAGAAUCUCGUAACAGAUCCUCUGAGAUGCUAGUUGCUCAAAAGUCACAACCAAAUCGAAAGCCCGUGCCAAAGUCCCAAAACCUAACUCGGAGCUUAAAAACCCCAAGACUCACUGAUUUUGAAGACAAUUUGUGCUUCAGAACAAGAUACAACAUGGUAUAUUCAUAGUUCUUGUUCCAAGCACAUGACGGGGCGAAAAGACUUUCUGUGUGAUCUCAAACUCUCUCCAAAUAUUGGAUAUGCGACGUAUUCCAACAACUCCAAUUCUCAGAUGCGAGUUUAUGGCAUCCUCACCAAUAAUAACUUCUUUAUCUCAAAUGUGGCAUAUGUAGCUAACCUGAAGCAUAACCUGAUUAGUGUGGCUCAACUCACUGAUGCAAAUCGCCAAGUUGAAUUCUACAACAAGCAUAUCUAUGUCAUGACAGAAGACCGGAAGGAAUGUUUGAUAAAAUCAAAUUGCAACAAGAACAUGUAUCCCUUAGACAUCAACAUGAUCAUUGGCAAGCAUCAACUCUGUCUUCUCUCAAAGGCUAUUCCUAACGUCAGUUGGUUAUGGCACAAGCGGCUUGCUCAUCUAAACAUUCAAUAUUUAAAUGAACUUGUUUCUAGUGAAAUAGUCAGAGGUCUGCCACUCUUCAAGUUCGAAAAUGAUCACUUAUGUGUUGCAUGUGAAUGUGGGAAGCAAUCCAAGAAGGGUUAUCCUGUUAUCAAUGAAAAGUCCAUUAUAGAACCAUUAAAACUUCUGCAUAUUAAUCUGUGUGGACCCUCCACUGUAAAAAGUCUACAUCACAAAAAGUACAUUCUUAUGAUUGUUGAUGAUUUUACUAUAUUCACCUGGGUCUUCUUCCUUAGGCUGAAAUCUAAGACAGCCUCGGAACUUAUCAACUUUAUCGAAGGAAUUGAAGUUCUUGUCAAACUACCUGUAAGAUGAAUCCGAAAUGAUAAUGGAUCAGAAUUUAUCAAUGUCACCAUUGAGAAAUUCCUCUCCGAUAAAGGCAUCGACCACAAUUUCUCUGCUCCCUAUACUCCUCAACAAACGAUGUUGUUGAAAGAAGAAACAGAACCCUUGUUGAAGUUUCUCGAUCGAUGUUCAACUUUGCAAAUCGUCUAUUUUAUCUUUGGGCUGAAGCUAUGUCCACUGCCUUCUUCACUCAAAACCAAAGUAUCAUUAAUCGACGCCUUAACAUGACACCGUAUGAAGCCAUGAAUGGUCUAAUGCUCGAUCGGUUCUCAUUUCUCCAUGUCUUUGGCUGUAGGUGCUUUAUAAAAAACAACCGUGAUCAACUAACGAAAUUUCAACCCAAAGUCGGUGAGCGAUCUUCUUUAGAUACUUAGCAAAAUCCAAAGCCUACCGAGUUUUGAAUCGUCAGACUCAUGUGAUUGAAGAAAGCUUUGAUGUCACCUUCGAUGACAACUAUGUUCAGAAUUCUGGCCCCACUCAUGUCACUACCCACAUCAUGGAGUCUGAUGAUCCAUCUCCAAGAUGUCUGAAUUCUCAAAUUAUUCAUGAAAUUGACUUCAAAACCCUAUCCAGACCAACAUAAACAACUCUUGAUUCGGAAUAUCGAUCAAGAUCAUCCUCAACAACUGCAACUCCAAUUUCCCAAAAUGUUUCCGGUUUGAAUCCCACUUUUUCUCCAUUUGAUUCCGAUUCGUUUCAACCUUCUUAUGUUGAGGGGGAGAAUGGUUAUCCCUCUCUUGAAUCAAAUGUUGAAUGUUUUCAAGAUGCAAUACAUCAAUUUGCUGAAUUCGAUCCUAUUCCAAAAAACAACGAAGACGAUGCCAACUUAGUUGACAUUCCGAUUGAAGAUGACAUAGAUAUAUCUGAUUUAGAAUUUCUGUAGGAGCAUCAUCCUCAAAUUUAAAAUGUUCAGGGGGAGCAACAUAACCCUAUUUUUUAUAUUGGGUCAUCCAUUGAACAAGAGCUUUUGAUAUUACAUAUAUGCACCAAGGAUCAUCCUCCAAAUCAAGUCAUCGGAAAUCUCAACACUGGUGUUCAAACUCUUUUUGCUACAAACAUCCAAAACGAAUGUCAUUUCUUGACAUUUAUCUCAAUGGUUGAACCAAAAUCCAUCAAGGAAGUAUUAGAACAUUCUGACUGCAUUACAGCCAUGCAAGAAGAGUUGGUAGAAUUUGAUAAAAUGAAGUGUGGGCUCUCAUCCCUCCUCCUUAAGAUCACCCUAUUGUUGGUAUGAGAUUGAUUUUCUGAAACAAGCUAGACGAAGCUGUAGUUAUUAUCCAAAACAAAGCAAGAUUGGUGGCCAAAGGAUUCACUCAGAUCGAAGGACUAGAUUACGACGAGACCUUUGCUCCCGUUGCUUGUCUUGAAGUCAUCAAAAUCUUUCUUGCUUAUGCAGCUCACAAAGGCUUUAAGGUUUACCAAAUAGACAUUAAAACUUCUUUUCUUAAUGGUGAACUGGAUAUUGAAGUGUAUCUACAAUAGCCCUUUGGUUUUGUCGAUCCUUCUUAUCCGAAAUAUUUCUAUAAACUCCGAAAACUUGUUUAUGGCUUCAAGCAAGCUCCUCACACCUGGUACGAGACUCUCACCAACUUUCUCAAGCGUUUCGGUUUUCAAAGAGGAACUCUCGAUCAAAUGGAAACAAUUUUAUGUUUGUCUAAAUCCAUGUUGACGACAUCAUUUUUGGAACUAUAGAUUCAACAAUGGCUGCUGAUUUUGAAAAAUUAUCGAUUAGCCGAUUCGAAAUGAGCAUGAAUCAUGAAUUAAGUUUCUUCCUCGGACUUCUAGUCAAGCAGUCCAAUAGAUGAAUUUUUAUUCAACAAAAAAGGUACAUUUCGGAGCUUCUGAAGAAAUAUUUGAUGGACACUUGUGCCUCUGCAAAGGUUCCUAUAGGUUUUGGACACUAGAUCUUCUCGGACCCAUCAAGUGUGGGUGUCUAUCAAAAGAAGUACAAAGGAAUGAUUGGAUCACUACUCUACCUUACAGCAAGUCCUCCAGACAUCAUGUUCUUCACAUGCUUUUGUGCCAGAUUUCAACUCAAUCUAAAUGUCUCUUAUCUCUUGGUGGUCAAGAAAAUAUUCUGAUACCUCAAAGGUACAAAGAGUCUUGGAAUCUGGUAUCCAGCAAAUGAGAGUUUCCUUCUUCAAGAAUACUCUGAUUCAAACUAUGGUGGCCUUUAAUUGGAAGCAUGUCUAGAGGUUGUCAAUUUUUGGGUGGAAGAUUGGUUAGCUGGUUAUCUAAGAAACAGAACUGCAUUGCUCUUUCAACAGGCGAAGCGAAAUACAUUAUUGCUGCUAGUUGCACUUCUCAAGUUCUUUGGAUGAAAUCUCAACUUUUGGACUAUGGUUAUCGAUUUCAACAAAUUCCAAACUAUAAGUNAUUUUGGUUUUGUUUUACGUAUUUAUGUUUUUUUAAAUUCAAGUUUCAAUGUAAGCUAACUAUUAGACAUUAUAAAUGAAAAGAAAAAACACUAGAGUACUUCAAAAUAAAUAUUUUUUAAAGAUGAUCCUUAGAAGUCAAUGUCAUUUUUACAAAUAAAUUCUUCAAUUUUUUUCUUUAAUACAAUUUAUAGAUGAACAAAAUUUAUGAAUAUUUAUUUAAAAGAAUUAGAAUUUAAUCAUUAAUUUUCCCAAAAUAAUGAGACUUUUUUGAAAAAAUUUCAUAAUAAUUAUAAAUUAUUUGUUGAUAUACUAAAAUAAAUUAUAAAAUAAGAAAGAUAGUUAUGUGUCACUUGUUAUGAUCAAAAUGAUUCACAAUAUUUAUAAUUUUACAGCUCCUAAGACCGAAGGGAGUGAGAGGGAAGUUUCUCUCACUUUUUGUGGGCUAUACCCCUCUUUCUCUUAUUUUUCGUUCCCUCGCCUAAAACCCAAGGAAUGGGUAGGAAGGGUUUUCCUCACUUUUUUUUUAAAUAUUUUUUUUUAUGAUUUAUAAUUUUUAAAUUAAUAGUAAACAUAAAAUUUAAUUAAAAAUAAAAAGCAUUUAAUUAAUUAUAAUUAAUUAAUUAAAAUAAAAUUACAUUAAACCUAAUAUUUAAAUUAGUAGAAAAUUAAAAGUGUAGGAUCUAUUUUGUAAUUUUUGAAAACUAUUUUUGUGAAGAGAAUUUAAAGCUGGACGUAUUCUGCCAUAAGACCAAAACAUAGAGGCCAAAUAUGUCAUUUCCAGAAGCUUUCAUCUUCUUUCUCUCGUUAAACCUGCAACUCAAAAAAAAAAAAAAAAAAAAAAAAAAAAAAAAAAAAAACAAAAAACAAAAAACAAAUUUCAGCCACUCACAAGAAGAGAGAAAGUGCGGGACUCCCUUCCCCCACCUUCGCCUUUCCUUUCCCGCAUCCCCGGUGCAGUGAUUCUUGGUGCAGGAUCGUUUUCCGUGGCUUCCCCGCUCACCACUCCGUCCGGCCUAAUUAACACAUGUAACAAUUGAUUUCUUAUAUAUUCAUACCAAUAACAUUCUAUUAGAGAUCAUUCAAAUAUUUAUGUCAAUAUAAAAGUAUAAAUAACAAUUCUUAAUAUUAAAUUGAUCACAACCUUUAGUAUUAUAUCUGUUUUCACUAUUUGUACUAUGUUUUUUUUUAUACCUUGGUUGCAUUAUUAGCUAUUGUGUUUUGCUUUCCUGCUUUUUGCUUUCCUACUUUUUCCUGUGCAACUGUAACUGUACUACAUUCUAAAAGAAGGGACGACCAAGAAAAACUAUGUGAUGCGCUUUCUCUCUACCUUAAGAGUUAAGUAUUCACAUUCACAGAAUUAACAUCCGAGGGGGGUGAAGCAAAAAUGAGAUGCUGCACCGACGCCGGAGAGGUGAAGCAGCGCCGUAGAGGAAUACAAAAGCGUCUUGUUUUUAUUCUAUAUAUAAUUUUAAUACAAAAAGUAGAUAUUUAUGACCAAAUUAAGCUUCGUAAAUGGGAUUAGCAAGAAAAUGGAAAGUCACAUUGGAAACUGCGAUCUCUCGUAAUUUUAUGGAGGGACUAGAAUCCCUUCGUCUUCUUCCCUUUUAAUCUCUGCUAAAAACACUCCGUAGCCAAGUUUUUAUAAAAUGGCCAACACAAGCAGCGCUUGGACUAUCAAGCCGAACCAGCAACAGUUGCAAAAACGAAAAUGUGAAAGCCUUUUAGACGUCGUCUUCUCUUGGUCUUUGUCGGAUAUACUCAACAAAGAUCUCUACAAGUUGCAGGUUUCUCUUAUUCUUCUGUUCAUUUUUUCUGGCAUCUGUUCGUGAAUCAUGCAUGACUUAUAAACACGGAGUUUCUGAUGAAGAUCUUAUGUUCUUCACAGGUGAAAGAAAUUCCGUUGAGGUUUUCAUCUACAAAUGACUAUGUGAAUUCAUUCGUCCUUCCGCUUCUCGAGGAAACACAUGCAGAUUUGCUAUCCCAACUUGCCGGAAUCUCUCAGGCACCGGCAAGUUGUAUUUCUGUUCUGCAAAGAAUACCAACGGACAAGGAGACAGAAUUUUUUUAUCGCAUGGUCUUAACUGGAAUGGAUUAUGAGCCACAAGUUGGAGAUCUUAUUGCCUUGACACAAGUUAUACCCAAAUGCAUCGAUGAUCUUGAUCGACCAAACAGCGGUUUUCUCAUUGCUUAUGUGACUCAGUUAGACGACCAAUGUUACCCAGUUACGAUACAUAUUUUCUCAUCAGACCUUAUCGAACCCAAUGAAGUUGAGACAAAGAAACCAUCAAAGGCUUUUGCUGUUCAUCUGACGAACUUGACUACAAAUAUGCGUAUAUGGAGAGCUCUUAAUUGGGAGGGCAACAUGGGUAUCAUUAAAAGAACAUUGUCUUCGAGUACCCCUGUAAGUCUUUUUUGGCAGAUAUAUAUAGAUCAUAAAUAAUGUAGAGUCACUUUUUACAUUGUGAAGUUGUUACUGAUUAUUAAUUAAAUUUUUUAGUUAGGUCCUUGGUUAUAAAAUUAUAUGGAAACUUCUAUAGUUUAUAGGAAGCUUAGAGGUAUUGUUAAGGAGUCUUCAUUAUUAGUGGUAGAUAUAGAUUACAACUCUUAUAAUUGUCCUAAAAGUAUUUCACGUGCACUGAUUAUUUUACAUCAUGGAAAGUAUGAAAAAGAUAAAUAAAUUUUAAUCUGUUCUUUUCUACGUGCCUUAUGCUAGUAUCACAAAGAUUUAUUUCAAGAUUAAGGUACAUUAUAAUUGUGAGUUAAAAUUUAUAAACAACUAUUAAAAAAAAUAAAUUAUAGUUUUAAUACUAAUUUUUAGAUUAAAAAAAAAACUUUUGAUAAGUACAUAUUAAAGUAUAAUAAAAUAUGAAACUUUCUAAUCUAUUACAAAAAUAAUUUACUAAAUAAUAUAAAAAUAAUUUAGUACAUAUUUGGGUUUUUGAGACUGCGAUUUUUAUUUUAUUAACUUAUAACAGUGAUAAUAAGGAUUUUUUUUUUCUGAUUUUAUUCGUGAUAUGGUACUUUCUAUCGCAUUGCAUGAUCCAUAGGUCCCUACGACUUCUCAACUAGCCGACGUUUUCAUUGCCCAUUCCUCGCUUUCAGUUACUACUCAACAAGCGUCACGUUACUCCUUCCGUUACACUUUCAGGAGGAUGAUAAAAUACAAUUAUAUAUAUGGAAACUUUGAUAGUUUAGGAAACUUAGAGGUUAAUUAAGGAGUCUUCAAUAUUUGGAAACUACCUCAGUUUAUUACUUUUUUUAAAACAUACGUAUAUAUACAGGUGGCUAUAAAUUGUAAGGAGUCAUAUUGUGAAGGAAGAAAGAAGGUUAUUGACUCUGAACUAAGACCAGCAUUUGAUUCAUUUAAUCUUGAUAGCUCACAAGAAGAAGCUGUGUUAAGUUGUCUUGCUACUAGUAGAUGUUGGCAUCAAAAGUGUAUCAAAAUGAUUUGGGGUCCUCCAGGAACUGGAAAGACAAAGACUAUGGCUUCAUUAUUGUUCAUGUUGUUAAGGACAAAACACAGAACGCUUACUUGUGCUCCCACAAAUGUUGCUGUGGUAGGAGUUGCAGAGAGGCUAUUGAGUAUAGUACGCGAUCAUGAUUUUGGAUGCCAUACUUAUGGAUUUGGAGACAUAGUUUUAUUUGGUAACAAAGAAAGAAUGAAGAUUCAUUAUGAUCAUCGAAAGCUUCUUGAUGUGUUUCUUGACAAUAGAAUCGGAGCUCUUUCUAGCAGUUUAUCGCAAUGGAAAUUUCGUGUGAAUGGUAUGAUUAAGUUUCUUGAAGAUCCCAUGAACGAAUACCACCGUUUGAUUGUUUCUCAAAAUUUGAAUAUAAUCAAGACUAAAAGCAAGAAGAAAAAGGAGAGAAAACCCCACGAGAAUAGUGAGGAAAAGCAAUUGACUUUCGAGGAGUUUGCCAUGAAAAGGGUUACUGUUUUUGGAAAGGAUCUUAUUUCUUGUAUCCGAAGCUUAUAUACUCAUUUGUCUACUACAACAGUUUCACUUGCUUAUGCAAAAAGUAUGUAUCAUUCAAUCAAUUUGAUUCAGAUGGUUGUGGAGUCUGUGAAAGAGAUAGUAACUAGUAACAAAAGCUUAAACGAAGCCUUCAAUGAAACAGCUGUUUCAAGCAUUGGUGAACCGCAUUUUAUGAAGUUAAGAUUAUAUAAAGCCGAAUGCCUUCUUGUGCUCAAAGAGCUUCGCGAUGCAUCUGUCAUUCCGAAACCUAUGAACAUAUUUAAACUUAAAAGAUUUUGUCUGAAUAGUGCUUGUUUGAUCUUCUGUACAGCGUCAAGCUCUAUAAAAUUGAAUAUGAACAAAAUGAUGCCUAUAGAAUUGGUUUUGAUCGAUGAAGCUGCACAGCUUAAAGAAUGUGAAUCCCUAAUCCCUUUGCGGCUUCCAGGUGUUCAACAUGUUGUGCUUGUUGGGGACGAAAGACAGCUGCCAUCCAUGGUUCAAAGCAAGGUCAUGACCAAAAAUGCAUCUUUUGUGAACGAAACUGUCGCUAAAACUGUACUUUUUCAAAGACACGUGGAAUCAAAAGAAAAUGCAACCACUGUUUUGGUUGAUAAUAAGUUAACAGUGUGAUUGUCUCAUUAGUUGCAAAGAGUUUCCAUUUGGAGUAUUCUUGUUACUGACAUUUUUUUGUGAUGAUUUGUUUUAAACUUGAUAGAUUAGCGAAGAGGCUAAUUUUGGAAGGAGCUUAUUCGAAAGACUGGUGUUACUUGGACAUGAAAAACACCUACUAAACAUUCAGUACAGGAUGGAUCCAUCAAUUAGCCAGUUUCCCAAUGCUGAAUUUUACGACAAUAAAAUAAUGGAUGGUCCUAAUGUCAUUAAUAAAGGUCGUGAAAAGCGUUUUUUGCGACAGAGUAUGUAUGGAUCGUACUUGUUCAUCGAUGUAGAUUCCGCAAAAGAGGAACUCGACAAUAACCAUAGCACUAGAAACAUGGUGGAAGUGUCAGUGAUAGAUGAGAUCAUUGCAAAUCUUUUCAAAGGUACAUCAUUUCUAGUUUUGUGUUCUUUUAGUCAUAGUAGGUUAUAAUCACAUUUUUAUUGACAGAAUGUGUUGCGAAGAAACAAAAGGUUACAGUUGGCUGUAUUUCUCCAUACAAGGCUCAGGUCAAUGCGAUUCAAGUAAAACUUGGCAAGAAGUAUAAUCGACAGGUGAAUGGUUCAACUUUUACUGUGAAUGUAAGAUCUGUUGAUGGGUUUCAAGGUAGCGAAGAAGAUGUCAUAAUAUUCUCGACAGUAAGAUGUAACUGGAAAGGAAGUGUCGGGUUUCUUUCAAAUCGUCAAAGGGCUAAUGUAGCCUUAACCAGAGCUAGACAUUGCUUGUGGAUUGUGGGAAAUAAAGAAACCAUGAUCAAGAGUGGUUCAGUAUGGACGGCUUUAGUUUCCGAUGCUGAAGACCGUGGUUGUGUCUAUAGUGCUAGCGAAAACAAGAAAUUGGCUCAAGCCAUGGUGCAAACCAUGGUUGAGUUAGCCCAGUUUGGCCCAUUGUUAAAAAAAGAUUCAAUACUUUUUAAAGAUGCAAAAUGGAAGGUAAAGUAUUCAAACUUAACUUUUUUAACGUCAAACAUACUAUUUUUUAAAGGAAGCUAGCGUUUAUUGCACGUGCUGAAUGGGACAAAACUAGACUUGACUAGACAAUACAAGCUGUCUAGUCAAUUUUUAUGAUGAUAGUAAGCCUACCACAUCAAAAAGAUAAGUUCUCAAAUAUAUAUGUUGGAGUAUCGUUUUUCUAGUCAAGACUCUUUUGUAGAUAGAAUCUAGGAGUCCACAUUGAAUUAAUAGCGUGUAGAUGAGAACAAUUAUGUUUUUUUACUAAGAUGAGAUAUCUAGUUUAAUGCAUGCCAAAUGCAAUACAGAGGCCAUAUUUUAUGUCAUAUGUCUUACUUAACAAACAGGCUUUCACCCUUAUAAAAGUAAAAUAUGUUGGAUUUACGGCAGGUGGACUUCACCAACACAUUUUUGGAAAGAUUGACUAGUAUUGAGAGCCUUCAUGCUCGUAACCAAGUUAUAUCACUUCUCGUUAAGCUCUCUAAUGGUUGGCGACAACUCCGGAAAACCAAUAAGAACACUCUUAACAACACCCAUGGAAUUUGUGACAUGUUAGAGGCAUAUAAUCUCGAUGGAGGUUUGUAUCUUGUUUGGAGUGUAGACAUUGUCUAUGAGAACUCACUUUGUGUUCAGGUCUUAAAGGUUUGGGACAUUUUGCCGUUGUCUCAGAUACAACAAUGUGCAAAAAGUUUGGAGCAGGUUUUUGGAAAUUAUACGUUGGAUAUGAUCAAACGUUGUCAAACAAAAGGUUCUGGAAGGUAUGUGUAAAACAUAAUGUUUCGUUCGUGCUAAAAUUUGUUUUUAUUUUAACCAUGUUAAGUUGAUUGUAGAAAUCAAGCUUUACCAAUGACUUGGCCUGAGGAUUUGAGAAAUGAUGUGAGUCGAGAUUUAGCAAGUCAAUUCGACAAACUGAGUUUAAGUGGUGAAACUUUACCUUGUCGGGAUAGAAGUGUGAGAACUCAAGGUCGAUGGAUGGAAGUAAAGAGAUGAACCAAUGGUUGUUGAUAUGGAUAUGCUUUUGGGUGUGAUGUCAAAGAAAAUGUGGAUAGUUUUGUUUACAUGUCAUUUUUUUGGGAACAAGAAAAGGAAUUUUCUUCUUAGCUGUACAUCCAUUAUGUAUGUGAAAUUUGACUUGAUUUGAAUCUAAUUUUAAAAGUUUGCUUAUAAUCACUCCUCACAGUUCAUUAGGCUAUAAACGACUGAAGGUUCGGUGGGAAAUUUUUUUAUGUUUGUUCAAUUAGUAAAUUAAUUAACAUGAACAAUAAUUUUUGUUCGUUUAGGUACACAAACAAACAUGAACAUUAGUAUCAAUCGUUCAUCUAUGCUUUUGCACGUUCGUUUACAUUUGUUCAUAUUUCGUUCUUUAUGUUCUUAUAUGUUUGGUUUUGCACGAGUUUAUAUUUGGUUAUUAUAUUAUACUAUUUGUAAUAUUAUAAAACUAGCUAGAGUGAAACUCUAUCAUGUGAACCAUGAGAUGCACGGUAUUUAUGACGCACAAAAGUAAGUGUCGUAAAACAAUGUCAUCUAUAAUAAACCAUGAGAUGCAUGCGAACCAUGAGAUGCACUGCAUUUCUUUCUCCUAUACUUCCGUUUCCAUCUAGGGAUUUUUGCUCCAGACCUCACAUAAGUAAACCAACAAGAUUGCCUUGUGUCUCAUUCUUACAUUUCUUAAUUAUCGAUCAACAUACCACAAACACCAAAAUCCACACCCUCCUCCCUUCAACCAAUCGCAAUUCCUUCUUCCUUCUUAUCACUUCGAUCGACAAACCCGGUCACCCAAAAUCACAGAUCCUUUUAUUCCUUUCUCGAAAUCGAUCACACCUCCAAAAACCACAAGUAUUAAUUAUUUUUCUUUCUCCAGGUUCGAUCACAACCCCUUCUUAUUAUUUUGUUUUUUUUUCUAUUUGCAAGUGAGGUUGUGAGGUGGUGUUUAAAGGUUGUGAAGGGGUUGUGAGGAGAUGAUGGUUGUUGAUUGUUUGGUGAAGGAGAAAUAAGUAUGUUACUACUACAAAACCGAUAACAGAGUAUUGUUAAAAUAGGUAUUAUAACACGGUUAUAUGGCCGUAUUCUAGGGGGUAGUUACCUUUUUGAAGCUUAAAUAGAGUACGGUUAUACAACCGUACUUUGAGUACAAUAGAAUACUACUCUUUAUAAACAACUGUAUUUUAUAACUAGAAUAUAUAUAUAUAUAUAUAUAACAUCCCCUUAGGGCAUCCACAAUCCAUUGAACUCUAUAGAGUUCAAUAGAUUGUCACAUCAUCCAUUAAACAUCUAUACAACAUCACCACGACUCAUUAAAUACUUAUUCAAUCCAAAACACCACUUUAUUCAUUUUUAUCAGACGUUACUUAUAUGUAUUUAUAUGGUCUCUGUAUUUGUGUUAUGUAAUCGCAGUGUAUAACAAACCGUAUUUGUAUACCUAGCCCAUUUGAUGUACGUGUAUGAUUUAUAUACAGUUUAAUGAAAUCAUUGUUUUUGAUGGGAAAAUAUAGAUUGUUACAUGGUAUCAAAUACCCUAGCCGAUCCUUUUUUUUCAUCGUCUUCUGCCUUUUCUCACACAUCUUUCCAGCAUCUUGUUCUUGAUUCUUCUCCUUCCAUACACGUACCAUGCCUCCUAAAGGAGACUCCACCUCCACCAACCCUUCUCCCACAGAUAAAAUAUACCGUAUUACAAACAUCAAAUCAUUUGUGNAAACUUCCCACUCUAAUUUUAUUAAAUUAAUAAUUGAUUCUUCAUUUUAAAUUUCAAAUGUUAAAAUUUUCCCUUUAAUUAUAUUAAAUUAAUAACAUGAGAUUAAAAAAUAAAAUAAAAUUAAUACAAAUUAUAAGAUGACUUUACGUAUUUAUUUAAAUCAAAUAUUAUAAUUUUAUAUAACUAAAAAAAUAUCUUUUAAGUACUAAUUUAUUUAAAAUAAUUGAUUAAUAAUUUUGAUUUGUUAAUAUUAAAGUUUAAUUAAUUUUAUAACCAUGAUUAUCACGGAUUAUAAACUAAUAUAUAUAUAUAUANNNNNNNNNNNNNNNNNNNNNNNNNNNNNNNNNNNNNNNNNNNNNNNNNNNNNNNNNNNNNNNNNNNNNNAUGGUUGCUUGCUUGUCGCAAAACAAAAUUUACACUUCAUUGCACUUCAUUGCAGCACAAUUAAGGUUGCAAAUUCAUCAAAUCAAUGUAAGCAACAAGGGUAACUAGAAAUGCUAGUCUAUCUAUGCUAGUCUACACCUUCAGGCAUUCCUUGGAAAAGAAUUUGUGAUUUCAGUGUUAUGUUAUGUUGAUCGCUCUCUUUAAGUCAGUCCAAUUUCCUUUCUGAGAUUAAGUCCCUUGCUUCAUCAUAAUAGAAAUCAUUAAUCAAACUACUAAAGUCACCCUAAAAAGACAACCAUAUCUGCCUCAUAUAUCUUUGACAAACUAUCAUCCACAUACUAUUAAAAAUCCUAAUUGCAAUGAUUUACGGCCUCUUGAUGUGUAGAAAAGUGAUAAUUCACAAACCACAUAAUCCAAAUUUAGCGAUGGUGGUCCACUAAAACUUAACAAAUCUCAUCCUGAACAUUAAAUUGAAACUAUCUGUCACGUUUUAAGUAAGCUAAAACAGAGAUUAGCUUUGUUUCCUCUCAUUUUUUAAUUGAUAAUGCAUACCUCCAUUACUUCCAACAAACACCGGAUUAGCUAUUACUUUUAGAGAAAAGACUUCCUGCAGCCAUAGUAAAGGAAACCAAUAAUAUAAUAAGAGAUACCAUCUCACAAAGUAGAAUUGAACAACAUUUCGAUCAGGCUUUUCUUCCUGUAAUAGUUGAUUUGCAACUAAACAACUACGCCAACUAAAAGCAUAUACAUACUUUAUAUCAAACGGUUGGUCUACAAUAAAGCAACUGCAAACGCUUUACACAUAAUAUCUUUGAUUUUUCCCAUAUCUUGGUUGACUAAUGAACUUGAAGUGAAUCAAAAGGAAACUAAGAACAAGUUCAGAAUUGAAAAAUGAGUACUAAUUCCAUGAAACAGUAUUUUAGAGUGUGGGUGUGGGUGUGGGCACUGGGCAGGGAGCGGUGGGAAACAGAAAAAUUCAUUUUAAACGCUAAUAAAAUAUGGUCAGUCUAACAAGUCAUUUUUAUGUAGUUUUUCUGGAUAAACACCAAAUAUAUUACUCUUGUUUGUUUCUCAACCAUACUCUAUGUCCUUCCCGAAACCCGUUUCUGAUUAUAUAAUACCGAAUCCAUUAUAACAGUAUUAUAUUUAGAGUUUUCAGUUUUCUAUUAGCUCUUUUGUAGUAGUGUGUGUUUGUGCAGGUGAUUAAGAGGGGUUCAUCGGUGUUAAAUGUUUUUUCAUAGUGGGUUUAUGGUGGAUUUCGUAUUCAGCAGUGAUAAAGGUGAUGACGAUGGUUGGUGGGGUUAUUUUCGAGAAAUAAAAGUGGAGUGAGGUUGUUGAGGAAAAUAGUUCGGAUUGUAUAUUUAUGAAAAAAAAACCUCUAAAUAGCUUUAUAUUGCUUGUUACUUGUGAGGAAAAUUUUCAUCAAAGUCUACUACAUAGGUAAAUGGUUGAUGUAUCUGAUCGAAAUAAGUGUAGUUUUUUUUUUUUGUCUAUAUCAUUUUGUACUUGAUAGAUCUAUUAUGUCCUAACAGGCUUAUUGCUAGUGAAAAUUAACUAAGUACUUGAUUUUGUCAGAUUUUCAAUAAACUACGUCUAUGUAUUCAUGGAUUUAAACCAUUUAUCAAAUUCUAAAUAUGAUACAACGUCUAGGUGGUAAACAAGCAUAUAGCAAACCUUUCGAUCCAAACUCUAUGAAUAGCAUAACGAAUGUGAAUUUCUUGGAGCUAUUUGAGGAAUCCCAACAUAAUUGUGCAUGUCUAAGUGUUUUUGUUAGAAAUUGUAGAAGAUAUCAUAUAAUGUGGGUUCUUGGAUUCUAAUAUCUUCAUGGCUCCUAGUUUGCUUCCUGUAAUAAGAUACUUCUCCCUAGGUACUCAACAUUCCAAGCAGCAAAUUCCUUUUAUUCAUGGUGGGUUUGUAAAAAAUAGUAUACUAUGAAAACUUUUGAUACUUUUAUAUUCAAGAUUUUAUAAAACGACAUGUGCAGGCUUUGUAAUUCAGAUUAUCAUUUGAGAUAACUUAGGAAGACUUUCCCUUUACAUAAGCAUUAUGGUUUCUCAGUCACAUUCGUUAGAUUGUAAUCAUUUGAAAAUGCAUUAUGCGUGAUCUAAGGAAUAACCUCAAAAGAUAGAGAUUAAGGCAACUUUGUAGUGUUUGGAUAUAGUUCUAGUACAUAUAUUUGUAUGUAUUAGUUUUAAUGUGACUUUGUUGGAAAUUAUGAAGGUAUAAUAGCAAGUUGGUUAUUUUCCUUUAUCUGACAUUGGUGGGGGAAGAAACCUUGUAUAGGUUUAUAAGUCUUUUUCUUCGAUAGACCUUCAAAGGAUUUAGUGGAUCAAACGAAUGGGCCAAGCCCAUAUAUGCGCGCCUAGCCUAGCCUCGCUUAGCACUAGCCGACGUCGUGAGUGCGUGAAAUGGCGCGAUUUAGGCACACUUGGCACUUCGCACGACGUGUCGGUCAUUAGGAGUUGAGGAGCUUUUAUUUUUGACAAGUUCGGGUCAAGUCUGUUUGACCGAUCCGGUCAAAUGGUUGACCGUCGUUGACUUCAUGGAGGUCAAGUCGGAAUAUUCUAGAAGGCCCAAAAAUAGCUUGCUUGGAGAGCAAGUCGUUGCCCUAGGGUUUCUAGGGGGCUGGCCCAUGAGUGGCCCCUUUAUUACCUUCUAGGUUUUCGACACCUAUAAAUACAACCCUCUGGGAGCCGUAUUCAACUUACGAAAAUUGAAAGCUCUCUCAUUCUCUUUGCGAUUUCUUCCCGGUUUCUUAGUAUUCAAUUUGCGUUUAUCAUUCUCCAUUCUUGUUGGAAAAUUGAAAAUUUUGCAUUAAAUCAUGGGGUUUUAUUCUGUUGCGUACAACCAAUAGAAGCGAAGUAAAAACCUUUAAGGACAAGAGUCUGAUCCGUGCAAUUAUUCUACGAUCAAGAGCAGUCGUCAACAAGUUGGUUUUAUAUUAUUGUUUUGUCUUUACUUUCGUCUAACAACAGGACAAUCUGCUUCUACUCCUUUCGUAUAAUCAGAUUAGGUUGAGAAGGAUUGAUCGGAUUUCUAGACGAAACUUGGUAAUUAUAAUAAUAAUAAUUGAAUUUAUUUAUCGCAAUUAAUCGACAUAUAAUUCUCAAUAUUAUUUGUUGGUUUCUUUGCGUGUCUAUUAGUUUGUUUUACAACAACCUUAAACGUUUUUCAUAAUUUGUGUUUAUAAAUCCACAGACUAAUGGACACCCAAAUCCCAACUGCUAGUCUCCACUACAUGAAUCAAGAGUUUGCUAAGCUUGACCGAUUCGAUGGUUAGAACUACACUCGCUGGGCUAACAAGGUCAAGUUCAUGCUUCAUGUGCUAAAUCUCGCCUAUGUUUUGGACUCAAAAUUGGCCCAAUUCAUGCUGAUCCAAUUCCUGAGGCGGGGAAAGCUGUGGAUCCAACGAUCAUCUCUCAUCGGGAAAAGAAAAGGGGUCUAUGUAGAGAGUAUGAGGAACUAUGUGUGGGUCACAUCAAGAACUCAAUCUGAUCGGCUCUAUGAUCUUUACGUGUAGGUAAAAGAUCAAAGAGAGUUAUGGAGUGCUUUGGAACUCAACUACAAGGCACAUGAGGAAGGUACCAACAAGUAGUGUCAAUGUGCCUAGAGUUUCAAAAUGGAUGAUGACAAACCUAUCAUGGAGCAAGUGCAUGAACUUCAGGUCAUGGUCAACAAGCUGAAUGUGCUCUCCAUCUCGAUACCAUAACUCUUUCAGGUUGGUGCGAUCAUCGCAAAACUGCCACCCUCGUGGAAAGACUUCUUUAAGAGAAUGAUACACAAAUAUGAGGUCUACUCCUUGGAUGAUCUGAUGAAACACCUUCGCAUUGAGGAGGAAACUCAUAUACAAGCAUGGUAAAGUCAGAUCGAGUGUGCACCAUGUAUCAGUUGGGGGUUGUGGUCAUAAGACCAAGUUUGGAGGACAAAACAAAAGAAACUUGGGACCCACGAAACAAAGCUUCAAGAAACCAAGUCAUCAGAAUCCUAACUCAAAGCUGAAGAGGAACGAAACUUGCCAAGUCUACAGAGAUAUUGGGUAUUAUGGGAGAGAAUGCAAAGAUUGCAAAUCAGGACCGGUUGCACAUGCAGUUGAGCAAGUGACUAAUAUGGUGGCAAGUGUGAACCUUGGAGGUAUUUUUAUGAUCUCUUUGCUUACCCGAGCAAUCUGUGCUCGAGGAUGGUCCGUAGACACUGGAGCUAUUGUGCAUGUUUGUGGGCAACGAGAGAACUUCCGCACUUACCGUCCAAUGCCACCAGGAAUGUUAGUUGUCUAUGUUGAUGGUCACAUAGCUGAAGUUCAAGGAAUAGGUGAUGCUUGUAUGAAGUUCACUCGUGAUGAGUGGGUUACCCUUCGAGAUGUUCUUAAUGUUCCUACUAUCCCGAAGGGGUUGGUUUCUGCGGACAAGUUUGAAAAGGGUGGGUUCAAGAUGGUGCUUGAGAAUGGAAAAAUUGUGAUCACUAAGGGCGGAAGAUAUGUUGGGAGGGAGAAAAAUUGUUCUAGGAUGUAUCGUUAGUGCCUUAGUGAUGAGGGUAGUGCGAGUAGGCCAAGUGUUGAGAGUAAUGGUGCUAGUGCGAGUGUUGCGAGUGUGUCUUGUGUUCUAGUAAUGAUGUAAUUAAUGGAUUGGUUGCUAAUGUGAAUGAAGUGCUAAUUAUUUUGUUUGUUCAAUUUCUUUAUGGCAUAAACGUUUAGCACAUACUAAUGUUAAAAACAUUGAAAAAAUGUAAACUAAAGGAAUGUUAAAAUAUGAGUCAAAAGAUUUUGAAAAUGUGAAACUUGUGUGAAAUCAAAGUUUACAAAGAAACAAUUUCCAUUAGUUAAGAGAAAUACAACAUUACUCAAGUUGAUUCAUUCUGAUAUAUGUGAAUUAAAUGGAAUACUUACUCAAGGAGGAAAGAGGUAUGUCAUCACAUUCUGUGAUGAAUCCAGUCGAUAUCUAUAUAUUUAUUUUCUAAGAUCAAAAGAUGAAACUUUUGAUGCAUUUAAACUAUAUAAUGUUGAAGAUGAAAAUCAACUAGAAAGACACAUCAAAAUUCUUCGUUCAGACAGAGGCGAAGAAUACUUUAACUAAGAGUUUGACACAUUCUGUAAAGAGAAUGGAAUCAAACAUGAGAUAACUUCACCAUAUACUCCCUAAUAGAAUGGUUUGGCCGAAAGAAAGAACUAAACCCUUUGUGAGAUGGCCAACUGUAUGCAGAACCAAUCGGGUAAGUCAAACAAUCUGUGGGGAGAAGCCUUAAUUAUUGACUGCUUGUUAUGAUCAUAAUAGGAUCACUAGUCGUCUGAUUCCUAAAAGCCCUUAUGAGUUGUGGAAAGGUAGAAAGCCUAACCUAGACUAUUUGAAAGUGUAGGGAUGUGUUGCUUAUUAUCGAACUCUCGAUCCUAAGUGAACCAAAUUAGGAGCACGAACUAAUAAGAGUAUAUUUAUUGGAUAUGCUCACAAUAGCAAGGCUUGCCGAUUAUUAGAUAUUGAAUCAUGUGUUGUUAUGGAAUCCAUAGAUGUGGAAUUCUUUGAGGACAAGUUUUCUAGGGAUGAUGAAAACUCCAGUCAUAUGACAUCUUCAAGUACUUCUCAAGAAACACUGCCACCUCCUCCUAUAGUGGAGGAACCUAAGAGAAGUACUAGGGCUAGAAUAGAGAAAAGUUUUGGAGGCGAUUUCAAUUCUUAUUUGGUCAAAGGAACACAAAAGAAAGUGACAAUAAAGGUCAUAUUCGCCAUUAACUUGGAUGAUGAUACUAAGACCUUUAUUGAAGCCAUGACGUCUAGAGAUGCUCAUUUGUGGGAGGAAGUCAUCAAUGAUGAAAUUGACUCAAUUAUGGGUAAUGGAACUUGGGAGUACGUUGAUCUAUCCUAAGGGAAGAGACCUAUAGGAUCCAAAUGGAUAUUCAAGAUAAAAUAUCAUCCAAAUGGAUCCAUAUCAACGAGAAGGGAUCGAUUUUUUUGAUACCUAUGCCCCAAUUGCUAUGAGCAGUUCUAUUAGAACUUUCAUAUCAAUAUCAUCUUUGAAAGGAUUGUAUAGUCAUCAAAUGGAUGUUAAGACAUCCUUUCUUAAUGGUUAUCUCAAAGAGGAGAUCUACUUAGAGCAACCUAAAGGUUUCGUGAUACCUGGACAGGAAAAUAAAGUGUGUAGACUUAUUAAAUCCUUGUACGGGUUGAAGAAAGCUCCCAAACAGUGACAUAAGAGAUUUGAUACCACUGUGAAUACUUUUGGUCUUCAACACAACAGUGCUAACAGAUGUAUUUAUUCCAAAUACACAUCCGAUUACAUAGUAGUAAUAUAUAUUUAUGUUGAUGAUAUGUUGAUCGUUGACACUCACCUAAAAGGUAUUCUUAAGACGAGGAAAUACCUAUCCUUUAACUUUAAGAGGAAAGAUCUUGGUGAAGUUGAUACAAUUCGUGGUAUCAAGGUGAAAAGGACAGGCGGUCAGAUUUCUCUGAGUCAAUCUCUUUAUAUAGAGAAAAUUCGGACAAAGUUUCAACGUUUGAAUGUUAAGGAAUUCAACACUCCUUUGAGUCAAGUAUGAAACUAAAUGUGAAUUCUGGUCGGGCAGUGGCUCAACUGGAAUAUGCAAGGGCAAUUGGGAGCAUGAUGUAUGCAAUGCAUUGCAAUCGACCUGAAAUUGCAUUCGUUGUAAGCAAAUUGUGUUAGUAUACUGUCAAUCCAGGGACAGAGCAUUGAAAGGCAGUGUUUAUAGUAUUGAAUACCUAAAAUGGAUAAGUACUUUUGAGUUGACGUAUUCGUCAUCAAAUAGAAUACUAGAAAGGUAUUUUUGAUGCUAGCUGGAUAGAUCACACCAGUGACUUGAAAUCCACAAUUGGCUGGAUUUAUACUCUAGUUGGCGGUGCUAUUUCUUGGGCGAGCAAGAAACAGACAUGCAUAGCUCAUUCAAUGAUGGAAGCAGAGAUAAUUGCCUUAGCAGCAGUGGGCAAAGAGGCAAACUGGAUUCAAUAUCUACUUAUGGAUAUCCGUCUAUGGUAUAUUCCAAUGGCUUCAAUACCCAUGUAUUGUGACAAUGAAGCCACACUGUCUAAAUUAUAUAAUGUGGUAUAUAAUAGGAAGUCGAGACAUGUAGGUCUGGGACACAAUUUUGUGAGACAUCUAAUUGAAAGUGAUAUCAUCAAGGUUGUCUAUGUCAAGACAAGUAGGAACUUGGCAGAUCCGUUUACCAAACCUCUGACGAGACAUUUGGUUACAUCUACCACGAGAGCCAUGGGUCUAAAACCACAAUAUAAUCGCUUAGUGAUGGAAACCCAACUUAAAGACUGCCUCAAAUCAUCCAAGUCACUUCCCUACUAUCAAUUACUUCACUUGCACUAUAAAGUGUCCUAUGCGCUAAAACAUCUCUUAGGCUUUCCUAUGGUUCCUUUCCCCAUCACACUCCACCAUCAAGUGCAGAAGAGACUCCCUCCAAUACCUUCUCACUACCUUACGAAUAUAAUUAUAUGUCAAUGACACCAGAUUAUUCUUCGACUGCUAGAUCCCUCCCAUAAUGGUUGGACUCAAACAAGAGUUGUGCAAUAGGGUUGAACCCAACCUUCUAAAAUUAUCUAAUCCCGACAACAUGUAAUUUAACGUGUUCACUUAAUAGUUAGCUGACACUAGCAGAGUCCCUAAAAGCACAAAGCAAGCAGCAUUCGAGCAUUGAGUAGUCCAAUCCAGUGCAUCACCUAAAUAGGCCAUUUUAUCAAAUAUCCAAAAUCCAUACUAGAAUGCAGUUCUACGAGCUCAAACAAUAGGCAUAUAAAGGUAUCUCUCCUAGCAUUCUAUCAUGCAAACCUGAGCAGAUCCUUAGCCCUAAUCUAGUAAGUAAUUUUCAUAUACUCAUAUCAAAUCAAUAGCAUAACACAUGCAUGAGUAUUUUGUGAAAUACUUACUUGAGCUCGGCUGAUUGUACACAUCGCACCCAUUUUCUUUAUAAUUUUUUUUUUGAAAAUUCAUUCUUUCAAAAAGAUUAUCUAUUCCUCAGUUUGAGUUCAAACACACCCGAGAGUGUGCCCAAAUCCCUCAAACCAAGGCUCUGACACCAACUUGUAACGUCCCAAAAAUACUAAGUAAAAGUUUUUAUUUCAAGUCAACCAAAAUAGUCAUUCAUUCAUUCCAAACACUAGUGGAUGUUAUGUGAUCAUCUCGGACCCUUUCCCUUCGAACCAGAGGUAGCUGAAACCAUAAACAUAAACUAUAAGCACAAAUUUUAGUGAGUUUCCCCCAAAAUACCCCAUACAAGACAUAUAUAACAUCACGAAGCUAAACUGAGUCUAUUUCAUCCUUGAGUUUAUUCCAACUCCUUCGGUAUCUUUCAACCGGUAUGAGUCUAUUUUACCCUUGAGUCUAUUUCAACUCCUUUAGUAUCUUUCAACUAGUGUAGGUCUAUUUCACCCCCCGAAUCUAUUUCAACUCCUUCGGUAUCUUUCAACCGGUACUGGUCUAUUUCACCCCUACAUCUAAGUAUACAGUCAUAUCAGCAACACUCACAAAGACAACAAGCACAUACAUACACAUUAACAAGUGUCACAAAGACAACUGUCAUCCUACAAACAUAAUCCAGUGAGCCGACUUUGGUGCCUUCGACCCCCGAGUACAGUGAAAAAACUCACCUCUCAGUCGAUACUCGGCUAUUGCUGCUUUUACUGGUAGAAAUACCAAUGCUACGCACCACCUAUACCAUUACACAAGGUAACCCUUAGCUCUUCUCCCCAAAUACGAUGAAAUCGACGAUUUCCGGGUGAAAUCAAUGUUUUCUUGCAGAAAUUGAUAAUGAAUUUGUAAUUGUUGUUUGGCAUUUGGUAUUUUUUUGCUGAAAUCUCCAUUGUUAAAUGUGUCGUUCACACAAAUUGCUCCACUGUUAUGUUUUACUCAAAUUGUUUUCAGGAGGCAUGUUUUUAUUAAAAGUGACACUUUGACAUAAAGAUUGAUGAAUUCAAUUUGGAAUUGAGGAAUUUUGAUUACAUAUCCUUUGCAAGGUUGUAGAACUCGUUACUCGGUACCUGUUCGGUCGACUACCGAGUAGCGAGUACUCGGGAGUACUCGGAUUUGGAAAUUUGUGUAGAAAUAUUUUUAGGGAAAUUAUAUAUGUCAAAAUCAUAAGAUAAAAUCAUAAGUUGAUUGAUAUAUAUAACAAAAUUGGAUACAUGUGAAUACACAAAAAAUGAAAAAUACAUAAUGGUCUCACUUCGUGAAUAAUUACUGAAAAUUUAAGACAUAUAUGUAGUAAUAAUCACAUGUGUGUGUGUUAAAUAAUAAAUCAUUAAGUAUAUUAUAUAUAUUAAUCACCAAGUUGACCGAAUUUCACAACACUACUCAGUUCAUAAGGGGUCGAUCGGGGAGUACUCGGGAUUAUGUAACUCGCCUUGGCAAGGGGGGAGUAACGAGUACUCGGAGGAGUAAUCAGCCAACUCGGCGAGUUUUACAACACUGAUCCUUUGAGCAGAGAUGGAAAAUGCAAUAUCAAGGCUGUUUUGGUCAUUUUUUUUCUGAAAUACCUUUUCUUGAUGUAUUAAUGUUGAAAUCUGAUGUGGUAAUGUAUGGACACGAAAAUCUGAUCUGAUGCUUUUUUUUUUCCUAAAAUCACAGCUCAUAUGAUAUAUGAUGAUGUGCUUGUAGGGUUUAUUUGGAUUUAAUAUAAUUUUUAGGAUUUGAAAAUAUUUAUGUUUUAUUUAGAUUUGUGUUCAUUUUGAUGUAUGUUCAAUUUGGAUUUUAUAUGAUGUUUAGGUUUUUUUAAUAAUUAUUUAAGAAAUUGUUUUGGUUUUUUAUAUAAACAAGCAUUUGAAUUCACUGAAAAAUAAUACAGAAUGGUAAUUUGGUUGGUUAAUAUUGUGGUUUAUACAAGUGAUAACAAUUGGAAAUUUUGAUAAAUUAUCGAUUCUAGCAGCAUACUUUGAAAAGUUGGUGAUGGAUUUAAUAUGCAGUUUUUAUAUAUAUAUGUUUAAAGUGUUUAUUUGUUUCCUUGUUGAAUUUGGAUUUGUAGCUUGCAACAUACUUUGAAAAGUCGGUUGCAAGUUUGUUGUCAAUUAUAUCUCAACAUUCAAUGUCAAAUAUUUUGUUUAUUAACUUUGAAAUCAUUUGGAUGUAAAAAAUGAUGUUAUUUUUGUAAAUAUAUCUCAAAAAAAUCAUUAUAAACUAUUGAAGAUAAAUUUUAAUUUAUGUUAAUUUGGAUUUUAUAUAUAUAUAUAUAUAUACACNNNNNNNNNNNNNNNNNNNNNNNNNNNNNNNNNNNNNNNNNNNNNNNNNNNNNNNNNNNNNNNNNNNNNNNNNNNNNNNNNNNNNNNNNNNNNNNNNNNNNNNNNNNNNNNNNNNNNNNNNNNNNNNNNNNNNNNNNNNNNNNNNNNNNNAAAAAAAAAAAAAAAAAAAGUUUACAACAUCUCUUUAUUGUUUUAAUUAUUGUAGGGGCAGAAUAUAUUUCUUUGUGUAAGUAAGAGGAGCUAAAUGACAUAACUUCCAUUUUCCAAACAAUUCUUCUCUUAAAUUACUUUUGCCCUUACCCUCGGGGUACUCUUUCAGGGCAACAAGAGUGCGAGACGAUCAUCGUUUCCCAAAUUCGAGCACAGGGUACUUACUUGAGGAGAAGCAAGAGGGGACAUCGGUUUCUCUCCAAAAUCAACGAGGUAAGUACAACGCAACUAAUCUCUAGGCGCAAAACCCCUUCUAAUAUGUAUAAUGUAUGCUACCUGUUUGAUGAAAAUCCCCGAUGAAUGAAAUCGAAUGUACUACUUUCCUAUUUCAUGACUUGAAUCUGCUGCAACAAAAAUUGAAUGCGAGCUCCAAUAUAUCCUGAUCUUAAGUUAUUUCUGUCAUACGCUGUUCGAUAUUUCGAACCAAUUUCAUAAAAAUUCCGAUUGUAAGUUAUUUGCCAUGUUUCUUGCCCUAAAACUCUCUUCUUUCAGCUUAGACCUACUCUAUAUUUCCAGCAGAUUAUAGAGAAUUCACAGAUAAUAUGAAUAAAGCUUCAGCAGGGUCCUCCUCCAAAGUGAAAGAGGGUUCAUCCCAUCCAUCAGAAACCUCAUUCAAGCGCAAAAGAGGAGUUUUUCAGAAAGAUUGUGAGUGAGUCUGACUUUCUCACAAAAAGCUUUAUCUUUCAUUUUCUGUUUAUAAACCUAACUUUGUUUUCAUCAGACCAUCUCUCUGAUAUCUUUAUUCUUGCUAAUGUUCUUGUGCAACAAAAUGUAAAUUGAAGUUUGAUUCUUGUUAAUGGUUUCUUCAAUAAUUUUGAUGAAGUCUCUCAGUAUGAAUGGGGUUUUAAUCAUGUUUUUGAUUUAUAUAUUUUGCCCUUUAUCACUUGUCUGUUAUUGUUUGAAACAGUGCAGCAUAUGAUGUAUGGUUUUGGAGACGAUUCUAAUGUAAGCAUCAUCUUUCAUAUCACAUCAUUUUAUCUUUAGUAUUAAUUUAGUACAAAUUUGAUUCAAUCAAUAAAAAAGAAGCAUACGUUUUCUUACAUAAGUUAUUGGUUCAAGAUCAACUUUUUGUUGACAAAGUAAUACUAUUCCUAACCAUUAAAAUGAUAACAACAAAUAGAUAACGUUUCUUUUCAAAUACCUUGAAACAAUUUCCAAGUUUUCUUUUCUGUGUUUUCACUUUUCAGCCAUUACCAGAGACUGUUGCUUUAAUGGAGGACAUUGUGAUGGAGUAUGUGACAGACAUGGUAACACACCUCAUCUACUUUACAUUUUCUUCUUUCUUUUUUCUUCUUCAUCAUAUUUUUAAUCUUUUAAUAUACAUAGUUGAUAUAUGAUUGUUUGUAAUUGUAGGUGCAUAAAGCUCAAGAUAUUGCAUCAAAGAGGGGAAAGCUAUUGACCGAAGAUUUCUUGUUCUUGAUUCGAAAAGUACUUUUUUUUUUACUAAAAUUAAAAAUAAAUUUGACCCAUGUAGAGAUGACAGAUUACUAAUAGUUUUGUAUUCAUAAAUGUGUUGAUAGGAUCUGCCGAAGCUAAACCGUUGUACAGAGUUGUUGUCGAUGAAUGAAGAAUUAAAACAAGCGAGGAAAGCUUUUGAUGUGGAUGAAGAGAAGUUGGCACAGCCAGAUUGAUAUAACAGGAUGUACUGUGUUUGGAAUGUGUUUGGAAUAUACUGUGCUUGUGUUUGGCGUAUACAGAAUGUACCUACUUUUGGCAAUUGCUAUAAAGAUUUCGAAAUGAAGAUUUUUUUUUAUUAAAUUUUAGUAUUUGAUUAAAAUUUUAGUUAUGGACGAGUUUGAGGAUGGAUUCUAGGAACAUAGGUACAAAUUUGAGGGAAGUGUGAUGGGUUCUAGAUAUCAAUUCACAAAUCACAAGCCUAAAGUCCCAAAUCGACGUUUAUUGUACCAUGUUUGAUACAAAUGAAUGUAAUUAUUAAGGAUGUUAUUUGGGUUGGAACCUGACCGAAUAGAUCCGAAUCUGAAUAACCCGAAAAUCGAAUAACGGUAAUUGCAUGAACUGAAAAUCGAACCGAUUAACCAAUUUGGGUUCGAUUCAGUUCGGGUAUUAAUCGGUUUGGGUAUUAUCCAAAUUGAUUAAUCGGUUCGGUUUUCAGUUCAGGUAUUAAUCGGUUUGGGUAUUACUCAAAUAACAUGUACAAGAUAAUUAAUGAUUUAAUAUAACCGGAAAAAAAAAAAACAAAUAAACCGUAUUAGGAAUAUAUAACCCGAAUAAUAGAAUAACAAUGUAUUUUUAUACAUCAACGUAAAACAUUCAAACACUAACAUAACAUAAUAACAUAUUGAAAGAAUAACAUUUACAUAGUAGAUUAACAUAAUGAGAAUUAAUUUCUUACCUGAGUUUCUUGAGUUGGAGCCUAAUUUUUCAUGACUAGACAAAGUAGAAAUUUGUGAAUCCUUAGAGAUAAUAGGAAUGGUCGAUUUUUGAAAGUCUAAAACAAAAUGAUGGAUCUACAGAAGUGAUUUGGAGUUUAGAAAUAGUUGAGACGAUUGGUCGAUUUUGAAACGAUGAGAACGAGCGUAGGGUUUUUUUUUCUGUUAUGAACGACGAGUACAAAAGUGUGAAUCGUGAUUUUGGUUGGCUUUUCUAAGAGUUUAUGUUUUUCGUAAUAUUUUCAAAAUGAUUCCCGGUUUCAAAUUUUUCGAAACAGAAAUCUCCGACAAAGUCCCAAAAUUUUGGUUUAAUUUACGGUUUAAUUCCAAAUUAAUUUUUUUUUUACAAAAAUCCUAAAAACUGGCAAAAUGCUGCAUUUUGACUGGCUAGAACCACAAACAAAUUAAUUUGAAACUAUUUCGUAAACUACCUAACAUAUUGGGACUUUUCUGCAAAAAAAGACUUUAUUGAUUUUAUUAUUAUUAUUAUUAUUAUUAUUAUUAUUAUUAUUAUUAUUAUUAUUAUUAUUAUUAUCAUCAUCAUCAUUAUCAUUAAAAUUUUAAAUAAGUAUAUUAUUUUUUAAAUUCUUUAUUAUUAAAAUUAUUAAGUAAAUACAUUAUAUAUAUAAUAUAUAUGUGUGUGUAUUUAUAUAAUUAUUUAUUUAUUAAUAUUAAAAAGAAUAAAUUUAAAAAAGUGAAAUUAAAUAAUCUAACAACUUUUUAAUAUGAUUUUAAGAAAAUAAUAAUUUUUUUAGCCCAAUAACCACUUGGUACGAAAUGGAGUUCCGGACAAAAAAAAACAUUUUUUUGAUCGAUUCAUGACUAAAACUUCGGAUUUCAGAAAGUAAAUACAAGUUGAUUGAACGUGACAUGAUAUGUUACGUUACGACCUGAAAAUAAAACAUAAAUAAAGAGGACCAAUUUAAUUCGAACUCGAUAUCCCCAACUUAUAUUGGGCUAAACACUAUUCAUGAUUACACAAUCAUCCACCAAACCCUCUUGUCAGUUUCAAAUUGACUCCACCCAAUCUCAAGAGUAAUUUCCUGUUAUUUUUAAGUUAACUCCCCUAAGGCCAAACGGUAUACGUUCGACGAAGAGUUUUGUGGUCGAGCUGGCCACGAACAACGGGCGUGCACACCACCCCGUUGUCUCAUGGUGGCUCGUUUUCGUGGUGGCUCGUUAUCGGGGCAACGAAGUCGCACGGCCAAUGAGAUUAAGAUGCAAAAAUUUGACCGUUGUCUAGCCGUUGAACGGUUAGUUUUGUAAAAAAAAUAAAAUAAAUAAAUAAACAAUUUAUUUACCUAUAAAUACCACAUUUUUACUCCUUAUUUUUUACACCAUUCUUUUCUUUCUCUAUACACAAACUACACACUACAUCUUCACAAUCAAAAAUCAUGGAUCCCAACCAAAAUACCCCUCUAAACUACCGAAAUCGCAAACCCGAUAACGCUUUUGCGUUAGAUACAACACCUCGACAAUUCCCGACUAUGGAGUCACCUCAAGGCGGUUUUAUCAAUUUACUUCAAAGUGGUUCCCCUAUCCAACAAACACCACUUUUCCAACAACAAUAUCAACCUUUUCCGGCUUUCCAACAACAACAAAUGCAACAACAAUACCAACAAUUUCAACAAUUCCAACAACUACAACAACUCCAACAACAAUCGUCACAACAACAACAACCACCAANNNNNNNNNNNNNNNNNNNNNNNNNNNNNNNNNNNNNNNNNNNNNNNNNNNNNNNNNNNNNNNNNNNNNNNNNNNNNNNNNNNNNNNNNNNNNNNNNNNNNNNNNNNNNNNNNNNNNNNNNNNNNNNNNNNNNNNNNNNNNNNNNNNNNNNNNNNNNNNNNNNNNNNNNNNNNNNNNNNNNNNNNNNNNNNNNNNNNNNNNNNNNNNNNNNNNNNNNNNNNNNNNNNNNNNNNNNNNNNNNNNNNNNNNNNNNNNNNNNNNNNNNNNNNNNNNNNNNNNNNNNNNNNNNNNNNNNNNNNNNNNNNNNNNNNNNNNNNNNNNNNNNNNNNNNNNNNNNNNNNNNNNNNNNNNNNNNNNNNNNNNNNNNNNNNNNNNNNNNNNNNNNNNNNNNNNNNNNNNNNNNNNNNNNNNNNNNNNNNNNNNNNNNNNNNNNNNNNNNNNNNNNNNNNNNNNNNNNNNNNNNNNNNNNNNNNNNNNNNNNNNNNNNNNNNNNNNNNNNNNNNNNNNNNNNNNNNNNNNNNNNNNNNNNNNNNNNNNNNNNNNNNNNNNNNNNNNNNNNNNNNNNNNNNNNNNNNNNNNNNNNNNNNNNNNNNNNNNNNNNNNNNNNNNNNNNNNNNNNNNNNNNNNNNNNNNNNNNNNNNNNNNNNNNNNNNNNNNNNNNNNNNNNNNNNNNNNNNNNNNNNNNNNNNNNNNNNNNNNNNNNNNNNNNNNNNNNNNNNNNNNNNNNNNNNNNNNNNNNNNNNNNNNNNNNNNNNNNNNNNNNNNNNNNNNNNNNNNNNNNNNNNNNNNNNNNNNNNNNNNNNNNNNNNNNNNNNNNNNNNNNNNNNNNNNNNNNNNNNNNNNNNNNNNNNNNNNNNNNNNNNNNNNNNNNNNNNNNNNNNNNNNNNNNNNNNNNNNNNNNNNNNNNNNNNNNNNNNNNNNNNNNNNNNNNNNNNNNNNUUAACUAAUGUAAUUUUUAUUUUGAUUGUUAUUUUUAUUUUAUUUUUUAAUUUCAAUUAAUUUAGUUUUUAUUUAAUGUAAUUUGGUAUUUUAAUUUAAUGGAAAAACUAGUAUUAAAAAAAUGUUUUUAAUGUAUUUUUGAAUUAACUUUAAAUAAAAAAAAUGAGGUGGAGUGGUGUGUUUAGUGGUAAGUAUCCCAUGUUAGUGGUAGUGAAAUGUGGUGCUGAUGUAGCACCCACCACAUAUGUGGUAUGUGGUGGGUAUAACGGAUGGUCUAAUAUUGAAAAUGCGACAACAAAAAUGAUCCAUAAAGUAUUGUUGAUGGAGAGUAUGUAACUAAAUUAAAAGGGAUAUCUUCAAAAGGCUGCAGCUUGAAAACUAUUCAUUUAAGCAACUAUUUGUCGAAACAAAACUAAUCGCUACUUGGAAAAUAUUCACGAACUAUUUAAAAUGUAUUUAUACAAGUAUUUAUUUAAUAAUAUUAAUAAUAAAGAUUUAAAAAAUAAUAUACUUAUUUAAACUUUUAAUAAAAUAAUAAUGAUAAAAAUAAUCAAAGUUAUUUUAUAUUAUUUUUGGGUAGAAAAGUCCCAAUAUAUUAUGUUAGUUUACAAAAUAAUCCCAAAUUAAUUUGUUUCCGAUUCUAACGGGUCAAAAUGCAACAUUUUGCCGGUUUUUAAGAUUUUUUUGUAAAAAAAAAAAUAAAAAAACUUGUUUGGAACUAAACCGUAAACUGAGCCAAAAUUUUAGUACAUUAUUGGAGAUAUCCCUUUUCAAAAUGCUACUUCUUUUCAUUUUUUUUUUAAAUGUUGCUUCCUUGUAAAUUUUUUGAAAAACUUAUUAUAUUUUGGUAAAUCUACAGAAAAGUCUCAACUUCUGGGAAAAGUUUUAAAAAAGUCUUAAUGUUUUUUUGAACAGAAAAAUCUCAUUAUUUUGAGAAAAUCACAUAAUUCGUCAUUUGUUGUUCAAAUAUAAAAAAUGGUUUUUUUUUUGUUAAUUUGGGAAAAAUGUUGAAUAAUCAGAAUUUUUCUGUUUAAAAUUUUUUUAAGACUUUAUUAAAAAAUUUCCCAAGAUAAUGAGACUUUUCUAUAGUAAUCCAUUAUAUUUUCGAAAUGCUUCUUAUAUUAUCGACCUACUUUCGCUAAUCCAAACUACUUUCUGUAAUAAUUUUAAAGUAUUUAUGUUUUUUCGGGGAGACUUUCGUGUUAAAUUUUCAAACUGCAUCUUCAAUUUUCUAACUAACCCCCCCUAAUUUAGUAUUUGGGAAAUAAAACAAUUUUCUAAAAUGUCUUUUUUACAAACUUUGAGGUUAUACCCUAAUAUUGCAUUUCAUGUGUUCAUUAUAUAAUACUUAUUUUCUAAUAGUCAUUGAGAUUACUAUCUACCGGAUGAUAUUUCCACUUAAGAAAUUAAUCCAUCCAUAUAAAAUAUAUGUUUUAACGACUUGUAUGAUAAUUGUAAUUGUAUUGUACCUUAUACAGAUGAAUCGAUUUCUGAAGUGAAAACAUCACUUCCCAAAAAGAUCACAAUGUGUAAGGGAGCUAAAAACACAUUUUUCCAUUAUUUUUGAUUUUUUAUAAUUAACCUAAAAGUUAAGGGGGUUUUAGGUCUUACUUUAAACAGUCGGGGACCAAAGUUUGUUUAUGUCAAAGUAAAAGGAGCUAAAAACACAUUUUCCGUUCCUAAACCCGUGACUUAACUCGUGACCUUGGGGCAGUCUUCUCGAGCAAUAAGAGUGCGACGAUCGUCCUUUCCUUGCGAUUAACCUCCAUCUCCAAAUUCCAUCACAGAAUACGUGAAGUGAGGCAAGCGACAACAACAAAUCUUCGAGUUUUUUUGCGUUGUUUCUGUAAAAUUAACGAGGUAUGUACAAAGCAUUUAUCAUUCUCGAGUGGAAUCUCUUAAACUAUAUAUGCAUUCUACCUGUUUGAUGAAAGUCCUCAGUGAAUACAAAGUUUUGUUUUAGUAUGGAACUGUAUUAAGCUUUUAUCCAAGAAAUCAGGUAGAAAUUUUCAUUCAAACUUCUAAUAAACUGCCACUAAUUUAUUUCCUCCUUCACCCCACAACUUUCUACUCUCAGAUUUCUUCAAUUGAAGGCAUUGAAUCACAACUGGUAUUGUCAAAAUGCUAGGUGGCCCUGGGCUUGAAUCUGUUGUUGAUCGUAAGUACAAUUCCAUUCCUUUUCAUUAAAUUUUGUUGUGAAAGAUUCGUUUAAAUGCUUUCUUCUUACAUUACGCACUCUUUCAGAGAAUUCUAUACUCAAUAUACUUGAUUUACUAAAGAACUUCUUUUCAUCUCUCUACAGAAAUCAUUUCAGUUAUCACAAAUGAUGGAAGAAACAUAGUGGUAAGUUUCAGUUUUUUUAACCCACAACACAUGAAUUCUUGUACUAAUUACAAUUAUUUGCAUUCAGGGAGUUCUAAAAGGUUUUGACCAAGCAACAAAUAUAAUUCUGGAUGAAUCUCACGAACGAGUUUAUUCCACCAAGGUAGGAAACUAUCAUUAAUCUUUCAAAAUUUGAUCUUUACAUAUGUUUUGUUAAUAGGCUGAUUCAAAUGUAAAAUAUUCUCCAUUUCUAUUAUUAAAUCCUGUUUUAACUUGCAGGAAGGAGUUCAACAACUUGUAUUAGGCCUCUACAUCAUAAGGGGUGAUAACAUGUAUGUUUAUACUUUAUACUUUCUAAGUUUCUUUUAAUCACACCCAUUUUAAUGAGUUUACUUUUAUUCAUUUAGAACACAAACCACCUAAAUAUUAAUACUAAUACUAAUGAUUGUUGUGCAGAAGCAUAAUUGGGGAACUGGAUGAGGAGCUUGAUGCAAGCUUGGAUUUGGCUGAACUGAGAGCUCAUCCUCUAAGGCCUGUUAUUCACUAAUUAUGAUGAUCUUAUUUUAUUAAAUCAUGUGUUUUAGGGGGAGUAAAUGUGAUACAUGAAAACUGAAGUGGUUGCUAUUUGUUAAUGCUAUGUAUUUGUUUUAGCUUUUGGUUGAAACUUGUUUGAAACAUGUUAAUUAUGUUGAUGGCAUUGUGUCUAUUCAUAAAACAAAAUUGAAAAAUUAAACUUGUGUAUCAAAAUGAAUGUGAUGGAUAAUUGUUAAUAGGAAAACGAGUAAAUUUGGAUUAGAAAAACGCUCUUGUGUUAAACAACUCAAAAUACAAAGUGUUUGAUGGACAUUGAGAUUUAUCAAAUAUACACUUUCUCACUCAUACUACAUAUUCAACUCUCAAGCCACAAGUGCCACAAAGAAGGAUAUGAAUGUCAAUAUCUCCUUUGUCAAGAUUCACUUUGACCAGUCAUCCGCUACUAGAGUAUAUUUAUCAAUUAAUUGUCUUGCAUAUGUUAAAUUACAUUUAUGAGUUGUAUUGCGUAUGUUAAAAGUAGAUACACACGCUUGUGACAUAAAGAUAUGUAUAGGAGUGGGUAUUGGUGAUGCUAUAAUAUUGAAUUAGUCGCAAUUAGUGAUGGAUGGAUCUCUAAUAUAAUAGUGGCUGCCCGAUCUUUAUGGUAUGCAUAGGAGUUGUUGAGAUUAUGAUAUUCCCUCUUGCAUCCUGAGUCUUGCCUCACAAUAAACAACCAUUUUCAUUUGUAUCUAGAAUUAGAUCGAGUCUAAAGUAAUCUGCUCUAAAUUUAUUUUUUUGUAUCCAUGAUAAUACCACAAAAUUACAUGGUUGGUCGGUAUAAUUUGUAUAAUUUACCAAAACUAACAUAGUUAUGUUAGGACAACUAUCAAAAUGUAUGUAUUUGUUCGUAUAUUUUUAAUUUCUUACAUCAUUGGUUCUUAUGUUUUCAUUUUUUUUUUUCAAAAUUGAGCUGAAAUUAUUCUUUUAACCAUACUUUGACUUUUUUUAAUUAAUUUUAUUUCUUUUUUUAUAUUAAAAUAAUUUUUUUUAUUAAAAAGUUACCCCACCUCACCCUAACCAUAAAUCCAACAACCUUUUUCAUAUUUCUCUCUAAAAAACUACUCUCUUCCUUCUCUCAAGACUUCAGCCGCCACCACUUUCAGUCGUUGCCUUCAACCUGUACCACCACUACCUCAGCUACCAUCGGCUAUUCACCGCUUUAAACAUGCACAUUGUCGACGAAAGAACUAGUCGUCGCCACUAACCCCACCUUAAUCCUACCACUACAUUUCCCCGUUUGCUUUAAGCCCAUUUCACAUAGUCCCUAUCUACUCUUCUUCUUUAUCUCUCAGUGGUAAAUUCGGCUACCAUCAUUAAUAAAUCUCGUUGCUACCGUUGGACUCACAUCACAGCCAUACCAUUUCCCUUUAACCACCACGCCGACAAUACUUCCUUUUAACCUUAUAGAACAAUCAACAAAACCCACCAACCAUUGGCCAGCCAAAAUCGAUAUAAGGCACCACCAUAUGUCACCACUGAUCUAUGCAAGCUAAACACGAUCUUGCUUCCUCCACCAUCGCUCAAGCUGAUCGUCACUCUUUCCAUCCUAAGCCCUAGGUUUUAAUGGGUAUAGCCAUCACCGACACAUUCAUUAACUCACCAUCCUCCAUCAUCAUCAUCAAUCCUCAUCAUCUCUCUCUCUCUCUCUCUCUCUCUCUCUCUCUCUCAUCAUGUGCUUUUCUUGAAGAUUUUUUUGCCACAGAUCCAAGGCUCCACCAUGCAAAAUCUCUGGUAACUGUUGCCUCCCACUUGGAAAAUCUUCAGCGACUGAUCCUUCACUUGGUACUCUUCAGGAUGAAGGGAAUAAGGGUGGUGGGCUGGUGGGGGGUCAAGGGUGUUAGCUUAAUAAGAUUAUGGGUUUUACUUUGUAUUGGGUCUUAUGUUGGCCCAUUAGCUAGAAAACCCUAAUUAGCUAGUCUAUAUAUUCUGUCUUUUCCUUUCAUUGUAUCUUGUGCUUCUCAUUUGAUAAUAAUAUGAAACCCUAGAUGUUCUAUAUCUUCUUAGUUUUCAUGGACCAUGGUAUCAGAGCUCGGUUGAUCAUCUAUACUUUUGUUUUGGGGGCGAGUUGUAGCAGGCACGACACUAUUCACAUUACUGUUCAUCGAUAUUGUUCACAUGUACUGUUCAUCUACACUUUUCACGUACUGUUUGCAAUUUUGGGUAUGGUUUUGUUGCUCGUUUUUGUAUUCAGUUUAAUUUGAUUAGUUCGUUUCGUCGAUUUCGAGGGUUUCAUUUCCUCUGUUGGUUUUGUUGAUUUCGAGAUCUUGAUUGUUGUUGCUAUUCAUAUUUAUUGUUAUUUUCCUUUUAUUGAUGUUGAGAUAUGGCCCCAAGAGAUGAUUCUCUUUAGUCCAUUAGUAUUCAACUCGAUGGCAAAAACUAUACCUAUUGGAGGUAUGUUAUGAAAAAUUUAUUACGAGGCAAGACUAUGUAUGUGGGGGAUUGUUAUAGGUUACAAGAACAAACCAACACACGAGAAGGUUGUUGAUUAUGCAACCUUAUUGGAUUCAUGGGAGACUGAUAACUCCAAGAUCAUUACUUAGAUUAAUAAUUUUGUUAUCCAGUCCAUUGGUACUCAGUUGGCGAAGUAUGAUACAUAAAAGGAGGUUUGGGAUCAUUUGGCUAGGUUGUAUACUCAGUCUAACUUUGCAAAGCAGUAUCAGUUAGAGUUUGAUAUUCGAGCCCUCCAACAAAACAAUCUUAGUGUUCAAGAAUUUUAUGUAGCUAUAUCAGAUUUGUGGGAUCGGUUGGCUCUACAAAACCUGAUGUGUUGAAAGCUUUUAAGCCUUAUAUUGAUAGAAGGGAAGAACAAUGCUUGGUUUAGUUCUUGAUGGCAUUACGUUCAGAUUUUGAAGGCUUGCAUGGAUCAAUCUUGCAUCACAUACCUCUUUCCACUAUUGAUUCGGUUGUUCACGAGUUGAUUGCUGAAGAAACUCGUAUCAAGUCCCAUGCUAACAAAUGUACAAAGACAGCCACUCCUGUUGUCUUUGUUGUUCCACAACGACCUCAGUCUUCAAAUCAAAAUCGUCCCAAAGUUGCAUUUGAUGAGUGUGCUUUCUGUAAGAAGAAGAACCAUUGGAAGGCAAAUUGUCCUUCGCUGAUAGGCAUUGGAAAUUAGCAACAACAACAAACGAGAUCAACUGCACAGUCUCAGCCUUCACAACAGAACAAAUCUUCUGGACAGUUACGUCCCUCGUUUCCAUUCUUUAGGCCACCACAGUACACUGCUUCUGCAACUUCAGUUGAGAAUGAACUAAAUUUUACAUCACCAUUAGCCUUGGAUCUCCAAAUUGUUGAACAGUCCAAACAGUUCAUUGCUAUUAAUAAGAUUAUAAACUUUAUUUUGUAUUGGGUCUUAUGUUGGCCCAUUAGCUAGAAAAUCUUAAUUAGCUAAUCUAUAUAUUCUAUCUUUUCUUUUCAUUGUAUCUUCUACUUCUCAUUUGAUAAUAAUAUAUAAUCUUAGACGUUCUAUAUAUUGUUAGUUUUCGAAGGGCAAGGUAUACUAGGGUCCAACUUUUAUUUUCUAUUUUUAAUUGAAAUAGUUAAAUAAUAUGAAAGAAAAUUUAAAAGGGUAAAAAAAACAAUAACUAUUUUUAUAUGGGUUAAUGACUAGUUAACAUUGACCGGCCAAACUAGAAACUAAAACAACAUAGACAAACACAUCGUUUUGAUUGUUGUCACAGAGAUUUUUUUUUUUUAUAAUAAUAAUAAUAAUAAUAAUAAUAAUAAUAAUAAUAGUCGUAAUAAAAGAAAAUAGGAAUCCAUGUACAAUCUUAAUUUAGUUAACAUUGACCGGCCAAUCAUAUACCACGAGUCCACCUUUCUUUUGAAUUAAAAUUAACAUAUUUAUUUCUAAGACAUACCAAAGAAAGUCUACUUGAAUCUAAAGAACUCAUAAAUGGAGACGACUUAAAUAAAAAAUGAUCUUUAUUAUCUCAAAUAUACAUAUGUAUAGUAAUAAUAAUGUAAACAAAAUACGAGUAUACAUAUAGAGAGAGAAGGGAGGAAAAAACCGAUCUACGAUCCUCCACUUUCUCAUGAAUAUCGAAUCAAGAACUACAAAAUAACACAAUAAUAAUAAUCAAUACAAUAAAUAAUAAAUGGAAAGAAUCAUAGCUUAAACCUGAAACUGCAGCUACUAUCCCUGAUCCUGAUAACAUUAUCAGUAGCCAAAGUAUUCACAUUCACUCUACACCUCACAAUCGGCUUCCACUUCGGCAACUUCAGCUUCCCAAGCUUAAUCCUCACCGGAACUUUAGCUCUCAAAACCAGCGGCACAACUCCGGUCUGUAUCUGCGCCUGCAACGAAUUCAACAACCCGGUGGCGUCCUGAGCUUGUCCCGUCAUCGGAAUGUUCAGCACCGUCGUGUUCCGGUGACCCUGAUAGAACUUCGGAAAUGAACCUUGACAUAGAGUCGUUCCCAUGUAAAUCACCGUCAACCUUGAUCCACCUUCGUAUGAGAUUCCGAUCUUCGUGUUAGGGUUUCUCGCUGUAAUGUUGACGUUAAACUGAGCGGAUAAGGUGUUGUCGUUGUUCGGAUUGAACUGGGUGAUGGUCAUCCCGUCGACGGAGUAUUUCGGGAGUUUUGGAUCGAAUCCGAAGUAGAUGAUUGCUGCUAGGAUUCCGACGAUCAUGAUUAAGAUGAAGAAGAAGCAAAGUAUGCAGCAUAGGAAGCGGCGGCAGCAGUGUCGUUUCUUUGGUGGUUUGGAGUAUUGGAUCGGGAUUGUACGCUGGUAUGGUGGUUGUGGCUCCGCCGGAUUGCCGUGGUCGGACCUGGAUGAGCCUCUGGGCACCAAUGGCGCGGUGGGUUUCUGUUGGGAUUCCAAGUCGGUCGCCGGCGUGACCGGGUCCGGGUGGAUUCUCUGGUGAUCGGACAUUGGAAUGUGAAGAAGAAGAUGAAGUGAAUGUGAAUGGGUUCGAGAAUGAAGCAAAGUCGGACACUUUUUUUCUUCUAAAAUGACGGAAACUUUCGUAUUAUAUAAGACUUGUGAAUGAACAAGAGUAGAUAAAGUCAUAUGGAAGUAGACUUUUCUAAAAUUGACCUUUCACUAUGCAUCGAUUGACAUUUUGUACCUUUUACUUUGAAUUUCGUUUUUGUUGUCUAAAAUACCCAAGUUAUGUCGUAAUAAUGUUCAAAAUAAGGGAACAAGUGUUUUGAAAAUGGUUUGGAUUUUUAUUUUUAAAUUAACUAAAUAUUAGGAUUGGUUUGCUUCUUAUAAAAAACCAUAUAAAAAACCUAAACGUAUAGAAUACCAAAAUGACUCUUUAUGUAUAUUUGUGAUUAAUUAAAUAUUCUAAAAAUUAAAUUGAUUUACAUAUAUCUAUGAUUUUCAUUGCAAAUUAACAUAUAGUGAAUAUCUUUUGUAUUAUUUUUGUAUACUUUUAGUUAUUUGUUAAAUUUUAUUACCAUGGUUUAUGCAUAAUAAAAAAUAGUCAUAAAAAACCAAAAAUAACAAAUAAAAAAUUUGGAAAGACAAAACAUUACGGUUUUUCAAUGUCAAAAACUAAAAUCCAUGUCAAGAUAUCAUGUAGAUCUUUUCAAGCUGUUUGUCGUAGAUAUAGACCUCUUAUUAAAUACAUUUGUAAUGAUACCCUUAUUUAAAUGAUUAUUUCAAAUAACAAUAACAAAUACAAUAUUAAGAAUUUAUAUAUCCAAAUUUAAUUCAAGUUAUCGUGUUAAAAUAAUUUGACACGUUUGCCCCAAUGUACGUGUCAUCCAUAGACUUGUUUCAAUGGUUAAUAAUUUCAGAUGAACAAAAUGAAUUAUGAAGGUGUAAUUUUGGUAGUUUGGACCAUAAGUAAGAAAUGCAUACCACGUGACUAAACGCGUUUGUUGUUUGAAAAUGAAGGGAUAAGUUUUGUAAUUCACUCAAAGUAAAAGGGUCGGAAGCUUCCUUGUUUGACUAUAUAAUAUAUACGAAUUUGUUGGGCGAUCUCUUUCCUGGUAGAUUUCUAUACACGGCUUGGUUAAAUAGUGUUUACAUGUAUCAAUGUUUCGGUUGGCUGAUUCCACCAUUUUAAGUAUUGCAUCGAUGGGUUGUACUGUACAAUUUUAGAAGGCACUCGUACAACACAGUAAUGCGUGAAAUCUUUGUAUGUAGGUACAAAUGAAUGUUUUUUUUGGGUUAGCUACCCUAAAGACUUGGUGCCUUUUUUUGUGCAUUUAAUUUCAAAUAUUGACGCGUGCGUUUACUUUUUUAUUUUUUAUUUUUAUGAAUAUGAAAAAUAUCUUAGUGUGACAUGUUUUUACGGUUUUAUGACAACAAAAUCGUAUAUUAUUGUAUACAUAACAUUAAAUCAGUGAUAAAUUGAAACACAUAUUUAAAAGGUGAUUCAUAUACAAAAAUUUUGUGUCAUACAGAACAAAAAUAUGUUUUUUUUUUUUCUUUUUGCAUAUCGUACGACUCUUUAAAAGAUAAAUUUUUGUGUACAACAAGUACGAAUCAGUAAUUAAUAGAAAACCUUUUUUAUUACGUUUUUUUUAAUUGUAUAAGUUUGUUAAAUAAAUAAGUCAUAAACUUUAUUGCGAAACAUACAAACAACACCUAGACAUCAUGGCAACAAAAUCACAAGUCAAAAUUAUCAUUUAGAAGUUAUUAAAAAGUGAUUUGAGUGUAACGUUAUCUAUAAAUAAUAUUAUUUAGUAUAUACAAAAAGAAAUAAGGUAACCUACAUAAGUACAAUAAAAACAACACUUCAUAAUUUAUCGCCUCAAACCUUAAUAACUUUUAAAUUCCAUAAAUAGUCCAUUGCAUGUUUCUAGAACUCUUAACAAUAAACAAUGGUGUCACUUGGGUUCCUUUUUUUUUUUUUCUCAGAAAGCAUUUCGGCGUCCUUUUUUUAAUGAUGGUUUCGCACCUAGAACUUAGAAAUUCCCUUUCGUGAAAAAAAAAAAUCGUAUUAGCAAUUUAAAACUACUUGGGAUUAUUAAUUUUAAAUUGGUCAACACGUUUUUUCGUAUGUUGUUUAUCAAAAGACGAUUUAAAUAUUCUAUUUUUAAAUAAUUUUGUAAGAAGUUUUAGAAAGAAAAAGUAAUGUUGACACUUGAUAAAUAUAUACCCAUACAAAAAUUAUUAAUUUAAAAAAAUGAUGUAAUACUACAAGUAGCAGCCUCAUGUAUGCAGUAUGCUUUGUCCAGAUAUGUUUUGAAUUAUUCAAGUUUAACCUGGGAAGCUUUAACUUCCUCUCGUUUUCUCUUGAUAGAUAGCAUCUUAAAAAACCUUAAUUUAGAAUAACAAACACCCAAUUAAUAAUUUUUCUUUUUUACAUGCAAANAUGUUAACCAUCAUAUCACACAACAUAAGAUGGGCCGACCUUGGUGCCUUAGACCCAUUGGUAUGGUGAGAAGACUCACCUGCACCUAUCGGCUGAAGAAAUAAGAUCACGCUGCUCCAACCACCGUCACAAACUCCUCCACUGGUCAACACCAAAAUAACUGAAGGUCAAUAAAUACCAAUAAUUACCAAAAUACCCCUAGAAGUCAACUGGUCAACUCUUGGUCAAAGUCAAAGUUCGUAGUCAAAGUCAAACUUCCUGACUGACUCUACUCGCCAAGUCAACCCGCUGACUCGUCGAGUCCAAGAAUCUUCGAGUUCCAUCCUACUCAACUCACCGAGUUGUCCCUCAACUCACCGAUUCAUGACUUAACCAGAAAAGGUUAGGGUUCCAUCACCAGACUCGCCAAGUCCAAGGCAAUCUUCAACAGACUCGCUGAGUUGUUCUUCCAACUCGCCGAGUUCAUGCACAUAUUCAUACAACUCGUCGAGUACAAUCAUGUGACUCGCCGAGUAUCUUUAGUUCUCAAUCCAUUCAGAGGCUUUUCAAGCCAUGCAGGGGCUCCAAUCCAUUCGUCCAGCUGUUACAAGUGCGGCAAGUUAGGGCACUUCAACAGGGAUUGUACCGCCCCUACACCUGUGAUGCAGACAUCGAAGUUGUUGUGUUUCCACUGCAACCAGAGGGGCUACAAGAAGGCCAAUUGCCCCCAGUUGACAGCAUCAACGUCGGUUAAGGCGCCAGCUCCAGCUACCCUGCGGAUUACAGAUGGCCAGCAGGUCAAGGCAGAGGCUCCAAUGGUGAGGAGUCGGGUGUUUCAGCUGACUACCGAGGAGGCACGCGCCGCACCCGAUGUGGUGACGGGAUCGUUCCAUGUGAACGGUAUCCCAGUUCAGGUGUGGUUUGAAUCGGGUGCCACCCAAUCAUUUGUUUCCCUUGCGCUUAGCAAGAGGUUUACUGAGUCUUCGGGCAUGUUAGAUUGCCCUUUAGAGGUAGAGAUUAUCGAUGAUCGAUCGGUGCGAGCGUCAGCAGUAUUCAGGGAUUGUGUUCUAAGGUUAUUUGAGGAGCGCUAUUUGGUAGAUUUGGUUCCCAUACCAUUGCGGGGGAACAAGGUGAUUAUCGGCAUGGAUUGGCAGAGCCCUAAUGGGGCGGUGAUAGAUUGCGCACAUCAGCUAGUGCGGAUCAGGAUCCCAAGUGGGGGAGAGUUGGUGAUCCACGACGAGAGACCACAGCGUGGACCCGCAGUAUGUUCAGCAGCGAGAGCUAGGCUCUACCUUCAGCAGGGUUGCGCGGGAUAUGUCGCGUACGUUAUGGAUACCCGGGAUACGGGUAAGGUGACGGUGAGCGAGGUUCCAGUGGUGCGAGACUACACUGAUGUGUUCCCGGAGGAGCUUCCUGGAAUACCUCCGGAGCGUCAGGUAGAGUUCAGGAUCGACCUAGUUCCUGGUGCGGCUCCGAUAGCCAAGGCACCCUAUCGGUUGGCUCCUCCUGAGAUGCAGGAGUUGUCUACGCAGCUACAGGAGCUGCUAGAUCAGGGAUUCAUUCGUCCGAGNNNNNNNNNNNNNNNNNNNNNNNNNNNNNNNNNNNNNNNNNNNNNNNNNNNNNNNNNNNNNNNNNNNNNNNNNNNNNNNNNNNNNNNNNNNNNNNNNNNNNNNNNNNNNNNNNNNNNNNNNNNNNNNNNNNNNNNNNNNNNNNNNNNNNNNNNNNNNNNNNNNNNNNNNNNNNNNNNNNNNNNNNNNNNNNNNNNNNNNNNNNNNNNNNNNNNNNNNNNNNNNNNNNNNNNNNNNNNNNNNNNNNNNNNNNNNNNNNNNNNNNNNNNNNNNNNNNNNNNNNNNNNNNNNNNNNNNNNNNNNNNNNNNNNNNNNNNNNNNNNNNNNNNNNNNNNNNNNNNNNNNNNNNNNNNNNNNNNNNNNNNNNNNNNNNNNNNNNNNNNNNNNNNNNNNNNNNNNNNNNNNNNNNNNNNNNNNNNNNNNNNNNNNNNNNNNNNNNNNNNNNNNNNNNNGACGCGUUAUGGCCAUUAUGAGUUCGUGGUGAUGCCGUUUGGGCUCACCAAUGCUCCUGCCACGUUCAUGGACCUCAUGAACCGCGUGUGUAGACCGAUGUUGGAUCGGUCUGUGAUAGUUUUCAUUGAUGACAUCUUGGUUUAUUCCAAGACGCAGGAGGAGCACGAGGAGCAUCUGAGAGAGGUUUUGGAGACCUUGAGGAGGGAGAGCUUGUACGCCAAGUUCUCCAAAUGUGAGUUUUGGUAGCGCGAGCUGCAGUUUCUUGGGCACCUCGUCAACCAGAACGGGAUUUUAGUAGACCCAGCUAAGGUGGAGGUCGUGAUGAGAUGGGAGGUUCCGAAGUCUCCAGCCGAGAUUCGGAGUUUUCUAGGAUUAGCAGGCUACUAUCGUAGAUUCAUUCAGGAUUUCUCCAAGAUAGCCAUACCCAUGACACGGUUGACUAGGAAAGCCAUGGUCUUUCGAUGGGGGCCUGAGCAGCAGGCAGCGUUCGAGAUUCUGAGGCAGAGAUUGUGCGAGGCGCCAAUCUUAGCUCUGCUCGAGGGCGUAGAGGAUUUUGUGGUAUACUGUGAUGCGUCUAUCUUGGGCUUAGGCGUAGUAUUGAUGUAGAGGGGACAUGUCAUUGCUUAUGCCUCGAGGCAGCUGAAGCCUCACGAGGCGAACUACCCGACGCAUGAUUUAGAGUUGGGGGCGGUGGUCUUCGCCCUCAAGAUUUGGCGGCAUUACCUCUACGGGGUUCGAUGUACCAUUUUCACGGAUCACAAGAGUUUGAGGUACCUCAUGGAUCAGCCGAAUCUGAACAUGAGGCAGCGUCGGUGGUUGGACGUGGUGAAGGAUUAUAAUUGCGAGAUCCUUUAUCACCCGGGGAAAGCCAAUGUGGUGGCCGAUUCACUUAGCCGUAAGGCGGCACCGAUCGGGGAUGUGUGUAUAAGGAUGACGGUGGUGACUCCACUGUUAGAGCAGAUUCAGAAAGCUCAGCAGGAGGCUAUGAAGGAGGAACAUCGGAAGAGUGAGCGAAUAGUGGGUCAAGUCACCUCCUUCGAUUAUGAUAGCCGAGGAUUAUUGACACUACACCGUAGGGUGUGGGUGCCGUAUCACGGAGGCGUGCGCCAGAUCUUGAUGGAGGAGGCGCACAAAUCCCGAUUCUCUAUUCAUCCAGGGGCGACGAAGAUGUAUAGGGAUCUUCGUCUAGACUAUUGGUGGCCCUGCAUGAAGCGGGAUGUGGCCUAGUACGUCGAGCGAUGUUUGACCUGCAGGAAGGUCAAAGCCGAGCAUCAGAGACCGCAUGACAAGAUGCAGCCGUUGGAUAUCCCGUUGUGGAAAUGGGAGGAUAUUAUGAUGGAUUUUAUCACAAAGCUUUCCCGGACGGUGCGAGGAGUAGAUUCGAUUUGGGUCAUCGUGGAUCGGUUGACCAAGAGCGUCCAUUUUAAUCUGAUUCAGGAGAGUAUCUCGGCCGAAAAGUUAGCCGAUAUCUAUAUCAGGGAGAUAUUGGCGUGACACGGGGUGCCAGUGUCAGUGAUAUCAGACCGAGAUGUGCGGUUCACUUCCAGGUUUUGGAAGAGGUUUCNCAUGAUGAGUUGGGCACUCGUCUGCACUUUAGCACCGCCUUUCACCCGUAGACGGAUGGUCAGAGCGAGCGGACCAUCCAGACGUUGGAAGAUAUGUUGCGGGAAUGUGUGCUAGACUUCAGUGGUAGUUGGGAUACCUAUCUUCCCUUGGCUGAGUUCUCAUACAACAAUAGCUACCACGCGAGUAUCGACUGCCCUCCAUUCGAGAUGUUGUACGGACGGAGGUGCAGGACCCCGAUAUGUUGGGGUGAAGUUGGCCAGAGGAUCAUGGGGAGCACCGAGGUGGUGCUCAAGACGACCGAGAGAAUUCAGCAGGCUUCAGACUGCGCAGAGUCGACAGAAAAGUUACGUCAACAAGCAUCGAUCAGACCUGGAGUUCCAGGUCGGGGAUAUGGUUCUCCUGAAAGUGUCACCUUGGAAAGGCGUCAUUCGAUUCAGGAAGCGGGGCAAGUUGGGCCCGAGAUACAUUGGUCCGUUCAGGGUUGUAGCCCGGGUGGGCAAGGUGGCAUAUAGGCUGGAUCUGCCAGCCGAGCUCAGUCAGAUCCACAACACCUUCCAUGUCUCCCAGCUGCGGAAGUGCCUAGUGGAUGAUUCAGCGGUGGUGCCGCUAGAGGAUAUACAGGUUGAUGACAGCCUGAAUUACAUUGAGCGCCCAGUCGCAAUCCUCGACCGGAAGUCGAAGGAUCUGAGGAACAAGAGGGUGGAAUUAGUAAAGGUGCAAUGGUAGCACCGAAAGGGGUCGGAAUGGACUUGGGAGCCGAUGGAAGAAAUGAUGGAGCAUUACCCCGAGUUGUUUCAGGAUCGAGCAGCAGACUUUGAGGAAGAAGUCUAAAAUAAGUGGGGGCGAUUUGUAGCACCUUGUUCCUGGUAUGUAAAAAUUUAUCUAAGUGUUUUGCAUUUUUAGCCUUGGACCCGGCGAGUUGUAGGCCCGACUCGCCGAGUAGAGACGGGAGAUGGAGCACGUUUAAGUUGGCAACUCGGCGAGUCCCCGCUGUCUGAUGAAACCCUAAUUUCAAGGGUUUGCACCCUAUUUAAACCAACCUUAUGCACCCCAAACUCGCCCCCUUCACCCUCAGAGCUCCCUAUAUCGUCCAACCCUUGUCCCUUGUGAGAUUGAAGUGCUUUGGUGUGUUUUCUUGAAGAUUUUGAGAGAAAAGAAGAGGUAGAUCAAGAAGAGAAGAAGGAGGCCAGACAUCUUGGUGUUAUUUCAGUGAUUUCCUUGAGGUAAAACUCAGUUUCCCUCUGUUUCCAUGCUUAUAGUCCCUUAUAGCUCCAUUAAAGUCCUUCUUGAGCCAUUUCCAGGAUUGGGUAUGAUUUAGGGUCUGUCAUAAGUUGAUUAAACUUUAGAUCUAGGCAUGAUUGAGCUCUAGGAGCUCGGAUCCACUGCCUUUAUGAAGCCAUAUUGCAUGAAAUCCCUAGAUAUACUCUUUUAGUGCAUUUUGAGCCCUAAAACCUUCAUUGGUGUUUAUUUGCACGUAAAAUUGGAAACUUUACGUGUUAAUCAAGCCCUAGAAACCUAGAUCUUCGUAUGGAAUGAGCUGGAUCCAAGCAAAAUCGAGUAUAUAGUAUUUACAUGUGACAGACUCGGCGAGUCGUUCAUCAGACUCGGCGAGUCGAGUCGCGAGUCCCCUGAAGUUGUUUAGCAGUUUUUGACUGAGUGUUUUGUGGGAAUUAUAGCCAAAGGAUUUCCGAGGCAGCAGCAACAGAAGACAGUCAGUUCCCAAGCGGAUCAGCAGCUACUUUAAGGUGAGUUACCUUCCAGUAGCGGUGGGUCUACGGCCACAAUGCCGGCCCAUCAGUAGGAGUUGUAUGAUUAGAUGAUUGUCUCUGUGAUAUUCAUAUAGGUUUGCUACUACCUUAUAUGUUUAUGUGCUAGUAUGAUAUGAUGCUAUGUGCUAGUGACAGUAGGGGAGAUAGUCCCCAGAUUACCGGUCGAUAGGGCCGAAGGGGUAGUCAUGCCCAUCCAUGCUAGAUAGAUUAUGUGAUAUGUGUUAUGUGGUAGUAGUAGGGGGUGAAAUAGUCCCCAGUAUCCGGUCGAGAGGACCGAAGGGGAGACCAGCACCCAGAUAUGCUAUUCAGUAUCCGGUCGAGAGGACCGAAGGGGAGGCCGGCUCCUAGAUAGACUAGUCUGUAUCCGGUCGAGAGGACCGAAGGGGUAGGUCGGGCACCCAGAUAUGCCUGACAAUAUAUGUAGGAUAUUUGAUUGUAUGGUAUGUGGUAUGUUGGGGGAACUCACUAAGCUUCGUGCUUACGGUUUAUAGUUCUGGUUUCAGGUACCUCUUCUCCGAAGGGGAAGGAGCUGGCACGGUAGCGACACAUCACAUACAUGCUUUGUAUUCCGCACUAUGAGAUAUUCUUGGGGAUUUGUACUCUGACAUUAUUAUGUUUUAUAAAAUGGUUUCCAGACACGCAACAUCUUUUAUGAAAUGAUAUGACCGGUGAAUGUUUUAUUUAUAAUGUUUUGCAAAGUGUAUGUUUUAAAAAUGAAAUUUUUGGCUCGUAUUUUUGGGAUGUUACAUUACUGAUAGAACCAAUUCGAGUCACACUGUGAUGGCUUGAGCUACCAUCAACCACACCCAUUCAUUACCCUGGUAUCCUGCAUUUGAUACGCUUGGCAUAUUAUGCUACCAAUCUCAUCUUACUGAAACAAAAUCCUGUACUGAACAUGCACGAACCCUGAUUCGGAAUCCUUUCCGAAACAAGUCGACACCCCGCUACUACCUCGAGGUUCAUAAUACACCAUAACUUCUGACGUCCCCUUCGUGUCCAAUAGACAAUCACCCUUAGCCGAUCCCUGAGACUACCAAUCUCUCAUCUGGUCCAACCACCAGGUUUCCAGGUGAUCAAAAACCAAGACUACCCAGCCGUAGCCAUACUGCAUCACGUGCCACUUAUCCACAAGAUCCUGCAACUCGAGAUCCAACCCUUGACUCAAUAGUCUCUACCAUUUCCAUUCUGAAAUCCCAUACCCAUCCGGGCUCGUCCAUGAAUAAUCCCUCCGAUCCUGAUUCUACCUAAGUUGUGGCUUUCCCACGACUUUGCGAACUAAUCUACCAUAGACCCAAUCACUCAAAGAACUCAUGAAUGCUACGACUACCCCGUAGUCUUACAACACUUCCCAUGCCAUCCGAUUAUUAGUGAAUGCUACAGCCCCCUAUAGUCUGACAACACUCCCACCCUGAUUGUACAUUAGUGAACGCUACGGCUCCCCCGUAGUCUUACAACACUUUCACAGUGAAUGCUAUGGCUCCCCCGUAGUCUUACAACACUUUCAUAGUGAAUGCUACGGCUCCCCCGUAGUCUUACAACACUUCCACAGUGAAUGCUACGACUCCCCCGUAGUCUUACAACACUCUCACAGUGAAUGCUACGCCUCCCCCAUAGUCUUAAAACACUUUCAUACCACAUAAUCGUUGCCCAUGGCCCUACUGCUCACCUAUCAAUCCGAACGCAUCUCACUGUUUAGCACCCACGUAGUCUAUUCUCCCAAACUGAACUCAAUUACCGACUGGGACACUACCAGGUUCCCUUCCCCGAAGCCUGCAAUAUGACGUCAGAAGGACGCGAUCCAAUUUCCGGGGAGUUUCCCGAACUCCCAUCCCACGAUAUCCGAUACUCAAUUGGCCCCUAAGGCCGCAUUUCCUCCCCAAAAGGAAAAUUUGAGACGCAUCCAUGUCUCACACUCGCUUUUCUCUGGGAUAUCUGAAUAAUUCUCCCCCACUUAGAUUCGACUAAGUCCGCUUGGCACAUGAAAAUUGAAGGAUACCCACAUCCUCUCUCUUGUUCUAAUGGUUAAUUUGCUGACUGGCGGCGCUUAACAAAGCUAGAACACCAAGAAUAACCCUUUCCAAAACAACACAACUUCUGAAAACCCGCUAGCAUCUCUGAAUCCCAACCAUAUCAACGGAUUUAGAUGCUUUAAAUACUGUUAUACUCGGUUCUUGCUGACCGAAGGUCAGAUGGUCUAACCAAAUCUUCAGCAACAAUUCUCUCUUUCCUUGAAAACCUCGGGAGCCUUUCCAAACAUGAUAGCUAAGGUUACUGGAACCUACUCAUAAUUUCCCUCAUAUAAGCCCUGGAGCCAAUCCAGGCCAUACCCAAAAUGACACGUGCGUACUGAAAAUUCUUAGAUAACUGGAGUCGGUGCCCUCACUGCUACUCGCUGAUCGUCAAGUGGUUGACUUCCUUGUCCCUCAUCUGCCUUCAACGACAAUAUGACGGACUUGCCCCCUAUGGGCAUUCCCUGCUGACAUGGCCAAACCUACUACUCCUAUAGCUACCCAGAUCACCAGAUAGCCUCCGACAAUGACUCGGAGCGAUCCCGAUAUGUGUGGAAUCCACUCCGCAAGAUACGUCCACCUGAAAGCUCCUUAAAGAUUCCUCGGCGCGUUGGCUGGCACCUGAUACUCUUGCUAACUCGAACAAUAGCAGAAAUCCGACCCGAGGUAUAACUAUCACACUCCCCAAGUAAUAUAAAUUACCGGUACCACCGGAAAUGACCGAAGAUAGUAUAUCCGCAAACAUCUGGAGGACUCCUGACCAUCUCCUCUUGAGUUACCUCGACCAUCCAGAAAACAUGAUGCAACACUUCCUCCCGAUCCCAAUGGCAAUCCAAUCCCUUGAAACGAGCUCCAUCUCGUAGUUUUCGCAAGUGCUACAACGAAUCCGGCCCUUUGGCCUCUCAAAAGCUGAUCCAAACUCCUGGAUCUCCCUCCCGAGAUCCUCCACUAUAGGCACCCGGGCUGGUCCCCUUUUCCAAAGGUGACCCUAGUUAAUCCCUGCUUUCGAACUCUAGAAAUCAUAACAUUCAAAGUCUCGCACCCUGACGCACUCACCUGCUCAAUCGUCCACGGCCGAUAUGCAAUAGAUGGAGCAACCUAUGCUCCCAACUAGUUACAAACUAUCCCCAAGACAAAGUCUUUAACUCCGAAAGUGCAAUAGAUCGCACCAUCAAUCCUUGCCGCCUGAUGCAAGAGGUCCAAUGCGAACUCCCAAUCCUGGCAGUCCUUCUGCUAACUGGCUCUCUACCGGAGCCAGGACCAAACCCUGGUCCUUCCCCUUGCGUGCUCAUCCGCAUUCUGCACUGCAGCUAUCCCCACAAUCCACUUGUAACCACGAAUUCCUUUCCCAGGUUUCUUGGAUUCUUCGAAACUUUCCCCGAUUCGAGUAUAAAUCCUGUGCUUUCAGUAGUACGGGCCCAAUACUACCUUCCACACCUAUCCAUACUUUCCUUCGGAAUCAUCCCAAAUCCUCUAAGUCACCUACUUCCCUGAUGUACUAAAUGUCUGCUAGACAGCAGCACAAUAUCCACCUAAGCACCUCCUAGGUCUCCCCCUAGGCUCCUAAUCACACCGAACCACCUCACUACUCACUGGAGCAUAUCCUAGGCUUUCAUAGGUUCCCGACCUCGCCCUUCCAUCAGCUGCUGAGGAACUCCUCACGAUGCCAGUCAUUUACCUCCUGGAUAUCGUCACAUCCACUUAGUAGCUGACUCCCAUCACUAAAGAGUUCCACAAAGCACAAAGCAAGCAACAUUCGUGCAGACACACUCCUGACACUAAUCUUGUCCUAGGCUCAUCCUAGGGUAAUCUCCGACCCACAAACGAUCAUAGAAUAUCCGGCCCACGUGCCACAACCCAAGUUGUCCACAUCCAUCCUCGCUGACGGCUGCCUUAUGCAUGCAAAUUGUACAUAGAACAAGAAACGAACCGCACCAAUUAUUCUAUGGCCAUGAGAUCCUAACCGUAUACAAUUUUAAAACAUACACGUAGCAAUUACCAAUAUCAAUAAUCAUUCUCAUUCUAGCAUGGCAUCCAGCAUCCCAAGGCUACAAACAUCACAUAUCAGGCCAAUCUAUCGCUGUCUACUCAGCACUAUCAUGCAAGUCUAAGAGCUCAUAUAGCAUACAAAGGCAUCCCUCCCAACCCUAACUAGCAUGCGAUAUUCAGAUUCAUAACCAAAUCAUAACAGAUAAUAGAUGUGGGUAUUCUGAGGAAACUUACUUGAGCUCGGCCGAUUGCAUGCACCACACCCGUUCUUUUCUUAGAAAACUUUUCCUUGAAAACAUUUUCCUUUAAAAAAAACCUUCCAGAUCCUCAGUCUGAGUUCAGACACACCUGAAAGUAUGUUUGAAUCCCUCAAACCAAGGCUCUGAUACCAACUUGUAACGUCCCAAAAAUCAGGGGUAAAAUUUUCGUUUUUAAUAUAACUAAAACAUUGAUACCAUUUAAUUCAAAGAAUCAAAUCAUAGUCAAUCAAAUCGUUUAUCAGAGUUUAUCCCAAAAUCAUUCAUUGCGGAAAUCAUAGGUGUGUGCACUGCGAUCAACCCGAGCUCUUCCUUUCCAAAACGAUGAUACCUGAAACCAUAAACAAACCUGUAAGCACGAAGCUUAGUGAGUUUCCCAGAGUAUACCAUUCACACAAACCACAUAUCACAUAUCCUGUUAGCUAUAAAAGCUACACACAUAUCAUAUAUACUGUUAGCUAUAAAAGCUACCAUAUAUCACAUAAGCCCUGCAUACAUAAAACCUGUAAUAGUGCCAUGGGCUACCCCACAUGGUCUUUACCUAGGACUGCCAUGGGCUUCCCCCACAUGGUCUUACAUCCAAUGCCAUGGGCUACCCCACAUGGUCUUUACCUAGGACUGCCAUGGGCUACCCCACAUGGUCUUACAUCCAAUGUCACGGGCUUCCCCCGGGGUCUUCCCUGCAAAUACCAUAUAUAACCAAAUAGCAUAUCAUGCAGCACAUAAAUAUCUACACAUAACACAUACAUAAAUCUGUAAGGAUGUCGUGGCUACCCCCAGGGUCCUAUACCAUUGUGUCAUGGGCUACCCCACAUGGUCUUCCAUGCAAUUAUCAUAAAGACAACUACCAUAUCACAGAAUUACCAGCAUACCACCUAGCAUAAUGUUAACCAUCAUAUCACACAACAUAAGAUGGGCCGACCUUGGUGCCUUAGACCCAUUGGUAUGGUGAGAAGACUCACCUGCACCUAUCGGCUGAAGAAAUAAGAUCACGCUGCUCCAACCACCGUCACAAACUCCUCCACUGGUCAACACCAAAAUAACCGAAGUCAAUAAAUACCAAUAAUUACCAAAAUACCCCUAGAAGUCAACUGGUCAACUCUUGGUCAAAGUCAAAGUCCUUAGUCAAAGUCAAACUUCCUGACUGACUCUACUCGCCAAGUCAACCCGCUGACUCGUCGAGUCCCAUCAUGCUCAACUCACCGAGUUGUCCCUCGACUCACCGAUUCAUGAAUUAACCAGAAAAGGUUAGGGUUCCAUGACCAAACUCGCCAAGUCCAAGGCAAUCUUCAACAGACUCGUUGAGUCGCCGAGUUCAUGCACAUAUUCAUACAACUCGUCGAGUACAAUCAUGUGACUCGUCGGGUAUCUUCAGUUCUCAAUCCAUUCAGAGGCUUUUCAAGCCAUGCAGGGGCUCCAAUCCAUAGAUCUACCCUUCUACAAGCUAUCCCUCAUGUAAAGUUGCAAACUUUACGUGAUACCAAGUAGAUAUAAGCCCAAAACACACUAGGGCUUGGGUUUUAGACAAAGGGACUUUACCAACAACCCAAGAACUGAAGCUUUAUGACAUUCUAAGACAUCAUGAGUCUAGAUCUGGAGCAGCAACCCCAGAUCUAACUCCCAAAUCUGAGAUAGGUCUCAAAACAAGCUAAGGGACUCCCAAAACAACCACCAAGGAUAAACCAAAAAGGAAAAUAGCUUAAGAUAAGGCUCCUUACCUCAUAGAUGUGCCCAAAACUGAUGUAGAUCACAGAUCUAUACAAGCCCUUGAUGCUAACUUCUAAUUUCUCAAGCUCCUUCCACCAAUUUCCUCUUCUAAUCCCCCAAUCUCCUCAACAAUGAAGCCUCACACGAAUUUUGGGGGUUUCUGGAACUCAAAGGGAAGGUAAAGAGGCUGAAGGAGGAACAUAACAUUCUUUAUAUAGGGCACAACCCUGGGAUUAGGGUUUNUCAGCACCAACGUCGAGUCCAACUACCGACUCGACGAGUUGGUCACUUAACUCGCGACCAAAAUCCCGCUCCAACUCGGCGAGUCAGAAUACUUACUUGUCGAGUCCCCUUCUUUAUUUACACUUUACCCCCUGAGCUCUUGAUUCUGACUUGGGAUGUUAGAUUUCCUUUCUUGGCCUUUCUGAUUUCGGGUGUUACAUAUGUGUAUUCCUUAUCCAUUUCCGCUGGUACAACAAAGGCUUUUGCGACAAAAAUAAAUGAGUGGCUGAGAACGAUUCCCCAAUUCUCAACCUUUUUUAUUUUCUCAAUUGAACUUACCCCUCUCUCUCUCUCUCUCUAUAUAUCUCUNNNNNNNNNNNNNNNNNNNNNNACGAGAUUUGAACCUUCAAUCUCACAAAAUCAUGACAAACCUGAUACCGUUAGACUAAAAGCUAUUUGAUUUUUUUUUAAUAGUUACCUUUCCACUUUUUUAAAUAUUUAUAGAGGACAAAAUAAUUAAGUGGCUGUUUGGCAGGAUUUAAAUUUUUAAGAUCUGAAUAUUUAAGAGGUCUGAAUUUCUAAGAGGGUCUGAAUUUUUAAGAUCUGAAUUUUUAACAUGCUGUUUGGUUAGAACCUCUGAAUUCUUGUGCUGAAUUAUAAAAAUAACCAUUUUACCCUUCUGUCUUAUUUUUUGUUGAAUUCAAUGUUUCUAUUUAUAAAAUAACUGAACCAAAAUCCUUAAAUAAUUAUAAAAAAAUAUAAACACCAUACAAAAUGUUAUGCUCUAAUAGGAAGAGGUGAAAGUAUGAUCCUAUAAUAAAUAAAUAUAUAAAAGUACAUUGUUAUUUCAUGUCUUCACCCUUACAUAAACAAGCUUACAAUAGGCUAUGAAAACAAACUAAAAUGUAUGCUUAUCUGGAUCACAUUAAAAAAAGCCUUUUUAUAUAAAAUUCCAAAAGAAGACCAAAAUACCCCUUAAAAAUUUUCUUGCACCCAACCUUUAAACCAUCAACGAACUCGUUUCUUCCGUCCAUUCAAAGUCUCGAUGCUUCAUGUAAUCUAGAAUAACCUAGUCCCACUUGAUAAUAACAAGGAAAAGACCAUUAUGUCCUUUAUUCUUAUUUUUGCAGCAAGUCAUUCAAUAUCUUUUUAUCUUCAAUUCAGAAACAUUAAUACCCAUCAAACUGCAACCAAGGGUAUGAUUACAGAAUAUACAAUCUAAACAUUAAUACCCAUCAAACACAACUUUGUGAUUUGAUUAAAAAACCAUUCUGUAAAACAUAUAUUGAUAGAACCUCACAGGACUUUUCACAAACAGUUGGUGUGCUUAAGAGCUUCAAUGACAAAUCUGAUUUCAACAUUUCAGCAUAACCUAAUUUUAGCAAAACUAUCACAAAAUCAGAAAAAAAAAUCUGAUUUAAACCCAUAAUAAUCGAGCAUAAAAAACAGAAAACGGACUUGAACAUAAAAAAAAUCACAAAAUCAGAAAAAAAAAAUCUGAUUUGAACAUAAAAGAGCUAAAUUUUCGAUUUGAACUCAAGUUUGAAGAGAAAUCGAUUUUCAGAUGAAGAAGAGAAAGAUGAUUUCGUUUAUUUCAAACCAAAUCAUUCAUAAAAACAGAACAAAUAUCGAGUUUGGGGGAAAAGCAAGAAACAAACCUAUUGUCGGAGACGGAGGACGAAGUCUCGUUCCACACGGCGGUGGCGGCGGCGUUUCAAGCGGCGGUCGUCGGGGAGCAGCGUCAUCAGCGAAUCGGGGGUGAAGGGAAGAAGAACGCACAGAGGGAGGAGAAGAGGAUGUGUUGUUUUGGUGAAGGAUCGAUGUCUAGGGCAUAAUAGGAACACUUCUUUUUCUUAAAAAUUCAGAUUUUGUUUAAUAUCUGAAAAAUUAAGAGGUAUUUACAAUUUGAAGAGGUAAAAAAUAAGAGGCAAACAAACAAUCUUAAUCUUAAUUUUUAAGACAUUGCCUCUUAAUUUUACAAUUAAGAGAUAAACAAACAACCCCUAAAUGGUUCUUACAUUUUAUUAACAAAAUUAAUAUUAAUGAUAGUUAGGUAUGAUUAAAUUAAAGGGUAAAUGACACAAAAGUCACUAGCUUUUUAUUAUUAUUUUUUUCGAUUUUGACACUGUGUUUUUUCAUGUUACAAUUAAAUUACUAUGUUUUAAAUUUGUUGCAAUUAUGACCAGUUAACCAGUUUGUAAGGUCAUCCGGUUGCCACUGUUGACGUGUCGGAAAAAAAAAAGUGGAAUAAAAGACACUAUGUUUUCAUUUUUUUUAUUUUGACACUAUUUUUUUAAUACUUUCCAAUUUAAAAACUAAGUUUUCGAUGCUCUCCAAUUUGCAACAUAAAUGAAAUAAACAUAUCCAAUUUCCAUCCCUAUCAAUGAAAAUAUUUGUUUGUAUAUAGUUUUUGUUUAUUUUAUAUUUGUAAAUAAAAUUUGAACUAUAGACCCUUAAUUUUUCACAUUAUAUACCCUUUAGGUUUCACUUAUUCCUUGAUACAAUGCUUUUACUGACUUUUUCGUCCCUCCUCCCUCGUUUCUCCAACCUUGCAUUGUGUAUGUAAAUAACUUGUUUUCAUAGCUCAAAACAUUGUUCGCGUUUUGGUCAUAGAAACAUUCCUAGUGCAUGUUUCUUGACUUAAAAUUAAAUUAUAUAUGCCUUCAAUUUGAUCUUAAAACAGAAAAAGAGAACCAUGAAUUGAAUUAAAAAGAAAGAAAGAGACCAUUAAUGGCUAACUUACGCUUUGCUGGCAACAUAGAUCGCAUACAGAGGAUGCAAAGGUAUAACAAUGGUAGCACCCGAACCAAUGUUAAAAAUGCCAUAUCUUUUCCCCUCAACCAUUCCUUCAAUCACAUAUGUUAUUACCAAAAUCGUACCUAUCACAAUCACUUUCAUCACAUUCAUCCAAAAUACCCACGCUCAGUUGUUCACCAUAAAUCAUAUUUUGCGUCUCCUAACUCCGACCACCAUAUUCUCACUGAAAAAAAUUCACAGUGAAAAUAUUGAUCUUAGUGGUUGGGUGCACCGAUACAAUCUCAUUAAAAACGUCUUUUAGCUUGGAUAGGUUUCUGCUAACCAAGAUUAGGUAAAGACCCUUUUAAGCUAGUUGGAAGGUAAAGGUUUUGCUGAUUGUUAGGUGCGUUUCAUGCACCCAUUUUGUAGUUUUACUCCAUAAAAGUGCAUUGCAUUUAGGAUUAAACUCAUGCAUUUUGCAUAUUUUUCGGGAUUUUUCAUGAUGCAAUUCCAUUCACACACUUUUGUGAUAUUUCAGGGACUUUUGGAGGAAGGAUCUUAUUUGAGGUGAUAAAUAAGAGAUAUGGAUAAAGUUUCGGGACUUCUGGAGCAUCGAGGAGAAAGAUAUCAAAGAAAUGAAGAUUUUGGCUUUUUAGAGGUUUAUACGGCCAUGUAAAUGUUUACACGGGCCGUGUAAACGAAGUCUCUCGAGCAUUGUACUUUGAAAGCCUGACCAAUUUUCACAGUUUACUUUUUGCAUUUACACGCCAUGUAAAUGUUUACACGGCCGUGUAAACGUGGUCACGGGUUUAAAACAGUUUUUCUUCUUUCUAAAAAGGAGCAACCGGUUCCAGAAAAAAAGGGGGGCAAUUNCAAUUUUGUGAGUUCUAGAGGCGAUUUUGGGGAGCAUUUUGAAGACAAUUGUUGCUUGAAAACACUUGGGAACAUUUGAUUUUCAUUUUGGAAGAACUUUAAAUUCAUUUUCUAGAUUUGUGAUAUUUUUCUAGUUAUGAGUGGCUAGAACCCUAGAUUCCUCCAACUUUAUGUCUUGACUUCUAGUUGUGAUUUCAAUCAUAUGACUUGAUGCUUGCUUUCAAUUUUCUAUCUAAUGAAUUUGAUUUUGUUUCAAUUGAAUGUUUGAUUUUAAUUGUGAUUCUUAUUGGCCAUUUUAAUUAGGGUUAGAUCAUUCAAGUUAUCUAAUUACCAAAUCUGUAAUUGUUUUGUGAAUUGGAGUAAGUAACAAGCACUAAACUGAUUUCCACUGAAUGAAUUUAGUGUAAAUCUUAUUCACACACUCUUACGCUCCCGAGCUUGUGAGGAGUAUUGGGUGUUGAUGGGAACAAUCACAUAAAGUUUAAUGCAAUCUUUCAAUCUAAUUCUAAGAGCUUGUUUAGAUUAGGUUAGUAAGGUUAGGGUUAAUCAAAGAGCUUGUUUUGGUUAAUUAAUGUGGUGAAUGGAAAGUGUGGAGCUUGUUAACACUUUCAAGUACCAACUUAGAUAGAAUUGGGCAAAUAUCAUGUCAUCUUGGAAUUGCAUUGCUAAGUUGUUAUACAUAAAGUUGGAGUCCUUACAAAUUCUAAAUUUAAUUCACUUAUUUAGUUGAUUACUUGUGUUUUUAAUUGUUUGUUUUAAUCAUUGCAUUCUAACCCCCCCCCCCCCCCCCCCUUCUUNACUGUUGGUGACCAUAGUACCUUACGCAAAAAGGGUAUAAGCACUUGCCCCGUGUCUCUGUGGAUCGACCCUACUUACCUUGUAUUACAUUUUUAGUGUAAAGUAGUAGUGUUUUUGGAGUCAUUUGUACCCCUUUAUUUGUUGGGUUUGACACACCUAACACUGAUGUUAGGUGGUGAUAACCCAUGAACCUUAGUUUUUUAAGUUCUUGGGUGGUUGGAAGAAAGUGAUGAAAACUCAUUUUAGGAGAGUGGUAAUGAGUUUGAAAAGAGAAAGAAAAUCAAGUAAUGAAAAUGCAGCAAUUAUCUAUUUGGAUAUGUUUUAUAUUCUUUUUUAAUCUAUUGUACAUAUAUUUUAUUAUAUUAAAGGGUAAAUAGAGCAAUUAUAUAUUUUCCUAUGUUUAUUUCAUUUAUGUUGCAAAUUGGAGAAAAUCGAAAACUUAGUGUCAAAAUUGGAAAAAAAUUUAAAAAUUUAGUGUCAAAAUCACCAAAAAGAAAAAAAAAUGAUAUGAAAACAUUGUGUCUUUCGCACCACUUUUUUUCCGCUUCUAACACGUUAUCAUGUCACGCGAUAAAUAUGUCAACUAGUCAGAACUGCGGUAAAUUGAAAACAUAAUAACUUAAUUGUAACUAAAAAAUGAUGUAAAAAAAGUGAAAAGUUAAUGACUUUUGUAUCAUUUACACUAAAUUAAAUUAUGAAUGAAUAAUAUGAACAAUGUAAUAAAAUGAAUUAAUGACUUUUGUAUCAUUUACCCUAAAUUAAAUUAUGAAUGAAUAAUAUGAACAAUGUAAUAAAAUGAACUAUUAUAUUCUAUCGACAUAUUUUGUCAUCUCGAAAAUUGUCAUCUCGAAAAAAAUGAAAUAAGUCAAUUAAAAUUAUAGUUUGUUAUGUAUAAGUAGAAAAGUUAGAUUGUUAUGUAAACAUAUAAAGUUAAAUACAUGUAAAACUAUAAAUAAAAAUAUUAUAUUUAAUAAAAAAAAAUAGUCUAUUACUAAGUAUUUUUGCCUAGAGGCAUCAUUGCCCUUGUAUUGUUAGAUCUAACAUUUAGUUUAGAAAGAUAUACCCAUUGCCCUUGUAUUGUUAGAUCUAACAUUUAGUUUAGAAAGAUAUACCCAUUGCCCUUGUAUUGUUAGAUCUAACAUUUAGUUUAGAAAGAUAUACCCAUUGCCCUUGUAUUGUUAGAUCUAACAUUUAGUUUAGAAAGAUAUACCCUUAAGCUCUUUUUUUUGGCGAAGGUAGAAAAUUUUCACGUAUACCUCUGCAUCAACAUGUUCCUCAUAUUUCAUUUCAUCACGUAUGAUAACCGUGUACUAUAUUAGUUGAUUAAAAAAAUUAUAUAUAAAUAUUCAAAUAUUAAGUAUUUUCUUAAAGAAAAUGUUAAAUAUCAAAGGUAUAAAUAUUAAACUUUUUUUAAAAAUAAAAUUUUAAAAUAUAUACAAACGAAAUAAUAAAUAAAUAAAUAACUCAAUUUAUACUAAUAAAACAAACUAUCGAAAAAUAAUUAUAUUUUGGCCUUAUGUGUGAUUUAACCACUUUUUUUUUUUUUUUUAGUUUUAUCAAUGAAAAUAAUACACAAUGAAUUUUGUAAUUUUAGCAAUAUAUAAGUCAUAGUACAAUUAAUUAAGAAAUCUAGUGGUAAACGAGACGAGACAGCUCACGAGAAACUCGAGUCCGACUCAGAAAAUAUUCGAAAUCGACUCGACUUUAAUCGAACCGAGUACGAUCUCGAGCUACAUGAGUACCUUAUCGAGUCGAGCUCGAGUAGUAAAAUAACCGGCUCAUAAAAGCCCGUGAACUUAAUCGAGUAUUAUAAAAUUAUAUUUUUACCCUUUAUAUAUUUUAAAUUACGAAAACAUUUCAAUACUUUUAACUUUUAAGCGCAGGUUAAGAAGUAAGGACUUAAAUUGCAUUUCAAAACUUCGAAGAUUGUUUCUUUUUUUGUAUUUUGGAUGUAUGUAAAAUGAAAUAACAUAGAUGGUUGAUGGUAUAUUGACAUUAGUGGUUUAUUGUGAUUUUUUUGUUAUUUUGAACAAUGUAAAAGUUGUGGAAUGUUUUUAACAUUUGAUGAUAUUAUUUUUUAAUUUUAAUUGAGCCGAACCGAGCUCACGAGCCGAACUCCAUAGUAUCGAGUAUUAAAGGAGUUGAGUUUGAGCUAGCUUCAAAUUUAGGCUUGAGGCGAGUUCGAUUCGAGCAUUGAGUUUGGGUAUUUUAGGCGAGUCGAGCGUUGAGGUUAAGACUACUCGGCUUGACCCGACUCAUUUACACACAUAUGGCAAGGUUACAAUAAAGUGUCUGGGUUGCAAAUUGACUUUCAAAAUUACCUGUAUUGUUUCCUAAGUUAUUAUUAGUAAAUUAAAGAUUAAUAGUAUGCCACUCAAAAGACAGAUAUUACCUCAAUGGAACUAAGUUAUAACCUCAAUGAUAAAAGAGAAAAACCAACCAUCUUAUCAUAGAGACAAAUUUAAAUGAAGAAAGUCUCUUUUGACUCUUUUGUAUGCAUAAUAAGAUCAUGCGAAAAAAGAUUUGAAUAUAAUUUGAUGAAAAAAUUGUAUUAAUAAUGUAUUACAAAAUAAUAACAGUACAGUUAUGUUAUCUUUAGUCAGCUGUCUAUCGAGUCAUGCAACAUUUUGUAUUACAAAUAAAAAUAAAUUUCACACUUUUCAUUUAAUCAAUGUAGAUUUUAAAAGUUAAAGUCGUGUUUUUUUGUUAUUUAGUGUGCAUAAAUUGCAAAAAGAAGUAAUCCAUUUAUCAUGAUGAAAACAUACUUCUUGAAUCUUUUAAGAAAAAUAACUUUCACACGAUUUAGAAAAUAGCCAAACACGUUAUAUUAUCUCUAUAAGUUAUAAUAUGGAUGAAUAAAAUCAAAUAUAUUGUAUUUAACACUAAAAGUUUAAAAAUAUUUACGUACCUUAAAUAAUUAAUUAUUUUUAAUUUUCGAGUGAUUUGGUGUCCAACUCUUUCUUUAGAUUUAGCCGUUUGGUAAUCGGGUCUCCAACAUGUAUCGAUAAUUGUUUAAAAACACAUUACUUUUGGAUUUUUAUAUUUGGACAUAACCUUUGCUUUAAUAAUUAUAUAUUUAUAUCUGUUUUGGCUAAUUUUAAUGUAAUAAAAUUAACAAGUAUUGUUGAUAUUGAGCUUAAAUUCACAAUUUCUUUUUAUUAUUUAAAACUAGCUUCGACAUCUAAUAGAUAAUCAAACAUUUUAGUAAAUCAAAAACAUGAAGAAAAAAAAACUUAAUCUUACAAAAACCUUUCAGCAUUUUCAAUAAUUUUACACUUUGUUCCUAAACAACCAACAUACAAUGCCUACAUCAUCUUCGAUUAAAUAGCCCCUGAAUAAUACCAGCUGCUCCUCGCUUCUUGGCCUAAAACAUUCCUCGAAAUAAAUAAAUAAAAUAAAUAACUAUAUAUCAUUGUAUGUGUUAUCUUAUCUCACAGGCACACUGUGCAAUGUGUCUGAUAUGUAUUAUAUCAGACACAUUUGUGCUUGAUACAGAUUAUAUCCGACACAAUGUGUCUAGACACAUUGUUGUCGGACAAAUUAUUGUAUCAAGCACAACGUGCCUGAUGCAUACAAUAUGCAUCAGGCACAUAGGUAAAAAAAUACCUUAGCGUUGUUGAAUAAAUCAUCUGCAAUAGCCUCACUUUGUUUACGCUUUUUUUCUUCCUUCACAGACUCCGCUACUCCCUCAUUCUCAUAUUCAGACCCUCUGCCACAUAUUUCAGUAUAUAAAUAAAUAAAUAAAUCAUUCCAAUUUUUUUUCAUUUUAUAUACACAAAUAAAACCAAAAUCAAAUGUAUGUCAUCAUACUUGUAAGGAUUCUUUGAAAAAGGCACAAGAUUGUAGAAACUAUUUCCUGAUUGAGUUUCCAUCUGCAUAUAAAUUUAACCUUUAAAAACAAAAACAACGUAAAACAAAUAAUGAUAAUAUAAAUAAUUUACCUUUUUAAAUCGUUUAAAGUCCAAAACUUGGUUUUUAGUAGGAGAAGGCAGAGAAGAUGGUAAAUUUGUAUCUCGAAUGAUCAAAUCUUGGCUAAAAAUAACAUCUGAAAUCCCAUUUACAGGUGUAAUUUCAUCAUCUUUUGUAUCAUUUGUGGCUAUAUUUAUGUAUUCAUCGGCUUUUAUUGGAUCUAUUGGAUCAUGAACAAUAGUUUCCACUUCAUGUUGAACAGAUUCCACAUUAUGAACAAAGGAUAUUUUCCCUUUUUCAUCUUCAAAAGAUUCUAAUUUUUGACUUUUACAAGAUGUUGAAACUGAUAUGACUUCUAUUUCUGGCUCUGAAUCUGCUACAAUUGUCUCAUCUGUGGAGCAUGAAGAUGUGACAUGUUCUGCAAUCGGAAAUUAAAGAUAUUUUUAUUUUUUAUAAACUUUAAACAUUUGUGUACUUUCUAAUUUUUUUUAAAUUAUUAUAUAAUUGUAUUUUAAAAUUAUUCCUUAUUAGGGAAUUGUACUUUUAUAAAAUUCACCCAUUGUAACAAUGUUGGAUUAUGAUGACAUGGCACAAGGUAACAAGUUUUCAUGCCAUGUCAUCGUCCACAUAGGAUGUCCACAUGUAAUAUGAAGAUACUGCUUACAUGGCAAAUGCCAUGUCAGCGGUAUAUUAAACGUGGACAUCCUAUCUGGACGAUAACAUGGCAUGAAAACUUGUUACCUUGUGCCAUGUCAUCAUAAUCCAACAUUGUUACAAUGGGUGAAUUUUAUAAAAGUACAAUUCCCUAAUAAGGAAUAAUUUUAAAAUACAAUUAUAUAAUAAUUUAAAAAAAAUUAGAAAGUACAUUGCUAUUUUGUAUAUAAAAAAGAAAUAUUACCAGGUGGUGAUACAAAAACAAGAGGAUCCAGGUGUCCAGAUAAAGUAGCACAAAUCAAAUUAAUUUCACUCACUUUUGGUAAAGAUGUAAUAAUAUGUGUACACUCAAAACCCUCUUCAACAGAGAUGACAUGUACAACAUGAUUGUUUUCAUCUUCUUCUACACCCUGAAAAAAAAAAGAUUUUUUUUUUAAAUUUAAUUGGAACAUAAUUUAAUACAGAAAGAACGACUUAAUAGAGAAACCUGGCUUUGGGGAAUGAAUUCUUCAACAGGAAUAACUUUUGCACCAAAUGUUUCAAGUAAUGGUUGCAACUUUUCCUUAACUUUAUACUGUGAAAAAGUUUAUAAACAUAAGAUUUUAUAAAUUAAAAUGAAAAAUAGAAUGCAUCAUAAAAAAAAAAAAAAACAAAAAAGAGAAUAUACCUUUUCUGAUGAUUCCAGAAGAAAAGUGUAUCCAUUUAAACAAUUUUCUCUAGAUUCAAUGUUAGCAAUUUUAACAGAAACUCCUUGCAAUAUCAAGGUAUGAGGAUCACUGUAGGGAAAAGAGUAAAUAUAUUUUUAUGAUUAUAUAAAAAAUAAUAAUAUAAAUAUUCAAAAGUGAAUCAAUUAAAUGUUUUCUUACGAAUUGCAGAUGGGAAUUUUGGUGUCAAUACGUUUGUCUGCAAGUGACUGAAUGCAAUCAAACAUGUUAUUUAAUAUUUAGUAUUUACAUACAUAAAAUUAAACAUUGUUCAUAUGAGUUAUUAAAUUUUUUUAAUGAUUUUGAUCACUGAAUAAAAAAAAAAUAAUGUUACCUCUAUCCAUUUAUAACUGACAAAAUGUUUUUUAGACAUAAUAGCAUCAAUAAGAACACCAUUUACUGAAGCAUUAUCAUCAAGAACAACAUGUGUGCACUUUGGGCUCCAUGUAUUACUCAUAGAAGCACCUGUACACCAUUUUGUAAAUUGUAAUAUUAUUCAUUGAAUAUAUUUAAAAAAAAAAUCAAAUAAUAUAAUUCAAUUCUUGAUAUGAUGAAGCCUACUAACCAAUUGAUGAUAUCUUUUCUUUAAGUUGUUUUAAUCGCGAAGAGUCAAAUCCACAAAGAAAAAACACAAUGGAAAUAAAACUAAACCUGCAGUAAUAAAUUAGCAAUCUUUUGUCAAGAUUUUAAAGAAAAAAAAUAUAAAAAAUUGUUUAUAAAAUUGGUAUACCUGUAAGUGGCACUACCAGUUCCAAAUGAAACAAGGUCUUCAUCAUCUAAUGUUGUUUCCUUAUUUGGAAACUCAUGAACUUUUUCUUUUUGAGACCCAAGAGGCUUUGUAAUAAAAGUUCCAUACUUUGAGCAAUCUUUAAUCCUAAUUUUGGAUGAUUUCUUUUUAAUAUUGUCAAUGGAAAUCAUGGCAUCAAUGAUUAUUUCUGCAUGAACCCUAGAAACCCCUUUAUCUUUAUUAACGAUUAUAUCACAUCCUAUAUAACAAAGAAUCCAAGAUUAGUAAACUUCUAUGAUACAAAAAUGAAAGAGUAAAUGAGAGCAAAUGGAAUUGAUAAUUUGGAUUUUUACCUUUUCGCCCCACUUUAUAUGUCCCUUUGCUAAAGAAGUAAUAAGUUUCUUCGCCUGAAAAUGAAUUCAAUUUCAGUAGAAAUAAUAAGAGUAAGUCGUUUGAUCGUUUCCCACUAAUUUAAACUUUCAUCUUCACAAUGUUCAGUUUCCUACUAUUGUCGUUUGAUGAUCUGAUUUGUCUCAAAACUCAAAACAAUACAAUUCCCCUUUUCUCUGAUCAUUUUUCCUUCGAAAGCCCUCAUUUACAGUUAGUUCAAGUGUAAACGAGUAAUAUGCCUUACAUAAAUGAAAAUUUCGUUCUAUUUUUCCUGCAUCAUCAUCAUCAACAUUAUUUUUUACUUUACUUUUUGCUAUAAAGAGAACACCUGGUUAAACAAAAAGGUACCCACUAAGAUUGUUGGCAUAAUCUUGCAUUCUACUAAAUGCACUGAAGCUAUUCGACGAAAUUCCAGAAAGAAAUACACAUGUUGAGUUCCUGUGUUUCAGAUGAACUGGAAAUACGAAGAAAAAAGAUGAAGAGGGAAAGGUUAACCUGGAAGGGGGUCGGCGGGAAAGAGGCCCCAAACCAUUGAUGCCGUCGUUCGCCGGAGAUUCUUCGCACGUCGAAGGGGGUUUCGAGUCGAUUUUGGAGAAUAAUAUGUGACUUUUGGCCCUACUUCAAAAAAAAAGUUUAAAGUUUAAACCGAAAAAAUUAUUUUCGAUUUUCAACUAUUUAAAAGUUAUAUUAAAAAAUUCGGUGAAGAAUUAUAUGAUAGAUUAAAAAAUAAUAGUAAUUUGGUUAAUAAAUUCUUAUAACUAUUAAUAACUUCAAGAAACAUAUUUCUAAUUUUCAUAAUAAUUAGUCUGAAAAUACUAACUUUGCAAUAAUAUGAUUUAUGUGGGCACCAAUUCUACAAGAUAAUCUUUGCAAUAAAAGGAGUUUUUAACAUGAUGAAAUGAGAGUCGGACAAAAGGUUUUUGUGAUCUAGUCCAUCAUGGACCAAAUUUAAAAUUAAUAUGUUAGAUUGAGGUUUUCAAUCAAUUUUAAUUAAAUAUAUUUUUUUAAUUAAUUGGUUUGGAUUGAAGUUGAAAUUUUCACCAAAAUUUGGACAUGUAAAUCCGUUGUACUUUAAAUCCUAAACUUAUGCGUCACUCUAUAUUAUGUGAUUUCAAAUUGAUUUGUUUUUAAUCGUAAAGGAAUAUUUAUAAAAAAUGUUUGGUUUUACUAUAAAAUAUGUCUUUAUAUUUAUCAAAAAAAAAUAUUUUCCUUUUAUAACAAGUAUUUAGGUUAUCAUGAUAUUAAAUUCGUAAAAAAAACUUCAACUUUAUAAUAUUUGAUGUUUUUAUACUAAGGUUUUUUUUCAUUAUGUAUUUAUACAGAAAAACAUAUUUAUAUAAAAAAAUAUUUAAUUAAAUAUUAUAUUUAUAUAAAAAACAUAUUUAUAUAAAAAAUAUGUUUAAUUAAAUAUUGUAUUUAUGUUGCUUUUAAAUGUUAUUUUUUUAUAUAUGAUUUUUUUUAUUUGAUUAUACCGUUUAAAAUUUGAAAAUAUGUUUUUAAACACAUAAAUACAAAAUAUUUUUUAGAUAUAGUAUACAUAAAAUAGUUUUUUUUUAUAACUAACCUAAAAGUCAGAGGGUUAUCUUAGCCUUAAACAAAAGAGCGAGGGGCCAACUUGAGGUUCGUGUAAAAGUAAAAGGAGACACACUCUCGUGUGACCUUGAUGGUUCAUGAGCAGUAGUAGACUCCGAUUACCCUCGAAUACUCCUUUGUUCGAUUCGAUUACAGAAUACGCAAGGAACAACAAGCGGCAACAAUGUCGUCUUAGAGCCACUUUGCCAUUCCCUUCCAAAGUUAUCGAGGUAUGGACAAAGAAAUUGACGUUCUUGUGCGAAAACCCUAACUUAUACAUAUCGCAUGCUACCUGUUUGAUUAAAGUCCUCAAUGAGUAAACUGUGUGUGAUGUACUACCACUCUUUCCUUCCCACGAUUGUAUUCUGCUUAAAAAAAGGAAUUGCAAGUUCCAAAUGUAGUGUCAAAUGAUGCAAUGCCAUCAAUUUCAGGGCUCACAGUGGCGUAUGCUCUUGAUUAUAGUUCUCGGAAGGUGGAACUCAUUUUGUUGGUGUAUUUGAUGAAGUAAUCACUAACCUUGUAAUUCUUCUUAACUUGUUUCAGUUAUUAAGAAAUCAUCCCAAACAGUUAAUCUCUUCAGUUUAGAACUUUAUCCAUCAUACACACUACACAAAAACCAAGUAUGACCCCUGUUUCAUCUAAGCAGUACACAGGUAAAUUUAUCCUUUCAUUCUGUCUACAAUCAUUUUAUAUCUAAAUCAAUUUAACUAUCUUCAUUCAUAUAAUCAAUAAUUUAAUCAUAGAUGAUGUAAGCUUGUUAAUGGUGUUAAUUGACACAAAUCCAUUGUUCUGGAGCUCAACUGCUACCCCUUUCUCAUUCUCCAAGUUCCUAUCUCAAGUAAACACAAUCUUUUCAUAACACUCUUUACAUAAAACUACAAAAACACAUGUGAAAAACAAUUAAUUUAUGAAAAUGAUGUAGGUUCUUUCAUUCUUGAACUCAAUUAUUCUACUAAAUCAACUGAAUCAAGUGGUGGUGAUAGCAACUGGAUUCAACUCUUGUGAUUACAUAUAUGAUUCUUCAUUGGGGCAUGGAAACCUGAGAGCUGAAACAUUGUUGCAAAAGUUAGAAGAGUUUGUGAUUAAAGAUGAAGAGCUUAAUAAGCAAGAAUCAGUUGAUGGAAUUGGAUCUUCUUUGCUUUCAGGAUCUCUUUCAAUGGCACUUUGUUGUAUCCUUUUUCAUAAUUUCCACCAUUUUGUGUUUAUCUUAUGUUUUUACUACUUUCAUUUAUUUUUAUGACAACAUUUUAGUAUUUUUAAUAUAUAAAAAGAUUGUUUAAAAUAACAACAGUUAUUAGACAUACAAAGAGUAUUUCGUUCUGGAUCAAUUCAUCCACAACCUCGGGUAAUUCUUCUGAAUUCAUCAAUUAGUUUAUAAAUUAUAAUUUAAAUAUUACCUAUUAAUUUAAUUAAUCUGAUAAAUAAUGACAGAUUUUGUGUUUACAUGGAUCACAAGAUGGACCUGGACAGUAUGUCUCUCAACUUACUUUUUUAUUUUUUAAUUUCUUUUUCCUUUUAUUCUAACAAAAAGAUUUUAUAUUUUUCAGAUAUGUUGCUAUUAUGAAUUCAAUUUUUUCUGCUCAAAGAUCAAUGGUGCCUAUAGAUUCAUGUGUUAUUGGGUCACAACAUUCUGCAUUCCUGCAACAGGUGAGUAAAUUACAAAUUUGUCCCUCUGCUUAUCUGUUAAGUUUAUGAAAAUGACCAUUUUGCCCUUACUUGAAUAUAUAUUGAUGUUAUAUGAUUUGCAGGCUUCUUAUAUAACUGGAGGUGUAUAUCUGAAGCCACAACAGCUAGAUGGAUUGUUCCAGUAUCUAACAGUAUGUUGAAAUAUUCCACCCUGGCAUAUAUUUUAAAUAUAUAUAUUUUUCUUUUAAGAAAACUAAAUUAAAGAUUAUAUAUAUUUUUUCAUAUGCAGACAGUAUUUGCAACAGAUUUGCAUUCACGAAACUUCUUACAACUUCCUAAGCCUGUUGGUGUAGAUUUUCGUGCUUCGUAAGUUUUUUUUUUUUUUUUUNUAUAUAUAUAUAAAUGCCAAAAGUUAAGUUUUUUUAUUUUAUUUAUUUAUUUUUUAAAAUGCAGGUGUUUUUGUCACAAAAAUACGAUUGAUAUGGGGUAUAUUUGCUCUGUUUGUCUAUCUAUUUUUUGUAAGCAUCACAAGAAAUGUUCAACUUGUGGGUGAGUAUUUAUUUUAAUGUUAAUUAUUCUCAAUUCAUAUUUGUUAAUUAUUAUUAAUUAUAAAUUGAAAUUUAUGGGUUUUUAUAAAUGGGAAUACAGGUCAGCUUUUGGUCAACCCCAAACAAGUGUCUCCACAUCAAAUCAGAAGAGAAAAGCUCCUGAUAGUUAAACUUAAAGCUUUCUUUGUAUGAAAAAAGAGGUGGUUUGCUGAAUUUUGUAGGCAAUUGUUAUAAUUACUAAAACUUACUUUUUGAUGAGUUUUUAUAAAACUUUGAUUAUUUGAUUCCUAUAAACUCAUUAAACACUUUAGUUUCUAGUUUUAAUCUUUUUAUUUUGAGCAAGUUAUGAAUUUCGUUCAUGUGGUUUGUCAAAAAAUUAUGUAGGCAAAUUACGGUGUAAAUAUUAAUUUUUGUGAUCUCUUUUAGGAAUUCUCACAUCAUUACAUGUAGGCCAUUUAUCUAGUUUAAACUCAAAUUGCUUGAUGUUGAUAAGAACUAAUUGGAUACAUAUAACAAUAUUGAUACUUACAAAUAUAUCAUCCAACGAGAAAUUAAAAGAUUGUUUUAUUAAAUUACAAGAAUCAUCCUUGUGGUUUGGUUCAAUCUACAUGUUUUGUCCCUUCAUAAAUGUGUGUGUUCUUGUGUAUGUUUGUGUGGCUGUUUUUAUGUGAAAAAAAUAAAAUAAUCUAUAUUCCGAAUUAUAACAUUGUUUUUCAAAGCACAUUGCUAUAAUUAGGAACUGUUCAUAAAUGUGUGCAAAAGGUUGCAUAUAAUUCAUGGAUGUAGCAUGUGUUGCAUUUCAUAUACAUUGUAUCUCAUUGCAUAACAUGUGAUUGCAUUUGCAUCAUGAGUGUAUUGUUUAUACUUAAUGUGGUAUUGAUGAGUUGAGAUUUCCUUGUGAGAUAUCAUUAUUACACAUUAAGCUAUAUGUUUAUUUUUUUUUUAUUUUUUUUUCAAGAGAGAGCUAUUUGUUUAUCGUUACUAUGUUGAAAUGUGUUUUAGGAAUGGAGUUGGUAAAAAGGGAAAGGGGUCCACUUUGACCAAGAUUAAAAGAUCUAGAAGAUUGCUUAGCUUUUAUGUUCAUGUUGGAAACCCUACUCAUGGUCUUAUUCAUGUUUUUAUAUGUGUGUGUUGUGUAUGUGGUGCAAAUGUGUAGUCCUUUGAGCCAAAGUUACAUUUAUUUGUGAAUGAUUUAAAGGGUUGUUUGAUAUACAACUUAUAUGUUUGGGUUUGAUUCGGUCAGAUUCAGACUGUUUGAUACUACAAUUAAAAAAAUCUUUGUUUCGGUCCUAUAACCUUUGAUAUUCUUGUUAUUGUGUCUGAUGAGCAGUGACAGACACAUGACCUAGAUGUUGCCGAUGCUACACCGGACACCUAGGUAAAACCACCCUUGCUGAUGAGAAGCUGAGUAUGACUCAAUCAGACAUUGACUCAUUCAAUCGUUGUCAAACAACUCUUUAUAGUAUAUUGUAAACCAUUUUAAAGGAAAAUUUCAUUGUGCUUUUCAUCGGGUCUUGGUGUUACAUUAUUAUGCAACAAGUCUCAAAAUUCAUUUUAUAAAGUUUAUUAUUUAUAUUUUAUUUUAAAUUUUUAACUAAUAUAUUUAACCUCAAUCAACUGUAUUUGUGUUGAUUAUUGUACAACAAAUGAUAUUUAUAUAUAUUUAAGAACCUCCAAUUCUCAACAAAAAUUAUAUAAUCAUAUAACAUAAUUUUGUAAAAUUUGUAGACCAUUGAACAUAACAUUAGAUUGUAUACGUAUUCAUCAAACUCACUCAAUUUUCUUGGUUCAUUUCCCCCCAUUAAAUUAUGAAAGCAGGUCUCAACAAAUUGCAAAUAUUAGACCACCUCUAUUAUAUUUUAGUAGUUUAGACUAUACAAUUUCCCCAAAAUUCUCAUUAGUAUGAACAUUUUGCUAUGGUAAAAAUGGGUGUCUAUGUUAAAGAUGGGUGUCUUUUUAGCUUAGCCAAUCUUUUUGCUAUUCAAUGCAAUCUAACUCCUACGUCAUCUCCCUAAUUGACUCAACAAUCAAUUUUACCAAUCCUAUCAAUCAAUCUAUAUUAAUAAAUAACUUUCAUUUUUUAGAAAAUGUUUAGGUAAAUAUUACAUAACUGAAAUUAAAAGGACCAAAGAGUAGUAUCAAAAAUACAUCACUAAAUUUCAUACAUCAACUGUUUUUCUAUUUCAAACACCAGAGUGGUCCAAUAUAUCACUGUCUACCUUUUUCAAACACCAAAAGUCCAAAAGUGGCAUAAACCCCAUCAAAAAAACAUGCACCAAAAUCCACAUUCAUAUGUAUCUAUGGUUGAUUAUCCAUUAGAAGACCUAAAAAGAGACUUUAAAGCUUCGAUCUUUCGAAGACAUGCUUCAGCUUUCUGAAUGGCGCCACUUCUUCCUUCUUCUGCUCUUCUUCUUCUCCCUCUUUUCGUCUUCCCUUCUUCCCUCUCUACCUUCAUCCUCUCCCGUUUCCUACUUGACGACUCUAUAAUUUGCCAAAAUCAAGAAUCAUUAACAACAGAUACGAUGUUUGAAAGAGUAAUUAAAUCAUCAAAAUGAAAUUGAAGAUCCAACCUUGAGUGAGGAUAGAUAGAUGAAACUGCUGCUGCUGCUGCUGUUUUCGUUCGAAAGAUUGUUGUUGUUCUUCUUCAUCGAAAAGUUGUAUGAAUGCUUUGAGCUCGAGCUUCAGAAGUUGAAAUCGAGUCGGGUGUUGAGCUUCGAGGAUCUUGAGUUCUUGCUCGGCGAGCUCUUUCAUCUUCUUGUGGGUGCAGAGCAGAGUGUGACGGAGUGGUGAGUGGUUUAAAUGAAAAUGGCGGACACAGGUUUUUAGGAGACCUGCCGUUGUAGCCCACUGUACGAAAAGGAAUAGCUUUUUUGUUUUGUUACAUAUCCCCAUAUUUAUUUCCUUCUUUUUUGUUUUAUCUCUAUAAACAAUAACUUCAACGUUUUAAAGUAUAUUUUUUUAAAAUCUCUUCUUUCUAACUAGACUUGUCAAUCGGGUGAGUUUGGAACGAAUCAAACUUGAUCCAAACAUUUUUAACAAAUUUCAAAAUCCGAUCCAAACCUGUUCCGUAACCCGCAUGUUUUGAAUAAUCAAAUUCAUACCUUUAUCCAUCGAAUAAGGAGAUAUCCAAACCCGUCCCAUAACCCGUAGUUUUUUGAAUAAUCAAACACAUUUUACUUAAAUCAUAAAAUCACAUUUAUUAAAUAAAACUAAGUGUUGAUUUAGAAAACACAUUAUGUACUCGAUGACUUUCUAUUGGAAUUAAAAUCAUUCUUUUAGUUACUUCCGAUUAGUUUUUGACCGUCGAUUACAUUGAUAGAGAAUAACAAUUACAAACUUUCUUCCGAUUGAUAAAUGACCUUAUUGAUUUAUAAAUGAAAUUGAUAAUUACAUGAUUAAAUAUAAAUGAAAUGAAAUCAUGACUCUUAGGAGAAGACUGAAAUUAUAGAAGUUGAGUCGUCGAGUCCUAUGUAAAAACAGUUUAGUCUUUUGUCUUUUCUCUUUGGGCUUCUGAUUGGAAUUUAAUGUAAACUUUAGACAAUAUAAAAUAUAAAUGUAUAAUUCUAAAAUUUAUAUGAGGCGGUUAUAAACGGAGCAGAUCAGUGAUAAUCCAUACCCGACCCUUUUAAUAAAAUGGUUAGCGGGUACGGGUCGUUAACGAGUAAAUAGAUCAAAAACUAUGCUCCAAACCCGUAUAAUUGUUAAGGGUUUGGAUCGGAUCAGGGUCAAAACCCGUCCCAUUUUCUCAUUUGUCAUAUUUUUAUUUAAUUUGUCAAAUGUGAUUUUGUGAUUAUUUUGAAUUAAUAUUUUUUUUAUAUGUCAUUUUAUUAGUUUUUUUCUAUUUUUUUAAAUCCACAUAAUAUUUUAAUGUAAUAAUUACAAUAAAUAUAGUAAUAAAUAGAUAUCAAUGUCAUUAGUGAACUUAACUUUAAAUUUCAAAAAAUUCUCAAAAUUAAAGCUUAUUAGUUUUUUUUGUUUAUUUAUUUAAAUUAUUUGUUUAAAUUUAAAAGAUAAAAAACAUUUCCAUUAUAAUAAUUUUUUAUUUUUCUUAUUUUCUUAUAAAUUCAAANUAUAUAUAUAUAUAUAUAUUAAAUUAACUCAUGUAAUACAUGAGUCUCACAACUAGUAUUUUAUUAUUUACUAUUUAGGUAACAUAAAUAGAGAGCAACAAAAUAUUAUUACUUUUUGCACGAGCAAAUAUAGUAUUCAAUUUCAUAAGUAAUUCUAUAUGUUAUUAAUGCAUAUUUGGUCACACUUUACUUUGCAUGCUCCUUGAAAUUAUGUUUCUUUCAAGUGACAUGAUUUGUGUGGUUGAGAACAUUUGGAAAAAUUCUACAACUUCAGAAAUUAUCGGUUGUCUUGUCGAAUUGAGUUUGAUUAAAAUUGAUUUUUUAAUGCUUAGGAACGGGGGCACAGUUUGUCAUGUGGUUUAACAUGGUGGCAGUGGGGAACAUCGUCCCCACCCUACAAUCUUGAAUACAUUUUGGCCACAUUCAACAAGAAACAAGAGUGGUUUCUCUUUCUGUCUCCUCUCUAAUGCAUCUCUCUUUUCUCUUACCAUCUCUCAUCUAUCUAUUUUCUUCUUUCUUUUCCACCACACACCCUAUGGUUUUACCACACCAAAACCACACUUAAAUCCUAUGUGGAGUGUCUUUGCCAUGGUAAAAACAUGGCAUGACACCCUCCAACCUAAUUCAAACAACGAGCAACGAUGUUCCUUUCUUUUCACACACGAUUAUAAAUUCUUGCAGUGAACGGUACCAUGUCUCGUUCUAUUUGCAUAAUCAUUAAUCUGAGGAAACUACAAUACCUUGACUCAUUCAAAUAUUCCUGGUUCUUAACAUCAGGAUUAAUAGGAAAGCAUCAAGAUUAAUAUAAAAAUGUUUUGUUAACAUAUAAUCAAAGAAACUAUUAGGCAAUUUUAGAGUCACCGGUUAUUGUUGGGUUUUAUAGGAAACAAAAUUAUACAAUACAGAAAACAACCAACAUUUAAUAGAGUACAUGCAUCUUAUAAAAGAUCUAUAGCAUACACCUUGAUAAUAACAUACAAUGAACAUCUAAACCUAGCAUAAUCGUGGGGAAAUUUCGAAAUUACAAACUUUAGGGUAACAUACCUUUUGAUUUGUUGUAGUAAACAAAUCACACCAUUCCCUUGUAGUGUUGGUCUUGGAAAGCUUAGCACCAAAAUGAUGAUGUCUCUAAUGACUCACAUCCAAACCCUAGAACUAGAAGACAAAAUGGGAGAGGAAAAGGGAUAUUUUUGGCUAGAAUAUCCUUCAAGGAAGAGUAUGAACGAAUUUGAGGUCCCUAGGGGUCAUAUUUAUAGUUUAGGUAACUUAUGAACAAAGCAAGAUUUGAAUGAUCAAAUAAUAUAUUUAAUCCAAAUGUAAAUCCUUCCUUAUUAUCAUACAUGAGGCUUCUAGAAACCCUAGAAAGGCUCCUAAAACCGUCCACCUUGAUGAUAGAUUCUAAAAUUGUCUUUCCUUGCUCAACUAUGAACAAUUACAAUUCACCCAAUGCACCUUUAGUUAAUUCCAAUUGAUCCAAAACUAAUUCUGAUUGAUAAUUAAUAAAUUCUAAUUGAUUUCCAUUAAUUUAUUAAUUAUAAAUUAACAAAUCAAUUAUUAACAAGUGAUCUCAUAUUAAUUUAUUAAUCAUAUAAUAAAUUAACAAACCAACUAUCUAUUUCCAAUUAAUAUAUUAAUCAUAUAAUAUAUUAAUAAAUUAUUUAUUACAAUUUAUUAAUCAUAUAAUAAACUGAUAAAUUUAUCCUCUCUCUCUCUCUCUCUAAAUGUCAUUCUAACUAAGUUCUAGUUAUGAGGGCAACCCGAAAACGAUUUUGCUUCUAAUUACAAGAAAAUACCAAUUUAGUUACUCAUUUAGACACCUUAAUCCAACAGUCUCCCACUUGGAUAAGUCUGUAACUAUAAUUACAAGUAUUUACCUUGAACUAAAAAACAAAGAGUGUUUUACAAAGUCACUGACGAACUCUUAUUCAAAUCAAACAUUGGCCUCUAAGAUAAGUGAUCAACUAUUCAUUCAUUCUACAAGAUAUCGUAUAGACGUGAGACAUGGAUUAGAAUCAACCUUAUAGUCCAAGAUUUUGUUUCUCGAUUUCCUGAUUUAUGACGACUGAACUCAUACUACUAAUUGAAAACAUCAAUUUCGUCCGGGCCCAAAGAUAUCACUUUUCCUGUUAAGGCAAAUGGAACGAAUUACUUUGACUAUAUAGUCAUACAUUUUACUAACCAAAUCAUGCAUGUAAUUACUCUUUAUAACACCAAGUUAUGAGAUGUGUUUGGGUAAACUAAUACACAACUGAUUCAUAAACUACAAACUAUAUGUCCCUGCUUAAGAAUAUAAGAUAUUAUCGUCUUAGAAUUACUCGUGAUAAAAUCUAUGAAGUAAUAUCUAAGCACGAGUUUAUCCAAUACUUAAAAUCUAUAUUUUGAAAGUACUCAUGAAUAUCGUAGCAAUUCCAAUGGCAAUGUCUUAACCUCAAUCGACAAUCUACAAUCAAUUAAUGACAGUCUUAUUUCACUACUCACUUCCAAAAAUAUGAGCGAUCGUGGAAUUUUGAAUAAUAAUAAAAUUACUCAGGGAAGUAAACAUGCAAAAUGCAACAUAAUAAUAAAUUAAUUAACUAUGGUUUCAAACUUACUGAAUAUAAAUAAUUCUUGUUAUUUAAUCCCAUAGUAAUUAUGAAUUUAUUCAUUGUAAAAUGUUUCGAGUAAUCAACUAACCACUUGAAUUAGAUAACAUCAGUCAUGCAUAGGUUAUGAACAUGCAUAUUAUGCAUCUCUAUGGUCCUAGACAAGUCCCCUUAUGAACAGUUCUUGCUUCUCAUUUUUUUGGAUUUUAUUUAUUUAUUUAUUCUUACUAGCACUACGUGUUAUCUCCUCAACAUACCACCGCCUAUGCACACUUACCUCGAUGCUUCCCACCGCCUCUUGAAAACCAUCCAUCUCUCUCUAACUCAUCGAUAGAUCAUAAUUUGAAUGUAGAGUUGUGGCUUCACCUACAUGAGCCACCACUUUCCCUACCCCACCUUCACCUGCUACACUGAUUAGAAUAGAACGAGGCCAUGCCGACGAGCUUAACGCGAAUGGAUAAACAAGUGACAGAGUGAAGCGAUGGUGCUUCACUUUUGAAUCCCAUUGGAUCAAACGAUGUCGUUUCUUAUCCUAGUCACCGUCAUACUGUCCCACCUCCACCGUUGCCUACCUCCGUUAGGGUUUUCCAUCUAAUCUCAGAUCUUCAGGCAGGUGUUUUAGAUAACGGUUUGGAUUGAUUUCCACUUCCAUUUGGGUAUAACCACGACCAACCUCAACCCUAAUUUUUUACUUUCGUUCUCUCAUCUAUAAUUUCUUUUUUGAUUUUGUUUUUCAGUAACUUUCGGUACCCGUGUACACCCAUGUACACUUCUUGCUGGCCACCACCACAAUCUUGUUCAAGGUGUGUGACGGACCAAUUAGGCGUGAUUUCUCUAUUUCCCAUAUGUAGAGACUAGAACUUGAACUAUUAAAUUUGGAGGGUAAUUAGAAAGGUUUUGAAAUUUUGAACUAAAUAUGUUAACAAAUAGCUCCUUGAUCGUAAGGGCAUGCAUUGGGAGAUUGUCUUCUUGGAUAUGAAUUUAUUUAAACAUACAUAUCGAGUUAUUUUUUUGUUUUUAUCUUCGAGUCCUCUAUUAAAUCGAUUGAUUUCUUUUUUCUUCCUCUUUCUCCCUCUAGAAGAUGAUUUUCCCAUCAACUUUCUUUUUCAACCCUUGUUGUUGCAGUCAUUUCUUUGUCUCUUUAAUUUCAAGAUUUUAGUAUGAAAUUCGGUACCUUAUCUUGGAGUUAUAGGUCAGGUUUUGAUUUGAUUUCUUUAUUAUGUAAGAUUUAGGGGGGGGGGGGGGGUUUUUUUUUAUAUAACAUNNNNNGGGUGUUUCUUUUAUAAUAAUAUUUCAUUUACAACUCCAUUUAUAUGUGCGACUUUCCAUGUUGACACACUUGAAAGAUUAGGAAUCACAAGGCAUUUUAGGGUGGAAAUAAAAAAUGUUGUAAACGAAACUUACAGGUAAUGUUCAUAACUUUAAUCUAUUACCUAAGAAUGGUGUCCCAAUUUUAUAGUUAAAAAUACAGUAUUAGCCACAAAAAUAGAUGUCGGGUGUAGGGGACGUGCAAAUGUUCAUGGGAGUUAUCACUUGUGCUCUAGCCUUUCGAUUAUUAAGGAUAAAUGGGUACGAAGUCUCAUCAGGUAUAUUUCUUAAAAAAUGUAUCGAAUUACAGUAAUUAUUUUCACUUAAUGUUCUUAUCUUUUUUUUUUUGUUUCAUCACUUGGCUUGUGUUGUAGAUCCAUUGGCUAAAGUUACUAAAGAGGGGGCUCACAGGACUUCAUGCAAAGAUCAUUUCAAAUAUGUAUAUGUAGCUCUACAAGUGUUUAAGGCAUCACAAAUUAUAUAUCAAAAGGAGUUGGGUUUCAGAGAAGAAAAUUUGAUGUUGGCUGAUUUCCAUGAAAGGAAAAUAUCCAUUGCUUCUUCUAACUUAUUCAUAGAGAGGUUCUAAUAUUCCCUUUGAAUAGAAGAAAUAUAGAGCAUUACAAUGUAGACAAUAGAAGAAUAUUGAAAACCACAUAUAGGUGAUGUCAUAUGUAACAUCUCGAUUCCCAGGUAUGAGAAAUUUUAUUAAAAAGGAAAGUUUCCCUUGGAACUCGUCAAUUUGAUGGCCUUAACUCGACGUGUUGAAACUCUUUGGGCCACGAAUCUUUUUGGACCAACUCGACGAGUUGGAGAGUAAAACUCGACGAGUUGGCAGCUGAUUAAGAAACCCUAAUUUUAGGGUGUUGCACCCUAUUUAAAGUCCUUAAGUCCCAUUUUUGGCCUUCCUAAUUGCCUCCUCUGUCUAGAAACCCUAAUUUUCGUGCAUCCUCUCCCAAGUUGAGUGUGUGAGCUUGAAGAGUUGGUCAUUUUAGUGUUCUUUUGAAGGAGCUUGAGGUUGGAAGUGUCUAGGUUGAAGGGAAGGCUUCAGAUCCAUAAAGUAUUUGAGUAUUGCAGUUCUUUUAAGGUAAUAAGUCGACAAGUUGCUUAUAUAUUGCUUAGAUAUCUUCUUUGGAAGUUUAUUGUCAUGGUUGGCUCAUUUUUGGGUUGUUCAUGGGGUUGAGCAUCUCAUGAAGUUAUCACUUUAGAUCUUGACAUUUUGUGGCCUAUUUGGGCUUAAAGUUGCAAGCUUUAUCAAGUUCUAGGCCUCCUUCAUGCUUUAGGUCCCUUAUUAAGCCUUCCUUGAGUUUUGGAGCCUCUUUGUGGCAUGCAUGGAUGUAAAGUUAGCAACUUUACGUGGUUUUCCAACUCGUAGGUAUUUGAUCUACAUUCUAAAAUGUUAGACUUGAUGGAAAAGGACUGAAUUUGUUAAGUUGGGAAAACUUGGCGAGUUUUCCAGCCAACUUGGUGAGUUGGCUAGGAUUCUCUGAAUACUAUAGGAACUAGACGAGUUCAGGAGGUGUACUCGACGGGUUAGGUCAACAUGGACUGUUGACCUUGACCAUUGACUUUCACUUUGACCAUGGUUGACCAUUUUUACUUUUGAGGGCAUUUUAUGUAUUUCGGGGUUUAAUGGAAUUGGUCACAUGGUGGUUGUAGGCAUUUGAGUCAGGAGUUGAGUUUCGGGGUUAGACCUUAUCAGUUCAGCUACUUAUGAGGUGAGUUUUUCUCACUGUACUUUCAGGUUGAAGGCACCAAGGCCGACCCAUUAGUUUGAUUACUUGAUAUUGUUGGUAUGCUAAGUAUGAUAGAGAUAUGCAUGCUAGAUUGCUAUUAUGGUAGCUGUAGGACUACAUGUGAUACUGUUUGUUUAUUUGUUAGUGAUAUUAUCUGUUAUAUGUCGACAUAUUGUGUGGAUGGGUUGAGGUGGUACUGCUUUAUGUUGUGGCCAACAAACUGUGGAGUAUGCCAGAUAUGAGCUGAGGGACAGGGAGGGAAUGCCAGACUUAUACUAAGGACUCAUGAGCAUUCCAGAUACGAGAUGAGAGCCUGGUAGGGCAUGCCAGACUCGUAUUGAGGUCUUAGCAGUAUUCAGUCUGUUGACUGAUCAGAAUGGGGAGCAAGCCAGACAUAAGCUGUGGGCCCAUGGGACAAGCCAGAUAGGGAUGAUCAUACAACCCGUUGGACCAGACCGGACAGGAAAAAGCCUGGGACCGGACCCGAACUGAACCGAAUAUUCUUAUAGGUGGGCCAGUUUUCGGGUUUUGUUUUUUACAAAAAUCGGGUUUCGGGUUUGGACUGGACCGGACCUGGAAUAAAGUUGUUAACCCGGACCGGACCAGAAAUCAAAACUUAUUAAUAAGUUAUUAAUAUUAUUGCCUUUUUUUGAGCAUACAAAAAAAACUCGAUACACAAAAUUAGAAUAAAAACCCUAUCGACAACUUGAUUUCUUUGGGUUCGUUCUUAGUGUCAAUCGAUGAUUUCUUCCCUAGGCCACUAAUCUUCUACUCUCUAAUACUUCCUUUCCUCUACAAUGGUGAUUGAAAAUUGAGAUGGUUCCAUGGAAGAUAAUCAAAGUCAAGUAAGUCUAAAUAUUUUUAUGUUUGAUGUCGUAAUGUAUAUUUUAAUCUGUGGGUCAUUUUUCUUUUAAGUUUUAAACUUUUAAUCAUGGUUAAUUGGAAAAUAAAGUUAAUAUAUGUUGGAACUAAUUGCCAGCCAAUAGUAUGGGUUUCGUAUAGAUGUUGUACUAAUAUAUUAGACUUUAGAGUAUGGGUAUUAUAAAAAGAUAAUGUAGUAUGGGGUGAGUAUUAGUUAUGAUGUAUUAGCCUAUUAGGUGUUGUAUAUACAUGUUGCAGUAUGGUAAUCAAACAUCCAAUUUACUUCAAUCCAAGUUAAUAAGUUAGAAAAGAUGUAGUUGCAGCAAGCUCCUCCUCAUGUUGUUAAUUACUCUUGGUUGCGAUUUUAUAUUUCUGAUCAUCAGAGACUUCAUCUCCUCUUAAUGAGGAUUCAAAUUUCAUCCUCUUAAUGAGGAUUCAACCUUACAACAUCUACUUUUGGAAGUUUUGAGAGUUCAACCUUCAUCAUCAUCUACUUCAAGAUUUUUCAACCUUCUUCAAUCCUUCAACUCAUCUCCAGAUUCCUCUUAUAUAUAUAUAUAUAUAUAUAUAUCCUCAACUUGUGCUUCUAGAACACCAAUCAACAUGUGCUUCUAGAACACCAACUACAUCCAGGUUAAUAAGUUGGAAAAGAUGUAACAGAUAGUCAUUGAUUGGUUUGCAUUGAGAAAGAAGAAAUUUUUUUUGUAUUUUGGGUCUAGUCUUGAACUUGUGAUCAUAUAUGCUUGGUAUAAGUGAUUGUUCUUUAGUAUUGUUGAUUUUUGAUGUUAUAAUGGCUAAUGUUAAAAUUGUUGAAUGGUUAUUGAUUUUUGAUGUUGUAACGGCUAAUGUUCAAUUGUAGAUUUUUGAUUCUUGAAUGCCUUAUGUUCAAUGCUUAAGUAAUUGUUUUUACUUUAUUGUAUUGUAGGAUGAUGAUGUUUUUGUUGAUAACACCCCACAUAUUAUUGCUGAUCAUGAUGUUGAUACCGACAAAGGAGACAUAAAUAUUGAAGAUAACACCGCAUUGUCAAAGAAAAAAAAUAAAAGAAAACGGGCAUCACAAAAAAAGGGUCAAAAUGUUGGAAUUCAAUGGAAGUGGUUAUGGACGAUGAUGGAAAGAAAACCAAUAAAUCUAGAUGCAAGCAUUGCUUUAAAGUCUUUAAUUCUGAUGUAAACAUAAAUGGAAGUUCUAGCUUACUUAGACAUGCAAAUAAUUGCCAACAAAAUUCGGAUAAUAUUAAAUGGCAAAAUACUUUACAAUUUAUAAAAAAACCUUUUGGGGAUGGUACCAGUGUCACCGUAUGGAUACACGAUGAAGACGGGAUUAAAAAAGCUAUGCUAAAUCUAUUUGUUGUAGGUGAACUCCCAUUUAAAUUUAUGGAAUAUGAAGCUUUUAUAGAGUACACAAAUGCUUUAAACGGAAAAUUCAAAAUACCAUCAAGGCAUAAAAUUAGUUGUGAUGUUGCCAAGUUUUAUGUUGAAGAAAUGAAGAAGUUAUUAACUUUCUUUGCUAAUACACACAACAUGAUACACUUGACAAUCGAUAGUUGGACUUCAUCAUGUCAAAAAACGAAUUACAUGAUUGUUACGGGACACUUCAUAGAUGACAAUUGGGUCAUAGAUAAAAGGAUUUUAAAUUUUAGACCAAUAGAUACUCAUGUGGGGAAAACAUGAGACGUUUGUUACGUGAAUGCAUACAUGAGUGGGGGAUAAAAAAUGUGAUGACUAUAAGUGUGGACAAUGCCACUACAAAUGACAAAACAUUGGAAUUCUUGACCAACAAACUUCCCAACCUGUAUGAAGGUGGAAAACAUUUUCACGUUAUAUGUGUGUCUCAUAUUUUGAACUUAAUUGUGAAAGAUGGAUUAAAAUAUCAUAAUACCCAUGUGCAUGUGUUCAAAGAGCGGUGAAAUACAUUAGACAUUCAACCGCUAGAAUUAAGAAGUUUAGAAAAUGUAUGAAGGAUUCCGACUUAGAAGGGGAUAAGUUUUUAUGUGGAGAGUGUCCAACGAGGUGGAAUUUGACAUUCGAGUUGUUGAAGAGCGCUUUGAACUUAAAAGAUGUUUUUUUGAAUAUGAAGUUAAAGGUAAACAUAUUUUUUUGUUAUUUUUUUACAAAUAAAAGCUAUUAGAGUGCACUUUUUUUAUUAUUAAUAUUGCCGUUUUUUUUGUUAAAAAUGCAGUUUUUUAUGUUAAAAAUGUUGUUUUUUUUUGUUAAAAAUGCAGUUUUUUAAUUAUUAUAAAAUUUGUUUUUUUUUAACAAAUGAUAUUGUUAGAGUGCAGUUUUGUUGUUGUUUUUUAUAAAAUAAAGUGCACUUUUUUAACUAAAAGUUUUUUAUUAAUAGUGUUUUUUUAAAUGUUGUUUUUAUUAAAAAUGCAGUUAUUUUUAAAUAAAAAUUACAGUUUUUUUUCUUUGUUUUAAAUGGUGCUGUUAGAGUGCAAUUUUGUUUUGUUUUGUUUUUUUUUAAAUGAAGUGUAGUUUUUUUAUUAAUAGUUUUUUAGUGAUAGUUUUUUUUAAUAAAAUAAAGUGCAUUUUUUUUCUUUAUUAAAAAGUGCAUUUUUUAUGUGUUCUAAAUGAUAAUGAGUUCGUAUUUUUUGUAGACACUUCAUUUGCACGUGAUUUAAAUAGAGUCCCACAAUGUACCGAUUUCGAAGUGAUAGAAGAUGUUAUAAUGUUUCUUGAAAAGUUCAAAAUAAAAACGAAGAUGUUGUUAGCUUCAUCAAAAGCGUUGGUACAAACUGUUUUACGAGAAAUUAUAGAUGUUGACCAACAUCUAGAAACAUAUUCAACAAAAGUGCAUCUUUGUCAUAUGAUCCCAUUCAUGCAUACCAAAUACAACAAGUAUCGGGGUUCAAUAGAAAAUUUGAAUGAUUUUCACAAGUUUUGCCGUAUUAUUGGACCCCUAAACGAAGUCCAUCUUUUUGUCGGCUAUCAUCAAGAAGGUGAUCGAAAACACGAGAACGGAGGAAAACAUAUUGUUGGAUAGCACCAUAAAAUUGAAGACGAUGUCCACGGUGCGGGAAAUUGAAAAAAGAAUGGAAAUUUUAUUUAAAACCUAUGAAGAAAAAUAUGCAAAUGUAGGCUCGUCUCAAAAAGUAAAAGAAGUUGUAAGUUGUGAUGUGGGUAACGAUUUUUUGGACGUUUUCUUGAUGGGACAAGGAGACACGUCGGCGAUAGUUGAAAACGAAAUGAGAAGAUAUUUAAAUGAACCUAGAGUGACUUUUGAUAAAAAAAAAUUGACAUCCUAGAUUGGUGGAAAAAAAUGCAUUGUGUUUUCCGAUUGUCACUUGUCGCUCGUAUGACAAAAGUUAAUUCUACUAUUUAACUUUGUUUUCUUUUAGUUAAGUUAUAAAUUAUUAUAUUUAUAAUUUUAUUAUGGUUUGUUGUUAGAUAUUUUAUCCAUACAAGUGACGACCAUGGCGUCGGAAUCCACUUUUAGUACUUGCGGUCGAAUUCUAGAUGAGUAUAGAACACGUUUGAAUACGCCGAUUGUUGAAGCUUUAGUAUGUACCCAAGAUUGGAUAAGAAAAUCAUGCAAACCCAUUAUAGAUAAUGAUGAAGACAUAUUGAAGGAUGAUGACAUAGCGUUGGGUAGUAAAUUUAAAUCAUCUUUUAUUUAUUUUUUGUUUGUUAAAAAAUGUAGAUGCUCACUAUGCUUUGAUGUUAAUUAUAUAGAGAUUGAAGCGGUGAUGGAGGAAAAAGAAGAUAGAGGGAAUGGAAAGAAGCCGAUUGAAGUUUAAUUGUUUUUUUUUUCAUAAAUUGUUUGUUUUCGUAUAAUGGUAAUUUGGUUUAGUACAUGGUUAUUAUUAGUUUGGUACAAUGAUAGUUUGGUUAUUAUUAUUUUGGUAAAUUUGGUUUGCUAUUUAUUACCUAUACAUUCAUAUUCACUUAUGUAUUUUUUUAUUCCAAUUGUGCAAACAACAAAAAUAUGAAUGAUGGAUAUUACGUAGUAAGAUUAGAACUUGAAAUAGUAUGAUAGAGACUAGAGAGUAAUAUUACAAACAAAACCUGAAACUGUAAACAACAAAGAUACAAAACUUAGUUUGUUACCCGGAACAAGACCGGAUCGAAACCGCAAACAACACUGCGAAAGUAUAAUUCGGUCAAAAACCCGAAACUCGGUUUAGUACCCGGAACUGGACCGGACCAAACCCAGACCCGAUACACCGAAAAACAGUCCGGUUUUCGGGUAAGGUAAUUCAGGAUUUUCGGUCUUCGGGUUUUCAGUCUUCGGGCCGGUCUGGUCCGGGUUUGUCCCGUUGCUCAUCCCUAAAGCCAAACUUAUGAUGUGGGCUCAGGGGUAAUCCGGUCUGUAAAGCUGUGGACUCAUUAAAUGUUGUUAUUAUAAUUGUGCUAUUUAUUAUGUAUUGGUAUUUUGGGGGAACUCACUAAGCUUUGAGCUUACAGUUUUGGAUUAUGUUUCAGGUACAUUAGAGGAUCGCGGGAAGGCGAAUGCAUGAUCGUGCACCUCCUCAUAUUUUUAUUUCAUGAUUUUGGGAUAUCUCUGAUAUGGAACUUAUUUUGAAAACAAGUUGUAAACAAUGAUGAUUUUGGAUGUUUUUAAAAGUUUAAAAUUUCCAUGAAUUUUAUGUGUGUUACAAGUUAGUAUCAGAGCGUUGGUUUGAGUGAAUUGGAGAAACACUCGUGUGAAUCCAAUAUCAACCUAAGGAAAAGAUUUUUAAAUGGUUUUCGAAAUAAACAAUGCGGAUGCGAUGUGUACGAUUAGCCGGAGCCAGUAAGUUGACCCCAAAAUACCAUAUUGUUAUUUGAUAUUGUAAUAUGUUAGAACAACAUGCUAGUGAUAGGUUGGGGAUCUUCAGGAACUGCAUGAUAGAAUUGCCUGAUUAUAUGAUGUAUGAUAGCCUAGGUCCUUUUCUUUUCUGGAAUUGACAUCAUUGUUGUAGUUACUUAGUGUAUGCAUCAUGGUUAUAUAUAACUAAGAUCUUAUAGCUUGAGAACAUUUGAUUUGGCCUUAUUUCCUGUUCCUGUUUGAUGAAGGGCUUAGGGUAGGAUCAAAUAUUCGAAUGUCUAUAGGGUCCAGUGUUAUGUAUGGCUAGCAUACACGAGUGCUGCUGGGGUGGUGGAAGUUUCAUUGAUGAGUCGUGUUGGGUCAGCCGACCGGUUGUGAGAUAUUUCGCCUUUCCUCUAGGGAGUAAGGAUUGAGUGUUCGUCUAUGCUUAUGAGUAUUUUUAGGGCAUUUUGAUGAUCCUUGAGACAAAUACGGGUAGGUGUGGAAAGUAGUAUAGGCCCGUACUACUGAAAGCACAGGACCCGUAUGCGUAGCAAGGAAAUCACAACCCCUAGGGCUUCAUUAGGAGUUGGUUCCCCAUUAUGAUAUGUGAAUUAUCUGAUAUCUUCCUGGCGUAUUUUCAGUAUGGUGACUAUAAGACUUGUUGAAAUUGGAUCCGGGUCAGGAUUAAGAGCUGGCAGAUAGGGUGAGCCAGUUUUGUCGGAGGACUGCAUCAGGGGGAUCAUUUGCAAGGAGGUGGUUGCUAUUGUCUGGGGUUAGAUUCCAGAAAUGGUCGGGUCUAUCAAGACCGCGAUGAUGGAGUUCUUUGAUAGCACGGAGCCCUCGACUUUUGAUAGAGUUCAGGACCCGAUCAUAGCCAUGAGGUGGCUAUUUGAUGUGGAAGGAUGUUUCUUCACUUGUUCAUGCCCUGCUGACCAGAAGGUCAGAUGCACUAUGAACCUUCUGAGGAUCGGAACGAAAGAUUGGUGGAGGCUCGCUAUUAGUUCGUAUUCUGUUGAGCAGAGAGCUACUGUGACUUAGGAGCGGUUUUCUGAGAUGUUAUACUAUCGAUAUGUUCCACUGGUGGAGCUUGAGAGGUUAGCGUAGGAGUAUCUGGAUUUAAGACAGGGUUUUGAUACGGUGACAGAGAUCACCAAGAUGUUCGUGGAGAGAGCUAUGUUCUGUCCUGAGUUUGCUACAUCUGAGCAGGCUCAGAUGACCUGUUACUUGAGCAUGCUUAAGACAGAGACCAGACAGUUUGUUUCUACAUAGCGUUAUGGUUGAUUGUUGGAGAUGCAGGAGGCUGCCAGGCGGCGUGAUAUUGCGAUUGAUCUACAGACAAGAGAGCAGAGGCUGGCUCCGACAUAGUUGCAGUCAGCGCCAAAGCGGUUCAAGACUGUUGAUGUUAGAUCAGGGGCCGGAAGGGCCGAACUUGUGGCAAGUGCGACGAGACACAUAAGGGUGAUUGUUGGUCAUCAUCUGGGUGCCACAAUUGUGGCCGACAGUUUCACAUGGAAAGGGAUUGCCGCCAGCUGGCUCCAACGCUCAGUUCUAGGAUUUGUUAUCAUUGUGACUGGGUUGUCCAUGUGAAGGCCAACUGUCCAUCGCUCGCUGCCAGGCCGGUGUAGGCUCCAGCACCGGUUACUUUAAGGAUCACUGACGGGAGUCAAGGCAGGACAGAGCCCCCGAGGGCUCGAGGUCGUGCUUUCCAGCUUACUGCCGAGGAGGCCAGGGCAGCACCAAAUGUUGUGAUCGGUAUGUUUCUAUCCGUUAUCUUAUUGAUUAUGUUUGUUUUAUGCUCAUAUGUUGGUACCUCUAUUAGGUACAUUCUUAGUGAACUCCAUGCCUAAUCUUGUAUUGUUUGACUCAGGUGCAAGCCAGUCCUUUGUUUCUCGAUCUUUUAGUAAGGACUUUUCCUUUCCCAUAGGGGAGUUGGAGUGUCCGUUGCGAGUUUCUAUCGCCAACAAACACGAGAUUUUUGCUUCUUCAUUUUAUCAGGGUUGCGUCCUAGAGAUUUUCGGGGUAUCCUUGCCGAUCAAUUUGAUUCCUAUUCCCAUGAGGGAUGUAUGUGUGAUUGUGGGUAUAGACUGGCUGAUCCGUUUUGGUGCCAUGAUUGACUGCGAUGGUUGGCGUGUGGUAUUUUGAACCCCAAGUGGGGGAGAACUGGUUAUUUAUGGAGAGGGCAUCAGGAUGGGUUCAUGGUUUUAUUCGGCAGCCAGGGCGCGACAGUAUAUUUAGCACAAGUGUGCGGAUUAUUUGGCUUAUGUAGUGGAUAUGCAGGUUGGGGAUCAGGUGUCGGUCGCUGAUGUUCCGGUUGUUAUGGAGUUCGCUGAUAUAUUCCUGGAGGAGUUACAUGGUGUGCCUCCUGAGAGACAGGUCGAGUUCAGGAUUGACCUUGUGCCAUGUGCGACUCCUAUUUCCAAGGCGUUAUACCGAUUGGCACCACCUGAGAUGCACGAACUAUUAUCUUAGCUGUAGGAGCUGCUAGGCAAGCGGUUCAUCCAUCCAAGCAGUUCUCCGUGGGGAGCACCGAUUCUAUUUGUCAAGAAGAAGGAUGGUUCAUACUAGAUGUACAUCAAUUACCGAGAAAUUGAACAAGUUAACGGUGAAGAACUGUUAUCCCCUUCCACAUAUUAGUGAUCUCUUUGAUCAGUUACAGGGAGCAUCUUGGUUCUUUAAGAUAGAUCUGAGGUCUGGAUGCCAUUAGGUCACGGUGAGGGAGGAGGACGUGGAGAAAACCGCAUUCUGAACUCUUUAUAGACAUUACGAGUUUGUAGUGAUGUCAUUUGGGCUUACCAAUGCGCCUGCAGUAUUUAUGGAUUUGAUGAAUCGGGUAUGCAGGCCGAUGCUCGAUUGUUUGGUUAUCGUGUUUAUUGAUGAUAUCUUGGUGUAUUCCAAGACCCGAGAGCAGCAUGAUGAGCAUCUUUGCGAGCUUCUGGGGGUUUUGAGGAGAGAACGGCUUUAUGAUAAGUUCUUGAAAUGUGAGUUUUGGUUGCGAGAGGUUCAGUUCCUUGGAUACCUCGUUAACAAGGAUGGGAUUUUGGUCGAUCCGGCCAAAAUCGAGGCGGUGAUGUAGUGUGAGGUUCCGAAAUCUCCCUUAGAUAUCAAGAGUUUCUUGGGUUUGGUAUGGUACUACCAGAGAUUUAUUUAGGAUUUCACCAAGAUUGUAGUACCCCUCACUCGUCUGACAAGGAAGGGGGUGGAUUUCUGGUGGAGCCCUGAGUAGCAGUCAUCAUUUGAGGCCCUUUGGCAGAGACCUUGUGAGGCCCCAGUUUUGACCUUCCCAGAGGGAAUUGAGGAUUUUGUGGUUUUUUGUGAUGCAUCCACCAUUGGCUUGGGAGCAAUCCUCAUGCAGAGAGGACGAGUGAUAGCUUAUGCUUCGCGGAAACUGAAGCCACAUGAGAUGAGAUAUCCCACACAUGAUCUUGAGUUGGGGGUGGUGAUUUUCCUUUAUGGGGUUCAUUGUACCAUCUACACGGAUCACAAGAGAUUCAGGUAUAUUAUGGAUCAUUCGAACUUGAACAUGAGGCAACACAGGUGGUUGGACGUAGUCCAUGAUUAUGACUGCGAGAUCCUUUACCAUCCGGGUAAAGCGAAUGUUGUGGCAGAUGCCCUGAGUUGCAAGUUGGAUAGAUCUUCUGUUCUGGUGGCAUGUAUGAGGAUAUAUGUGGAUUCUCCACUUAUGGGGUUGAUUAGGGAGGCUCAGGCCGAGGGGGUGCAGGAGGAAAAUUGGAAUAUUGAGAGGAUCAGGGGCAAGAUCACAAUAUUUGUUCCAGACAGUCGUGGUUUGUUGAUCCAUUGCGGCCAGGUAUGGGUUCCUGUGUCUGGUGGGGUCAGAGAAAUUGUGAUGGUGGACGCUCAUAAGUCUAAUUUUUUUUAUCCAUCCAGGGGCCACCAAGAUGUGUCGGGAUCUGAGGUUGAGUUAUUGGUGGUCGUGCAUGCAGAGAGAGAUCGUUUGGUAUGUUGAGAGGUGCUUGACCUGCAGGAUGGUCAAAUCAGAGCAUCAGAGGCCGCAUGGAAAGUUGCAGCCUUUGGAGGUUCCCAUGUGGAAAUAGGAGAAGAUUUUGAUGGAUUUCAUCACCAAGUUAGCAAAGAUGGCAAAGGGUUUUGAUGCUAUUUGGGUCAUCGUGGUUCGAUUGACCAAGAGUGCCCGCUUUCUAGAAAUUCGGGAGAGCUCGUCAGCCGAGAAGUUGUAUGAUGUGUAUAUUUACGAGAUUGUUACUUGCCAUGGGGUUCCGGUCUCUAUUGUUUCAGACCGUGAUUUUCGGUUCACCUUCCGAUUUUAGCAGAAGUUCCAUGAGGGACUGGGCACGAGGCUUCAUUUCAAUAUGACUUAUCAUUCGCAGACCGAUGGUUAGAGCGAGAGGACCAUUCAGACUCUCGAGGAUAUGUUGUGGGCUUGCGUUAUCGAUUUUAGUGGGAGCUGGGACUCCUACCUACCCCUUGUAGAGUUCUCUUAUAAUAACAGUUUUCACUCCGGCAUUGUUGCUCCGCCUUUUGAGCUUUUGUAUGGGCGAAGGUGUCGUACCCCAGUCUAUUGGGGCAAGGUUGGUCACAUGGUCAUGGGUUGGACCGAGGUGGUCCUGCAUACUACAUAGACAAUCAGUAGAUCAGGCAAAGAUUGCAGACUGCUCAGAGUCAACAGAAGAUCUAUGCCGACCGACACCGAUAUGAAUUGGAGUUUAGGUCGGUGACAUGGUGUUAAUGAAGGUCUCACAUUGGAAAGGUGUGAUUCGCUUCAGGAAGAGGGGGAAGUUGGGACCCCGGUACAUUGUACCAUUCUGGAUUGUUUCCAGGGUUGGCAAUGUUGCUUAUAGGUUGGAUCUUCUGGAAGAGCUUAGUCAGACUCUUAGCACUUUCCACGUUCCGCAAUUGCGGAAAUACGUAUUGUACGAGGAUGCGGUGGUAUCAUUGGAUGACAUUCAGGUUGAUGAGCAUAUGAACUAUGUCGAGAGGCCGGUAGCUAUUUUGGAAAGGAAGGUAACAGUUCUGCGUAGCAAGGACAUGCCUUUGGUAAAGGUACAGUGGCAACAUCAGAGGGGAUCUGAGUGGACCUGGGAGCCAGAGGUUGAGAUGCCAGAUUUGUUCACCACAGCAGGCUUCGAGGACGAAGCCUAGUUCAAGUGGGGGAGAGGUGUAAUAUCUUGAUUCCUAGGUAUAAGAAUUUCUAUUAAAAAGGCAAGUUUCCCUUGGAACUCGUCGAUUUGAUGGCCUCAACUCGACGUGUUGAAAGGCUUUGGGCCACUGAUCUUUUUGGACCAACUCAACGAUUUGGAGAGGAAAACUCGAUGAGUUGGCAGCGGAUUAAGAAACCCUAAUUUUAGGAUGUUGCACCCUAUUUAAAGGCCAUAAGUCCCAUUAUUGGCAUCCCUAAUUUCCUCCUCUGUCCAGAAACCUUAAUUUUUGUGCAUCCUCUCCCAAGUUGAGUGUGUGAGCUUGAAGAGUUGGUCCUUUUGGUGCUCUUUUGAAGGAGCUUGAGGUUGGAAAUUCCUAGAUUGAAGGGAAGGCUUCAUAUCUAGAAACUCUUCGAAUGUUGUAGUUCAUUUGAGGUAAAAAGUCGACAACUUGCUUAUCUAUUGCUUAGAUCUUUUCCUUGGAAUUUUAUUAUCAUAGCUGGCUCAUUUUUGGGUUGUUCAUGGGGUUGAGCAUCUCAUGAUGUUAUCACUUUAGAUCUGGACGUUUUGUGGCCUCUUUGGGCUUAAAGUUCCAAGCUUUAUCAAGUUCUAUUCAUGCUUUAGGUCCCUUAUUAAUCCUUGCAUGAGUUUUGGAGUCUCUUUGUGGCAUGCAUGGACGUAAAUUUAAAAACUUUAUGUGGUUUUCUAGCUCUUGGGGUACCUGAUCUACAUUUUAAAAUGUUAGACUUGAUGGAAAAGGACUGAAUGUGUUAAGUUGGGAAAACUCGGCGCGUUUUCCAGCCAACUCGGCGAGUUGGCUAGGGUUUUCCCGAUUUUCUAAAUACUAUAGGAACUCGACGAGUUGGGUCAACAUGGACUGUUGACCUUGACUGUUGACUUUGACUUUGACCAUGGUUGACCAUUUUGACUUUUGAGGCAUUAUGGGUAUUUUAGGGUUUAAUGGAUUUGGUCACAUGGUGGUUGUAGGCAUUUGAGUCGGGAGCUGAGAUUCGGAGUUAGACCUUAUCAGUUCAGCUACUUGUGAGGUGAGUUUUCCUAUACUUUCUGGUCGAAGGCACCAAUGCCGACCCAUUCGUUUGAUAACCUGAUUUUGUUGGUAUGCUAAGUAUGAUAGAGAUAUGCAUGCUAGAUUGAUAUGCUAGUCUGGUAGCUAUGGGACUACCUGUGAUACUGUUUGUUUAUUUUUUCGUGAUAUUAUAUGUUAUAUGUUGACAUAUUGUGUGGAUGGGUUGGGGUGGUACUGUUUUGUGUUGUGGCCAACAAACUGUGGAGUAUGCCAGAUAUGAGCUGAGGGCCAGGGAGGGAAUGCCAAACUCAUAUUGAGGACUCAUGAGCAUUCUAGAUGCGAGCUGAGGGUCAGACAGGACAUGCAAGACUCGUACUAAGGGCUUAGCGGUAUUCAGUCUGUUGACUGAUGAGACCGGGGAGCAAGCCAGACAUAAGUUGUGGGCCUGUGGGGCAAGCCAAACUUAUGCUAUGGGCUCAGGGGUAAUCCAGUAUGUAAAGCUUUGGACCAAUUGCAUGUUAUUAUAUUUGUGAUAUUUAUUAUGUAUUGGUAUUUUGGGGGAACUUACUAAGCUUUGGAUUACAGUUUUGAAUUAUAUUUCAGGCACAUUAGAGGAUCGCGAGAAGGCGAAUGCGUGAUCAUGCACCUCCUAAUGUUUUUAUUUCAUGAUUUUGGGAUAUCUCUGAUAUGGAACUCAUUUUGAAAACAAGUUGUAAAAAAUGAUGAUUUUGGAUGUUUUUAAUAGUUUAAUUUUCUCAAGAAUUUUAUGUGUGUUACAUCAUAUUUUGAAUCCUAAAACAACGUUAGAUUUUAUAUUUAUGACUUCAUAAUCCUCAAUAUUGUAUUCUAAUAAUGACAAAUCACUAAACAUUAGUAACUAAGAUUACGAAUCUAUUUACCGUGAAUAAAUAAAAGAUCUUGAAAGGUGUGUAUCUAAAGUUUAACAUUCAUCCUUAUUUUAUGCUUCAAUUCGUUUAUAAAUCUUGGUAUCAUUUUGUGUGGAUUUGUUUUUGUUUAACAAAUUAUUUGUAAAUAAGUUUAGUUUUUGUGGGUGUUUGGGGCAGCUUUUAAAAACAGCUUAUUAGCUUUUUAGCUUUUCAAAAAGCUAAUAAGCUAAAAAAGUGUUUGUGUUUAAAAAAUAUUUUUUUAAAACAACUUUUUGGAUAGGAAAAAGUAAAACUUUCAAAAAGCUGGAAAAUCCUAGCUUUUUAGCUUUUUAGCCAUUUUACUCCUAAAAAACAGUUUUUCUUAUCCAAACACUUUUUAAAACCCGUCUUUCCUAAAAUCCAUAAGCUAAUAAGCACUUUUGUGGUGUGCCCUUUGUAGAUGGUUUAACCAAACCAUCAAUUAUCCUAAGGUAAGUGUUUCACAAUUAUUUUUCUACCCUCCAAUAUUAGAGGAGGUAAAUUAAGUUAAUAUUAAAAAAAAUUAGGUUAACAUGUGGUCAAGGGUAAUAUUUAAAAUAAUGAAAAAUGAAAACUAAUUUAUUUGUUUAUUUCAUUGGGUGAAAUGUCAUGUAACAUUCAAGUUUUGAUAAGUUUCUCUUUUAUCCCUUAAUGCAAAUUUUUUAUCAAAUUGGUCCCUUUCUAGUAUGUGGGGCAUACUAUAUGAGUACGCUUAGCGUACUAGCCCAUUGUUGCUCGUGGAUUCCACCCACGUACGUGGGGCGUACAUGGAGUGCGCAUGACGCACAUGGUGUAGGGGAAACCCUGCCUAAUAUAUGGCCUAAUAUAUGGCCCAAUCUUAAAAAAAGUUGUGGGUCAAUUAGAUGAUUAUUUUGAUGAUGAUAGUGUGGGUAUUUCCGGACCAGCAGACAGAUAUUCAGUUGAGUGAUUUAGCAGCUAGAGGUGAGUUUCCGCACAGUGUUUAGCAGGUCGAAGGCACUAAUGCCGAACCAUGAUUUGUUAUGUUAGGAUGCUAGAUGUCUGCAUGACUCUUGCAUGUGUUAUGUGCUGGUAUGCUUGUCGGGCGGGGCCCGAUGCUAGGUGAGUGUGACAACCCGAAAUUUCCAUUUUGUACGAACAUUAUCAAUUCAAUAGAAACUAGACCAGUUACAGUGAAUUUCAGACUUUUCCGAAUAAGUUUGAGUAUAUUAGGGUUUACGUUUAAGGAGAUAUCAGGAGAGUGGAUGCACAUGGGUUAGUGAAACUCGAGUAUUUCAAAACUUCAUAAUAUUAGAGUUCAUUUCCAGAAUAAAAAUAUUUUCUGCCAAAAAUAUCUUAGGACUAUAAAUAGAUUUCUGAACCAAAUUCAUUCAUUAUUCACAUUUCCAACUAGAGAAAAGCCAUUUUCUCUCUCACGGAUCUUCGGGUUUUUAUCCCAAAUCGUGAGUACACUUCUCUAGUUGUCUUAUAAUGCUUAUUAUCUGCUUAAUAACUUAGAUUACAUAGCAAAUCUGUGAGAUUCGGGAGUUUACCGCCCAAGAACGUUCUUGGAGAGUAAACUCCUAUAUGUGGCUUAAAUGCUACCUAGCCUUUUCCCCAUGUUAGGUAACGAACUUAGGCUUAUUUAUAAGUGUAUUUAAGACUAGAAAAAAAUCAAAAACACCAAGAUUAGGGUGUUCACGGCCCAAGAAGUUCUUGAACCGUGAACUCCAAAAUCAAGUGCCAAAGAGUGUUUAAAUCACUCCUAAAGCCUUGGACUUUAACCCCUAUUUAAUCCUAACUAAUUUGAGGACUUUAAAACAUCAAAGACACCUUCCUAUGUGAGUUUACGGCCCUAUUAAUGUGGUUGGGCCGUGAACAUCAAUCAAGGGCACCAAAGUGUGCCUAGGACCUUCAUUAGCUCAAAACAAAUGCCUAGAAACUAUCCUACAUGUGCAAAGGACUUGAAAGCAUCAAAAACAUCAUUCCAAGGGAGUUUACGGCCGUAAACUCCAAAGGAAUUGGCCUUGGGGCCGUAAACUCCUCAAAGGAGUAUUUCUAUGCCCUAAACUAGUCCAAGGAGUAAACUACCAAGUAGAACUUAUUCUAGAAAUCAAAUAACACUUCAAAACACCAAAUGCCAUCAAGUUUGGGAGUUCACGGCCGUAAACUCAAGGGCUUACGACCGUAAACUCCUUGUGUGGAGUUUAUUGAAGAGUAAACACAUAUAUAAGGCCCUUUGGAACUUUAAACCCCUUUAGCCUUGUCCCACAACAACCUAGAAGCAACCCUUAGGACUUAUAACACUUAUACAAAGUGUUUACAUGUUCUAGAGUGUCCCAACUUAAUUCAUUAGUUAUUAUUUGGCUAAUUAGUUAUAUAUAUAUUCUCAUUAUAUGAUAACUAGGUUCGUACGUGUGAACAAGUCUCCGUUUACCACCUAGCACAGUAUCCGACACUUCAAUCCAAUCCACUCACCACAAGUGAGUUGAUACCCCUUUAAUUAACCUUUGAAAUACUUUUAAAUGUUUUAAAUGCUUUUAUGGGGGGGGGGGAUACAAGUUAAAUACUUAUAGUUAUUACAUCAAUCACAUGUGAUUAAUAACUAUAAAACCAAUGAUUUUAUUACUGUUCAAACUAUUUAUCAAACUGUUUUACUUCAAACUGCUUUACAAACUCUUUUACUUAUCAAAUACUUUUAUUUAAACUUUGUUAUACUUAUUAUAAAUUGCAUGCCCGUAUAUGUAUAGUUAUAUAAGAAAUGUUUAAAAGACUUAGGAAGGCUAUCCACCUUGUUUCCUUUUCCUCGAUUUGGAUGUCGUCUGAUAGGAUAUCGGGUACUCGUCCGAAGGUCGUUUAAAUAUUAAUUAUAUAUCAUGUGUACAUAUAUAGACAUAAAAGUGUUUCCAUAUUUAUGCGUACUAGUUACAUAAUUAAUAGGCUACCAUCGGGGUAGCACAGGAUCAUACUUUUACUAUUGCUAGAUCAAUGAGUCAGUUCAUUCGUGUGUCAAUACUUAUUACUAUGAGAACAUAUACAUUACAUUACUAUGAGUACAUAUACAACUAUACUAGAAAGAGAACAUAUACAACUAUACUAGAAAGAGAACAUAUACAACUAUACUAGAAAGAGAACAUAUACAACUAUACUAGGAAGAGAACAUAUACAACGAUACUAGAACAAGUAACAUUACAUUACAUAUACAUGAAUACGUUAACAAUUGUGAUCCACUGUAUCGGAGCAUGCCUUAAAUGUCAUGGCCCGAGUUGUAGCCAGAAUUCUCUUGGAGGGAGAGCGUGAGUUUGCGUAUAGAUCUAUACUGGAUUGACUAUCCUACACCUUGCUGCUAGCUACAGCCGGACCUGCAGGUCUGCGGGUGCCAAACGUCAUUCCGUUAUUACGACCAUUCGUAUGUCGUUGUUACCAGUCGAUAGUAUGGUGCAAUUAAUCACAUGAUACCUUAAUAUAAAUCCGGUUUAAGGUAGUUAGUACAGCAGUAGUUCCUAUAAUACAACACUACAGUACUACAAUAAUUUACCCAUUACAUAUAUUUAGUGAUUAUUUCACUUAAACAUUAAUGUACAAACUAUAUUUUGUAAAUGAUAGUUACACUUGGGAAAUUACACACUUUUACAACAAACGAACAUACAAAACAGUUAAGCCUUGGUAGAAUGCUACUUUAAUAGAAAAUAUAGGUUUUUCUGAGAGAUUCAAACUUUUACAAACACUUACAAACAUUUACAUACAUUUUACAAACUUAAACUUGAGACAUGUUCAAACCUUUUGAUAACAAACACUGACACUAAAAUACUUAUGAACUCACCAGCUUAAUGCUGAUAAACUCUUUCAAAAUAACUUGUAUUCUCAGGUCAUCAGUAGACAGGUACCGACGCCAGCUUUUGAGAAGAUGGAGCGCAUCCAAGACUCAUCUUAUUAUUUUGAUUUACAUUAUUUUUUUGGUGUCUAUAACUGUUCAGAACACGCUUGUAUUAAAAUUAUAUAUUUAAUGCAAUGGAUGAUGUUGUUUUCUUAUUUACUUUUACUGUGUUGUGAUACUUUACAUGACGUCCUCCGCCGCCGAACGUUUCCGCCGUUCUCGGUUUUGGGGUGUGACAGUGAGGCUCGAUGACUGUUCUGUAUGCUAUUUAUCUUUGUGAUUAUUGCAUGUGUAUGUGUUUAUUUGUUAUAUGAUUAUAUGUAUACCGGCCGGGGCCCAAUGUCGGGCAGGGCCCAUUAUGUGUUUAUUAUGUAUGGUAUGUGGUAUUUUGGGGAACUCACUAAGCUUUGUGCUUACAGUUUUCAGUUUAUGUUUCAGGUACUUCUGGUUCGAAGGGGAAGAGCCUGAGAGGAUUGUAGUGCACACACCUCCUUAUUCCGCUUUUUAUGUUUACUCUAUGUUUGUGAUGUAUUUUAUACACUUUAUUCCACCAUGGUUUUCAUGAUGAUGUUUUGGAUAGUAAUUUUAUUAAAUUAAAAACGAAAAUUUUUGGUCUUAAUUUUGGGACGUUUCAAGUUUGUAUCAAAGCCUUGGUUUGAGGGAUUCAGACGUACUCUCGAGUGUGUCUGGACUUAAACUGAGGGUUUGGUAGAAUUUUUUCAAAAAGAAAAGUUUUAUAAAAAGGAUUUCUACUAAAAAAAGUGUGUGGUGCCUACAAUCGACCGAGCUCAAGUUAGUUUUCCCAAAAUACCCAUGCAUGAUUUAUGAUAUGCUUUGAUUUAUGAAUAUGUGAAUCGCAUACUAGUUAGGGCUAAGGAUCUGCUCAGGAUUUUCAUGAUAGAAUGCUAGGAUGGAUACAUUAAUAUGCCUACUAUAUAAGCUUGUAGACUUGCAUGCUAAUACUGAUAUGUCAGUGAUAGGAUGGCCUGAUUAGGUUAUGCUUGAUCCCAAUUACUCAAGGCUUGAAUGCUGCUUGCUUUGUAAUUUUUAGGAGUUCUCACUAACUUCAGCUAACUAGUAAGCGAAUAUGCUAAGUUACAUAUUACAGAAACUAAAUAAUUUAAAAAGGUUAGGUUUUAACUCUAUUGCGCAACUCUUGUUUGAGUCCAACCGUUGUAGUGUGAGACCUUUCAUUCGAAGAAUUAUCUAGUGUCGGUGAUAUGUAAUUGUAUUCAUAAUCUAGUUAGAGGGUGCUGGUGGGAGUUCCUUCUGAAGCUGAUGGCAUAGAGUGGUGUGGUGUUUACCCUUGGAAAACUAAGGAAUAGAUUUAGUGUUGGGAGCCUUUCCUUGUGGAGGAUAAUUUGUGUGGGUAAGGAGUGACUUGGAGGAAUCAAAGCGAUCCUUGAGGAAAGUACAAAUAAAUAUGGAAGGUAGUAUGGGCCCGUACUACUAGAAAUAGAGGAUACAUUCUCGAGUCAUGGAGAACUGCGAUGAAACUAGGAAGCUUGUAGAGUAUGAGACUAAUCGAUAUAUAUAUAUAUAUAUANNNNNNNNNNNNUAUAUAUAUAUAUAUAUAUAUAUAUAUAUAUAUAUAUAUGCGUAUUCUGAUGGUUUAUAUGGUCUAUUUUUAGUAUGGUGACUCUUCGAGGUAGACCAAUUAGUGGUUCUGGUGUUGGUGAGGGUUCAGGCUCAGGUUCUGGAGCCGGAUAGUUGGAUAAUCAGACACGAGAGUUCAUUUCGUCUGAGAUUACCCGCAUGAUACUUGACAAAUUCUUGUGAUCUUUGGUACGAUCAAGGAUUGUAUCAUGGAGGUGUUGGAGGAGCGCUUGGGCUAUUUCCGUUCUGAGAUGGUGACUUUGAUUGGGACACGUUCAUUGACCUUCAGGGAGUUCCGAGCAUGUGGGACUUCGGAUUACUUUGGGUAGAAGGACACGAUCGCGAGAAGGUGCUAGUUAGUAGAUGUGGCUAAUGCUUUCUAUACUAGCAGUUGUCCCAAUGGGGCAAAGGUCAUAUUUGCUUCCUGUCUCCUGAAAGACAGAGCUCGAUACUGGUGGGAGGAGGUUGGGUGCUCCGUUGGUGAUGAGGCUGUUGAUUCGAUGACAUGGGAUGAUUUUACGACCAGAUUUUGAGCUGAUUUCACCCUAGUGAUUGAGGUGCAACAACUGGCGAGGGAGUUCCAGGACCUACACCAGAUUACUGAGACGGUGGUUGAGAUCACCGCGAUGUUUUGUGAGAGGGCGAUAUUGGUUCUGUAGUAUGUGGCAGAUGAUGAGAUAAAGAAGGCGAGAUAGCAUGAGAUGCUGAGGAGUGAUAUUCGGUAGUUUGUGAGCCGAUCCAGUUGUAGGAUACUGGAGGAUAUGAUUGCAAGAGCUAGAGAGAAGGAGAUUGAUAUUGAGAUGGAGAGGAAGAGGAAGCCAGAUCAAGCCAUGCAUGAGUGUAAAGUUGCUGACUUUAUGUGAUAAGUCCCCUUUUAGGAUCAUAUCUGAGAGUUUGGCUUGAGGUCUCAACCAAUUAAGUGCUUAAUGGAUUAGGUUGGCAAAAUGGGGAGUAUGAUGGGCGUACCCAGCUGGUACGCUGCACGUACUAGCCCUAGAUGUAGUACACGAAGCGUAUGAGCUAAGUACACCCCGUGUACUCAGUAGAUGGGCUUUUAGGGCUUGACGUCCUCGGUAUUGGGCCAUAGUUUGGGUUUGUAAGUUUGGUCCUGGUUGGGCCAUUACACUUCUGUUUCGGACUUAGGGCUAGCAUAUUGGGCUUCUGUGGAUUUAGGACCAUGAUGGGUUUUGGGCCCAAAUUUGAAGAUUAAGCCAUAUAUUGGGCUGUGGGUUGCUAUUUAGGAUUUGGGCCUUUUGAAUAGUUGAAUUGGGCCUUGGCUUUGGACCGAGUUAGAUAAAUGGUAAAAUGGUCUUUUACCCUGGUUAUGGGCCAAAUAACUUAGACUCUUGGUUAUGGGUCAUAAUCGAAUUAAUAAUUGGAUGAUUAUUUUGAUGAUGAUAGCAUGGGGAUUUCUGGACUAGAAGACAGAUAUUUAGUUGAGUGAUUUAGCAGCUUGAUGUGAGUUUCCUCACUGUGUUUAGCGGGUCGAAGGCACCAAUGCUGACCCAUGGUUUGUUAUGUUAGGGCGCUAGAUGUCUAUGUGACUAUUGCAUGUUUUAUGUGCUGGUAUCACUACAAGAAUACUCAGCUAUGCCGACGACAUCUAACCCGACGACAGAUGUCGUCGCUACAGGUCGCCCUAUCCUAACGACAUGUCGUCGCGAUAUCUUUUGGAAGCUUUGACGAAUUUCCUUUGACCGCGAUAUCUAUGCCGACGACAAGUCGUCGCCAUAAGUCUGGCGGGAACGUCAAAAAUAAUCGCGGUAAUCUCAAAAAUAAUCGCGGCCAUUUAACUAUGUAUAUGUAUGGUUGUGUUUAAUUUGUUUAGUUUAUUAGCUUAAGUGAAUAAAGUGAUCAAAUGUUUAAUUUUUAAGUUAAAAUGUUUGUCAUACUUUUUUAAGCUAAAAUAUUUAAACUAAUAAAAAUAUGUUUAUUGAGAUUAAAGUUUAUUAAGUCAAAAAUAUUUAAACUAUAAAAGUUAUUAAUAGCAACAUACUUUUUUUUUAUCUUGUUAAUUAAAGUAUUUUAUUUUCAUUUCUAUUUGAAAGUUAUAACAUAAAACAAAAUAAUAAAAUUUAUUAAAAGUAAUAUUAAAAGUAUUUUUUAUCUUGUUUAUGGUGCUAAAAAAACAAAAACAAAAAACAAAAUAAUAUUAAAAGUACAAUGCUGUAAUUGAAAAAAAUAAAAUGUAUAUAUACUAUAACAAACUAAUAAAAGUACAUUGCUAUAAAAUGUGUUUAGAAGUCUACCCUUGUGAAUACUCUAUCAAUUCCGUCCGAUUUCUUCUUCCAGGGUAUAUAUUUCUUUAUAUACUUGUCAAUAUCUAUCCAUUUCGUCUGUUUUUUUUCUCAAACAAAAAGUCAUACAAUUUAACUAUGUAUAUAAUGUUAUUUUUGAUGUUUAUAAUAUUUGUUAAACAGAUGACAGAAGUCGCGAGGGGACAUGGAGGAGACGAUGGGGAUAGACCACUACACGGGGUCGCACGCGGUGUACCAUCGGGUUGCCAAUCUUGUAAGUUACAUGAAAUUGAUAAGUAUUAGAUAUAUUAAAGUUUUAAAUUUCUAAAUUUUCAAUUCUAUAUGUAAAUGUAGCACAAGCGAAGAAUGUGAAUGUGAAUAAACGUGGCAAAGGGAGAAACUUAAAUUUGUACGACGAGUAUGAAAAUAACAAGUGUAAUCCUUUGGAUUUGCGAAUUGAUAUCUCCGGGCGAACGUACCGAUUUGUGGGGGACAACGGGCAAAUGUUUGUCAGACUGAUCUCAAAUCUGGUGGGAUCAAAGGUACCGUUGCAUUAUCAUACUUGGCGUCGUGUUCCUAUCAAAUUCAACGAUGAUUUAUAUCCCGAGCUAGAAGUAAGUAUACAAUAUAUUUUAUAUGUAUUGAAUUUUACACUUAUUAAAUAUUUUUUUACUAAUCACAUAUGUUUUUCAUUUUGUAGACUUAUUUUGAUCUAAAUAGGUACCGGGGCACAGACUUGUGGGAACCCCUUCGAGCGGGUAUCUAAGAAGACAUGCAAAGAGCUUAUCGAGACCGCAAGCAUGAUAUGAAAAAACAUUUUGAUAGAGUUGGUGGAUAUCAUGAUGUGGAAAGGGCAAGAAGAUGUCCACCGGCUGAUUGGUCUGCCGAAGCUUGGAACAAAAUGAUUGAUUUGUUAUUUUUGACCGAUGAAUACAGACUCACGUCGGACAAAAAUAAAAUUUGUAGGUCGAAACUUCCGCACACAAGUGCUCACGGAUGUAGACCCUAUGCUCAAUGACGUUAUUUAGAGGUAAUAAAAUAUUAUAUUAUUAGUUAAAAGUGUUAUUAACAUUUGUAUAAAUAUAUUUAUUGAUUUCACUUAUUAUAGGAAAAAAUGGGAAUGAAGCCGCAACAUAUUGAGGGUUGGAGACAAAUGCGCUACAAAGAAGGUUCGGGUUGGUGUACAAGUCGAGCACAAGAAGAUUGGGUAAGUGAUAAACGAAAUGAAUGUGUUGUUUAAAUAUAUUAUUAUUAUUAUUAAUUAUAGUUUUUUGUUUAAGGAAUAUUAUUAUUAUUUUAAUGUUUAAGUUUAGUUGUUUGUUUUAAUUAACAUAUGUUUAUUGUUUUCUUUAUUUUAGGAAAAAAUUCAAGAAGAAUAUGAGAAAAUGCAAAGCGAGGUUGGGGAAGACGGAAUAGUAGACGAGGAAGAAUGUUUAGAACAUGCCCUAAGGACGAGACGCGGGCAUGCUCGCGGGGUGGGUAGGAGACCAACCGCCAACUUCGGUUUAAUUCCAAAUGAACGACCUUCCACUUCAAAAUCGUCCCAAUCUCAACUCCAAUCUCAAUCCCAAUUUGAUGCACAACAAAUGCAAGAGUACUUGCAACAAUAUAAUACAUCAUUGGCGGCAUGCAUUCCGGGCUUCCAACCACCACCAUUUCCUAACUUUCUAUUCAACUCUAACACACAAGCAACUACCUCUCAACAAGUUGUCGAAAUGAUGGAAGAAGAAGAAGAAGAAGAAGAAGAAGGAGAAGAAGAAGAAGAAGAAGAAGGAUAUGAUUAUGAUAAUGAUGUUUGAUGUUUUUUUUAGUGUUUUGAACUAUGUUAUUAACUACUUGAAUUUGAUGUUUUGAAUUUGAACAAUGGUACUUAUGUAUUUCAAUUCAUAUAUGUUGGAAUGUGUUUUGGAUUUGUUAAAAAUGCAGGAAUGACAAUGUACUAAAUCUGUAAAAUUUGAAAAAAAAAGCAAACAGUGCCUAUCCCGACGACAAGUCGUCGAUAUAGGUAUGUCAUUGGCUCCUUUUAAAACCCUAUAGCGACGACUUGUCAUCGUAAUAGACAAAGCCUAUGGUGACAACAUGUCGUCGCUAUAGGUUUGCCGACGACAAGUCGUCGCUAUAGGUAAUUAAAAAAACUUUAUUUUUUAUCCCCGAAAAUAUGAUUGACAAAACCUAUCCCAACGACAAGUUGUCGCCAUAGGUGAAGCUAUCGUGACGACAUCUAUACCGACGACCCUAUUGACCUAUGUCGACGGCUCUAUGCCGACGACAUAUUGUCGGCAUACCCUAUAGCGACGACAUGUCGUCGGGAUAGAGUCUGAAUUCGUCGUCGCCAUAGGGUGUUAAUGUUGUAGUGUAUGCUUGCCGGGUGGGGCCGAUGCUAGGCGAGGCCCGAUGAAUGUUCUGUAUGCUUUUUAUCUUUGUGAUUAUUGUAUGUGUAUAUGUUUAUUUGUUAUAUGAUUAUAUGUAUACCGGCCGGGGCCUAAUGUCGGGCGGGGCCCAUUAUGUGUUUAUUAUGUAUGGUAUGUGGUAUUUUAGGGAACUCACUAAACUUUGUGCUUAAGGUUUUCAGUUUAUGUUUCAGGUACUUCUGGUUCAAAGGGGAAGAGCUUGAGAAGAUUGCAGUGCACACACCACCAAAGGUAAAUUGUAAAAAAAAAAAUAAUAAUAAGAAAAGAGUUUUAAGGACAAUCGUGUGAAUUUGAGUAGAAAGGGAAAUCGUUAUGGUAUUUCAAAAAUCCAACACCUUUUUCUUUAAUUUUUUUUAUAACUGUAGACGAUUGGUGGCGGGGUACAAGGAGUCAUAAAGGAGUGUCACCAUUAUUAAUCAACGAAGAUUCUCACUAUUAACAGCAGAGGUGUCGGGUGUGAGGUAAAACGAGAAUGGAUCAAAACUCUUAGAAUUAAAAACUGUAUAUCGCUACUUGGAAUCCAAGAAAUAAAAACCUCAGAAUUUAAGGGCAAAUUAGAUAAGGCAAUCUGGGGCUCGUCAACAUUCUUGUGCAAAACAGUCGACUCGAUCGGACUGUCAGGGGGAAUAGCCUCACUAUGGGACCCAUCAACAUUUAAAUGCUCUGUAACUAUAAAAGGGGAAAACUUCUUAGCAAUGAAAGGAACUUGGGUUGCUUCGAAUUUAGCAUAUGGGUUUAUAAACGUUUAUGCUCCAAAUGACCCAUCUCGAAGGAAAACGCUAUGGUCAAAUCUGGAAAGUGUCAUAUGCUCAGACGAUAAUAUUCGAUGGGUGGUGUUCGGAGACUUCAACGCAGUCAGAUCAGCGGACAAGAGAAUUGGGUCCAUAUUUUGCUCUUCCACUGCAUAUCACUUCAAUAAAUUCAUCGCUUCUGCGGGUUUAAUUGAUCUACCUAUCGGUGGCCGCAAGUUCACGUAUAUGAGUCCAGACUACUCCAAACAUAGCAAACUUGACCGCUUCCUAAUCUCGCAUAAUUGCUCUGCUGAUUGGCCGCACCUGACAGUUACGACCCUACCGAGACUACAUUAUGAUCAUUGUCCAUUAAUCCUCUCAUCAUCUGUUAGUGACUUUGGGGCACCCCCAUUCAGAUUCUUCAAUUCCUGGCUACUAGAGGAUGAGCUGGAAGGAGUUGUUAAACAAGGCUGGGUAUGUAACAUAGCUCCAGGAACCUUUGCUUCCUUCUCCCCUAUACAAGUGGUGGCUGGCAAACUAAAAAAUACCAAAGAGAAAAUCAAGGAAUGGAGAAAAUCCAAAAAUGUGAAGGAACAAAAAAGAGUGGAAGAGUUAACAAAGGAAAUCGAUUCAAUCGAUCUUAAUGCAGAAUCGCACUCCCCAGAUGAAUCGAAGCUAGAACUCCGAAAGAAUCUACACAGAGAAUUGAUGGAUCUUGAGGCCAAACGCAUACUCGACCUUAAGCAGAAAUCCCGAUGUAAAUGGGCACUGGAAGGUGAUGAAAACUUUGCUUUUUUCCAUGGUCUGAUCAAUAAAAAUUAUCGAUUUCAAAAAUUAUCUGGCAUCAACAUCAAUGGUUUCUGGACAUCCAAUCCAGAAUCAAUCAAAAAAGACGCGUUUGAAUGCUUCUCCAAAAAGUUCACUGAACAAAUCAGCAUCAGACCCCAAUUCCCCAGCCAAAAAUUCAACAAACUCAGCCCCAUUCAAACUCAAAACUUAGAAGACCCAAUUACAACGGCGGAAAUCAAAGCAGCGGUGUGGCUAUGCGGAAAUGACAGGCCCUGGACCAGAUGGCUUCACCUUUGCUUUCAUUAAAAAACACUGGGACAUGAUGGAGAGCGAUAUAUACCUAGCAAUCAAAGAUUUCGAAUCUACAUGUGUAAUUGAUAGGGGAUGUAACUUCUCCUUCAUCAUCCUUGUCCCCAAAACAUCCGACCCGAUUUCCCUCUGUGAAUACCGCCUGAUCAGUCUAAUUGGAUGUAUAUACAAGAUCAUAGACAAAGUCUUUGCGGAAAGGCUAAAAAGAUGUAUCCCUCAAGUCGUGAGCCAUACCCAAACGGCUUUCAUCAAAGACCGCAACAUUCUUGAUGGUCCAUUGAUUAUAAACGAAGUGAUAUCUUGGCUUCGGAAGAACAAAUCGAAGGCGUUCCUUUUCAAGGUUGAUUUCGAGAAGGCAUUCGAUUGCCUCAAUUGGAAAUAUCUCGAUUCGGUAAUGGCUCAAAUGAACUUUGGCUAGAAGUGGCGUAAGUGGAUCUUCGGCUGUCUCUCCUCGGCUCGUGCUUCUGUAAUCAUUAACGGAUCCGCCUACAAAGAAUUUCCACUUAGGCGAGGAGUAAGACAGGGCGACCCCUUGUCUCCAUUUCUGUUCAUUUUGGCUGCAGAGGGCCUUAACAUUGCGCUGGAAGAGGCCAAAGAGCAGGGCAUCUUCCAUGGGGUUCAAUUGCCAAACAAUGGGCCUACCAUAUCACAUCUUCAAUACGCUGACGACGCGAUCUUCCUCGGCUCCUGGUCAGUACAAAACGCAAAAAAUUUAGUUAGAAUUUUGAGAUGCUUUGAAUUAUCCUCAGGUCUGAAAGUCAACAUGGCCAAAAGCAAACUCUUUGGCAUUGGAGUCAGUGAGGUGGAACUAGACUGGUUAUCAAGAAGCAUUAAUUGCUCAAUCGGGAACCUCCCCUUCAUAUAUCUAGGAAUGCCGGUGGGUGCAAGUAUGUCUAGAUUGGUUCAUUGGAACUCCCUUAUAUCCAAAUUCCAAGAAAAAUUAUCAAAAUGGAAAGCCAAAAAGUUGUCGUAUGGGGGUCGAUUAACAUUAUGCAAAUCAGUGUUGGGGAGCCUCAGCUCAUUCCUCUUCUCGCUCUACAAAGCUCCGGUUAAGGUACUAAAAACACUUGAGAAGUUGAGAUGCCGCUUCUUCUGGGGCGGGUCAUUCGAGAAAAAAAGGGUAUCAUGGAUCGCAUGGGAUAAAAUUUUGCCAAAGAAAAAAGACGGGGGACUUGACAUUGGCAGCCUGAAGGCUCACAACCUAGCACUAUUAGGUAAAUGGUGGUGGCGUUUCUCUUCCAGCAAACACGAACUUUGGAAAGAUGUCAUAAAAUCAAUAUAUGGGAAUGAUGGGGGAUUUAAUGCCCCUUCCAGAGCUAAGAGGAAAGGAUACUGUUGGAGUAGCAUUGUGAAUCUUCAUAACUACUUGUCCAAAGAUAACCUGAAUCUUCGUAAUCUCUUCUCAAGAUCGAUAGCCCGGCUAGACAACAACAUGACCUGGAGCCUCGAACCCUCGGGGAUAUAUACUGUGGCCUCUCUUAGGAGAUUCAUUGAUGAAACAAUAUUGCCAAAAACACCAUCUGGUGCUUGGGAAUGGAACAACCUGGUCCCUGGUAAAGUGAAUAUCCUAGCAUGGCGAGUUUGUCAUAGUCGGCUACCCACCAGAGUGAAUCUAAGCAAAAUGAGUAUUGUAUCUGUGACUACCUGCCCACUAUGUAAUAUUGCUGAGGAAUCCGAAUCACAUUUAUUAACUGAAUGCUCAAUCUCACAAGAAGUUUGGAGUUGUGUGCAGAAAUGGUGGUAUAUGUUCCCAUUAACUUUCAGUUCACUGAAUGAAAUGCUUCAUUGCAGGAACCUAGCGCCGGGCAGGGGUAACUUGGAUCAAAUUCAGGAAGCAGUUAUGUUGAUAUACAUGUGGGUGAUCUGGAAGUUCAGAAACGAUAGAAUCCACUCAAACAUAGUCAAAUCACAUAAAAUUCUGGCAAACGAAGUACAAAUACUAAGCCAUUUGUGGAUCAACUCAAGAAGCAAACAUAAAAAAACUAGAUGGGAGAAUUGGCGUUGUGAUCCGAUAGCUGAGUGUAAUAGUUGAGACAGGGGGGGGCAUGGGUCCUGGGUGUGGGUUCAUUGGGUUCUUAUCGGUGAAUUUGGGGUCCUUGGUGAUGUACCUAAUUACAGCCAGCGUGCGUUUGGUGUGAGUCUCUUUCAUCGGGUAGACAUACGUUAGGAAUCGGCUGUGAUUAAGUUCUUUUUCGUGGUGUUUGCCUUUCGUGUGAAAUCUGGGUUGUGGGUUGGGGGACACUAUAAUAAUUCUUGGUGUGCGUUUUUUUUCUCUCCUUUUUUCUGGUGUUACUUCUUACUCUGCAGGUGCUGAAGAACAUUGGAGCUUGAACUCGAUUAAAGACAACACAUGUGUCGCUGAGUGAAGCCGGCAAAGUCGACAUGGAUCAUGCUUCUAUUGCAUGUAAAAGGCAAAAGCUAAGCUGGCAUCUAUGGUUCUGGAUGGUUUCUGGAUAAUUUGGACAAAUUUGCCCCUGUCUAAAAAAUGGCUGAUAUGGAGAGAUCUACAAUACAUUUGACUUGGAUUCUGAUGUAGCUGAUGGACUAAUCUGAAGUGGUAGAGCAGCUUUAUCAAGUAAUCAAUCUAUCGCCCCAAAUAGACAAAGCAGUGGAAUAAAGAUGGAUAUGGAACUUGAGGAAGAUGCUACAAUCGUAAUUGAAUGAUAUGGCUCAGGGAUCAAAAUCAAAUUCAAAAUCUCAAUCGAUGUUGGUAGCUGAGAUACAAGCUCUGUCCCAUCUAUGGUUAAAUGCAUGGAAGAGGAAAGGAAAAAAUCUAAAUUGGCUCGAUUGGUGUUUUGACCCAAUAUUAGAAUGCUAUCGUAAGUUGUAGGUUUCUUGUAUCUCUGUUUCCUGUUCUGUCUUUGUUUUAUUUCCUUUUUGUUUGUCAAACUUUUGUAAUCUCUAGCCCCUGGCUAGUUUUUCUUCUUUAAUAUCAUGCCUGCCGUUCAAAAAAAAAAGUUAGGUUUCAAUCAAUUCUGUUUGUCAAUAUUAAAUAUUUUCAAUCUACUACACAUUCAAUUAUUAGGACUUAUCUUCUAUUUCUAAUACCGAUUGUCAAAUGUCAACUAUUUCUUAUUCAGAUAUGAGGUUUUGAUGAAAUCAUACCUGAUCUCAAUCUAUCACUGGUGGGGUCUCUCUACUCAAUUUAAGUUGGUUUUGUUUUUAGGUAACUUUUGGUUUUGCGUUUUGACGAUGGUAUAUUAUGAUUAAUUUUUUGAAUAAUCCGAUUCUGUUCACAAUUUUUUCUCAGCUCAGGCUUCACAUACCCUCCAGGUUGACGUGAGUUCGGUCGUGGGCAAAUCAGACAUUUCAGGUGCAACUGCAACAGACGAAGAGGCAAAGGAAAUGGAUGAAAUUCCUGUUGAGGUACGUCACCUUCCCCAUAGGUAUAGCUUCUGAAUCACAAACCGUAAAAAAGUGUAAAUGGUUCAUUGCAUUUUUCCAUUAUCCAUGCAUAUAAAGUGAACAUUAGAGACAUAAAGAAAGAAAGUGUUAGGUGCAUGUUGGUGACAGAAAACAAUUUUUAUUGGAAAAUUAUAAUUGAAAACUCUACUUAUGAAAAGUGGUUUGUUAGAGUGGCAGUUUCUAAUUGUGAAUGACUUUUAUUAAUUUACUAUUUUUUAAUAUUUUGUAUGUUGGUCUAAUAAAUAAACAUGGAGAAGAUCAUAUGAAUUCAAUCCAACCUUGGAAGUUUCAUGUAUACAUAGGCAAUGUUGGUGUAUAAAGAUUAAAAGACCUUUCUAGUAAUGGAAAAUAGGUUAAACGGCCUUUGUGGUAAAGUAUAAAGAGCAUUGAAACUGGAUACCACUCCAAAGAUAUGGAAUGUAAUGGCCAAAAAAACCGGUCUUUAUGAAGAAAAGUUUUGGCUUAUGGGAGGUCCGAUGGUUGGCAGGUUCUUCAUUAGAGAAACAAUAUGUCAUACGUGUCGUACCUUAGUACCAAACAAAUUGGUAAGAAGUUUGAAAUCUUUGUGGAAUCUACCCAAUUCUAGCACUGUACUUUCGUUUUUUCUUUAUUAGGCCAUUAUACAUUGAAAAAUAUACUCAAUAACAACAUUCUAAAUUGCUUUGUGGUUGCAUGUCAUUACUAUAUUUGGUUAGAUUCUUCGACGUACAAUGUCUUCUUGUUUUGGCCUUUUGGGGUCAUACAUAUCACAUGUUGUGCUUUUACUUUGUUUGAGUGAAACAAAGAUCUAUCAACAAAAUGCUUUACAAUGGAAUACCCUCCAACCCAUGCGACGCGGGGAUCCUUCCCUAGUUCUAAAGUAAAAGACACGCUGGAGUGAAAUUUCUAUUAGCAUUUAUCAGAAAACAAAAGUAAAUAUGCCUAAUAAUCAAGUUAAGAUAUAUUAUUACGUUGUUAAAUACAACAAUUAAUAACAUAUAAUACCACAUGGAUUCUUUUUGUAAUCCUAGCGCCUUUUUAAAUUUGGGGUUACAACAAAUUAUAUUGUUCUAAAAAAAAGGAUUAAUGUCAUGACAGAUAGAUACAAUUAAAAAGUGUAACAUACACCUUUGUGGGAAAUAUUGAAACGUUAAAAGCACGGCUUGUGGAAAGAUAUGACAUUUCUCAAAUUUACUUUUCAAGCACGUGAAAAAUAAAAACAAGAGAAAAAAGUAGCUCAAGUAUAAAUUAGGACAUGCAAACCAUUCAUUAAUUUUCAUUUUUUUAUUAAAAGCAACAUGGGAAAGCAGAAAUUGUCUUAUUCAACAUUCUUAUUUUUCUCUCUAACUCUAAUAAUCAUCACACUCUCCAUCAAACCAAAUUUUGGUUCUGCUUCUUUGGAGGAAGCCAAUGCUUUUCUUAAAUGGAAAGCAAGCCUUGAAAUCCCAAAAAACUCCAUGCUCUCUUCAUGGAUUCCCCUCCCUUUGAACUCGAGUGCAUCGGCUCCAUGCACUUCUUGGUUUGGAGUAGUUUGCAAUGCUGAUGGGAGCAUUCACAGGUUGAACCUCAGUUCAUCAGGCUUAAAAGGUACACUCCACCAAUUUGGAAAUUUAACUCAACUACAAAGGCUUGAUUUGUCUUCGAAUCGUUUGGUUGGUGAGAUCCCAAAGGAGUUUGGGAAGAUGAAAAAUAUGUUGGAAUUGUACUUGGCAGGUAACCAUCUUUCAGGUGUUAUACCUGUAGAGCUUGGAUUUUGUGAACUCCUUGAAGUACUCGAUCUAUCCAAAAAUAGAUUGAAUGGGUCGAUUCCAACAAGUAUCGGACAAUGGGCACAAAUCCACUUCUUGAAUCUUAGUAAUAACAAGCUCAGUGACAAAAUUCCAUCCGAGAUUAGUAACUUAGUUCAUCUUACGGAACUUGAUUUAUCUCAUAACUUUCUCACGAAAGAGAUACCAUCUGGAGUUCAAAGCUUGCAGAGUUUGCAAAAAUUGGAUCUUUCUCAUAAUAGACUAUCCGGUUCUAUUCCAGAGGCUUUUACAAGUUUGCCUAGGGGGAUUGAUAUCAACCUUUCUUUCAAUAAUCUCUCAGGUCCAGUCCCCCCUUAUGCCAGCUUUGUGAAUGCCUCCAUAGAAAGAAAUCCAGAUUUGUGUGGGAAUAUUACGGGAGUGAAACUUUGUCCAACUCAGAUUAUGAAGAAGAAAAAUGAUCCCUUUCAUCAUAAGCUUAUACUUGUAAUUAUGAUCCCACUUAUCGGGGGUAUUUUACUUGGUGUAUUUACGUAUGGCCUCAUUUCUUAUCAACAACAAAAGAAAAAGUCUCCACAAAAACCAUUGGACGAAAAAAGUGGUGAUUAUUUCUCUACUGCAACUUUUGAUGGAAAAGUGGUGUAUGUUGAUAUCUUAAAGGCAACAAAUGACUUCGAUGAAGCCUAUUGCAUUGGGACCGGAGGAUAUGGGACUGUGUACAAAGCCAAGCUACAACCUAACAAUGUGGUAGCUGUCAAGAAACUUCACUCAUCAUCUGAGAAAGUUGAUCAUAAUGGAUUCAUUAAUGAGGUGCGAGCAUUAACGAACAUAAGGCAUCGAAACAUAGUGAAACUCUAUGGAUAUUGCUCCCAUGUACGCCACUCAUUUUUGAUUUACGAAUACCUUGAAAACGGGAGCCUUGGAUCAAUCUUAAGAAGUGAUACCUUCAUAAAAGAAUUGGAUUGGUUGAAAAGGGUCGAUAUUGUAAAGGGCGUGGCAAAUGGUUUGGCUUAUAUGCAUCAUGACUGCUCACCACCUAUAAUUCAUAGGGACAUUUCCAUUGCUAACAUCCUUCUUGAUUCUGAUUAUGAGGCACAUAUUUCUGAUUUUGGCACAUCCAAGCUUUUGAAGCUAGACUCAUCCAACUGGACCACAAUUACAGGCACCUAUGGUUAUAUCGCACCAGGUAAAACAAUCUUGUGAUCGUAGUUCUACAUCUUCUUAAGUUUCAUGAUAUAUAUAAAGAUGUAUAUGAACAUAUAUGUAUCUAUGUUAGAAUCUUUUGGGAUUGUUAUAACUUUUUUUUUGUUUUUGUCUCGUGUUUCUUUGGAUAUAGAACUUGCUUAUACGAUGGUAGCAACCGAGAAAUGUGAUGUGUAUAGCUUUGGAGUUGUUGCACUAGAAGUGGUCAUGGGAAAGCAUCCUGGAGACCUGAUAACAUCUUUACCAACAUUGUCUGUAGAUUAUUUGGUACCAAAAAAUGUGGGAGAUAGUCGGAUACCUCCUCCCUCAUCUCAAGUUGAGAAACAACUUGAGUUGGUUUUGAGUCUCUCAAGAGCAUGUUUGAGCUCCAAUCCACAUGAAAGACCAACAAUGCAACAAGUUUCAAAUAUGUUAAUGAAGGAUCUGCUUUGAAUUGACAUCUCUUGCUUGAUUUAGGCUACUUUAAGUGUUCAUUAUUUUUUGCAAGUUCCGUAUAAUGCAUCAUUUCCAUAUGUAUUCAUUUGAAUGACUUUUUGUUAAGAAACUUCACAUAUGUUUGUAGUAGUAAAGAAAUAGGUCAAUGAAGAUUACUAUACAUCUAAAAACACACUAUUGGAAACCAAGGACAACUUCAUACACACAUGCCACUCGGUUAGUAUUACUAUACAAUUUUAUUCUCGCACAACAUGUGGGUACAUGCCUGGUUAAUAUGAUAUAUGGGCCACAACUCGGGUCGUACAUCAUGUUAAUGGUCAUAUAUGUCAUUCAAAUAUACAAAAUAUAUUUUAGAUUAUAUGAUGAGCCAUUAAAGUUAAUGGUCAUAUAUGUCAAUGGAGAAUUUUAUCAAACACAUGGUAUUAUGGAUGAGAUGUGUCUUUAUAAAGAUGGAAAAUUUUAAAUAUUAAGAAAAAAUUUCAGAUAUCAAAGCAAUUUAAAGAGUCUGGAUCAUUUUUGACUCACUCCAUUCCGAGCAUGCUUUUGAGCUAUUGAACUCCAAAUUUAACAGCCUAAAAUAUUUAUACAAGAUAACUAACUAAAUAUUUCAACUAAAACAUACAUGAUUUCAGUUAUUGGAGGAUGUGUUAGAACUUGGGAAUUUAAAGUCUCUCACGGAUCUUGCGUUGCACAACAAUCAACUUAGUGGUAUUCCUUCAUCAUUGGGUGAUUUGACAUCUUUGAAUGUCCUUUAUUUGUACAACAAUCAACUCUCUGGUCCCAUUCCUAUUGAACUUGGGAAUUUGAAGUCUCUAACUCAUCUUGAAGUGAGUGCCAAUCAGCUUAGUGGUUCUAUUCCUUCAUCACUAGCAAAUUUGAGCAACGUACAAUGGCUGACCCUCAGUGAUAAUAAAUUAUCUGGUCCCAUUCCUAGUGAACUUGGGAAGUUGAAGUCUCUCACUGAUCUUUUGGUGUAUGGAAAUCAGCUUAGUGGUUUUAUUCCUUCAUCAUUUGGUGAUUUGACAUCUUUAAAUCACCUUUAUAUGCAUCACAAUCAGCUUGCUGGUCCCAUUCCUAGUGAACUUGCCAAGUUGAAGUAUCUCACUGAUUUUCAGGUGAACAACAAUCAAAUUAGUGGUUAUAUUCCUCCAGAGUUUGGAAAUUUAACUAAAUUACAUAGACUUAAUCUGUCUUCGAAUAAUUUGGUUGGUGAGAUCCCAAAGGAGUUUGGGAAUAUGAAAAAUAUGUUGGAAUUGUAGUUGGCAGGUAACCAUCUUUUAGGUGUUAUACCUGUAGAGCUUGGAUUUUGUGAACUCCUUGAAGUACUCGAUCUAUCCAAAAAUAGAUUGAAUGGGUCGAUUCCAUCAAGUAUCGGACAAUGGGCACAAAUCCACUUCUUGAAUCUUAGUAAUAACAAGCUCAGUGACAAAAUUCCAUCUGAGAUUAGUACAUUAGUUCAUCUUACGGAACUUGAUUUAUCUCAUAACUUUCUCACGAAAGAGAUACCAUCUGGAGUUCAAAGCUUGCAGCGUUUGCAAAAAUUGGAUCUUUCUCAUAAUAGACUAUCCGGUUCUAUUCCAGAUGCUUUUAAAAGUUUUCCUAGCGGGAUUGAUAUCAACCUUUCUUUCAAUAAUCUCUCAGGUCCAGUCCCCCCUUAUGCCAACUUUGUGAAUGCGUCCAUAGAAAGAAAUCCAGAUUUGUGUGGGAAUAUUACGAGAGUGAAACUUUGUCCAACUCAGAUUAUGAAGAAGAAAAAUGAUCCCUUUCAUCAUAAGCUUAUCCUUGUAAUUAUGAUCCCCCUUAUCAGGGCUAUUUUACUUGGUGUAUUCACGUAUGGUCUCGUUUCUUAUCAACAACAAAAGAAAAAGUCUCCACAAAAACCAUUGGAUGAAGAAAGUGGUGAUUAUUUCUCUACUACAACUUUUGAUGGAAAAGUGGUGUAUGUUGAUAUCUUGAAGGCAACAAAUGACUUCGAUGAAGCCUAUUGCAUUGGGACCGGAGGAUAUGGGACUGUGUACAAAGUCGAGCUACAACCUAACAAUGUGGUAGCUGUCAAGAAACUUCACUCAUCAUCUGAGAAAGUUGAUCAUAAUGGAUUCAUUAAUGAGGUGCGAGCAUUAACGAACAUAAGGCAUCGAAACAUAGUGAAACUCUAUGGAUAUUGCUCCCAUGUACGCCACUCAUUUUUGAUUUACGGUACCUUGAAAACGGGAGCCUUGGAUCAAUCUUAAGAAGUGAUACCUUCAUAAAAGAAUUGAAUUGGUUGAAAAGGGUCAAUAUUGUAAAGGGCGUGGCUAAUGGUUUGGCUUAUAUGCAUCAUGACUGCUCACCACCUAUAAUUCAUAGAGAUAUUUCCAUUGCUAACAUCCUUCUUGAUUCUGAUUAUGAGGCACAUAUUUCUGAUUUUGGCACAUCCAAGCUUUUAAAGCUAGACUCAUCCAACUGGACCACAAUUACAGGCACCUAUGGUUAUAUCGCACCAGGUAAAACAAUCUUGUGAUCUUAGUUCUGCAUCUUCUUAAGUUUCAUGAUAUAUAUAAAGAUGUAUAUGAACAUAUAUGUAUCUAUGUUAGAAUCUUUUGGGAUUGUUAUAACUUUUUUUUUGUUUUUGUCUCGUGUUUCUUUGGAUAUAGAACUUGCUUAUACGAUGGUGGCAACCGAGAAAUGUGAUGUGUAUAGCUUUGGAGUUGUUGCACUAGAAGUGGUCAUGGGAAAGCAUCCUGGAGACCUGAUAACAUCUUUACCAACAUUGUCUGUAGAUUAUUUGGUACCAAAAAAUGUGGGAGAUAGUCGGAUACCUCCUCCCUCAUCUCAAGUUGAGAAACAACUUGAGUUGGUUUUGAGUCUCUCAAGAGCAUGUUUGAACUCCAAUCCACAUGAAAGACCAACAAUGCAACAAGUUUCAAAUAUGUUAAUGAAGGAUCUGCUUUGAAUUGACAUCUCUUGCUUGAUAUAGGCUACUUUAAGUGUCCAUUAUUUUUCGCAAGUUCCGUAUAAUGCACCGUUUCCAUAUGUACUCAUUUGAAUGGCUUUUUGUGAAGAAACUUCACAUUUGUUUGUAGUAGUAAAGAAAUAGGUCAAUGAAGAUUACUAUACAUCUAAAAACACACUACUGGAAACCAAGGACAAUGCCAUACACACAUGCCACUUGGUUAGUAUUACUAUACAAUUUUAUUCUCGCACAACAUGUGGGUACAUGUCUGGUUAAUAUGAUAUAUGGGCCACAACUUGGGUCGUACAUCAUGUUAAUGGUCAUAUAUGUCAUUCAAAUAUACAAAAUAUAUUUUAGAUUAUAUGAUGAGCCAUUAAAGUUAAUGGUCAUAUAUGUUAAUGGAGAAUUUUAUCAAACACAUGGUAUUAUGGAUGAGAUGUGUCUUUAUAAAGAUGGAAAAUUUUAAAUAUUAAGAAAAAAUUUCAAAUAUCAAAGCAAUUUAAAGAGUCUGGAACAUUUUUGACUCACACUCCAUUCCGAGCAUGCUUUUGAGCUAUUGAACUCCAAAUUUGACAGCCAAAAAUAUUUACACAAGAUAACUAACUAAAUAGUUCAACUAAAACAUACAUGAUUUCAGUUAUUGGUAUGCAUUUCACUUCACUUUGAUUUAAAACAUGACUAGAAUAGUUCAUGUGGAUGAGUUUUGUAUAACAUGGAUAUAACAUUAAUUUCAGUUUCCUGGUUUAUGUCUUACCUCCCCUUCAUUUCAUUUCAACAUGAUAUAUAUGGCAUGAGAUGGAUGUAAUUUUAAAUGAUUUUAUGUUCGUUUCACAAAUUAAUUAAAGUUUUGACCAACUAAUUUAGCACCUCAAAAAUGUAACAUCCAUCUUCUAUUGAAGAUACAGAGCAUGAAGGGAAGAAAAAGUUGAAUGUAAAUCUUAGUCAAUCCACAAACCUCUGAUUCAAUCCUCCCAAAAUUAAUAGCUCUGAAUCUAGAAACAAUACUUUGAAUUCCGGCGUUAGAACUAAAACUUUUGCAAGACUUUUCCGAUUCAAAAGACACCCAUACCCACAAAUCACCAACAUAUCUAAUCUUUAAGCUCGAAAAUCCUUCUUCAUGACAUAAUUUUAAAAGAUUAGGAAUAGAUACUGCAUCUCUCACCUCAGCAAAGACUUCCCUUUAUCAGUAAAAGAUGGUCUCUUUUCCUGCUCCCUUUUUUUCUUUGCUGAAUUGGAAUGGAAUGGUUAAAGAUAACCCCUUCUUUUCUUCUAAACCGAGCAAUUUACCAAACCAAAUAUCACAUAACUUCUUCUCCAGUUCUUGAUUAUCUCUGAACUGAAUGAAGCGAACAAACCCGAACCUUCUCCCCAUCUUGGAUCGUUUCUGAGCAAUGUAAAUGUCAACCACCGUUCCUAUCUUCGCACAUCUGUUUUUAAGAUGUUGGCAUCUGUUUGGGGCACUAUUGUUGUUGUAUUCUCUGAUGAUGAUAAGUCCAAUUGUAUUUCAUUAGGGAAGGUUUGCGUUAGGAUAGGGGUGAUGUCAUUUAUUCAGGAGACAAUUAUUGAGGUGAUUGAUCGAAAGGAAUUCUUGGUUCAUAUCAAGGUAACGCCUUUAAUGAGUUCAUUUAUGAAGCGAGUUUGGUGGAUAUUCCUAUGGGCAGAAUUUAGGAAGUUUACUCGAGCUGAUCAAGGUGACAAUAAAAUGAGUCGUCUAGAUAGAUUUUUGGUUUCUGAAAGCUUCAUCGACGUGUUUCCUGAUCUACAUUGCUUGGCUAAAGAGAGACGUUGGUCUGAUCAUUGUCCGAUUCUUUCAUUGGAGGAUGUGUUAGAAUAUGGUCCAAUUUCCUUCGAACUUUUUAAUUCUUGGAUUAUGAUGGAUGGUUUUGUCGGAGAUUGUUCACUUAGCGUGUGAUGAGUUUAUUUCAGAUUUUAGUUGGAGUAGGUUUGUUCAUCUGAAAAAUAAACUUAAAUUUGUUAAAAGCAGAAUUAAGGAGUGACAGUUGCUGAUGUGGGCAUCUAAAGAGGAGAUCCGGGUCUUACAUGUUGCCUCACGUUACCAAAUUGCUGAUAUCUUCACCAAAGGACUUCCAUGAGCUCUAUUUUCUGAUUUUAGAUUCGGUCUAAGCAUCUAUGAUCCUCCUCCUUAGACUGAGGGGUUAUAUUAGACUAGAAAAUCAAUUAUGUAAACUAUGUGGUAGCAAUGUGUAAAUAUUGUAUCUAUAUAUAUUUUCCACUGUAAUACAAGGAAGUGAUUUUUGGCCAUAUCCUAUUAGGGUGUGUACAAUUUUUUUGGGCAGAACUAACAAAUGUUUGGAAACCAUUUAUUUUCUGUAAAUAUUCUUUGUUUUCAAGUACUCUAUGAAAUCACAACACCACACUAUGAACAACCCAUACAGUUGAUGUGGCAUUAAAUUCGAAAAACAAAAAAAAAAAAAACAUUUAGGCAUUUCAUCACACAGUUAAUAUUCAUUGAACUUGCAUGUACAAAUGAUCGUAAACUGUUACUAUUCAUUAAACUCACAUUUGGUUGGAUUCAAAUGAUUUGGUUACUAUUCAUUAAGCUAGAUGUAUUUAGUAGUAUUUAUUAGGAUUAAUUUAAUGGUUAAAAGUGGGUCAAUAGUUGUGUCGUUUGGAAAGUAACUGUCACAUGACAGUUACCAAAACUGUGUAUAAAUAUGUAUGUGGAUUUCGACUGAUCAAUAAAAAAAGUUCAUAUUCUCUUAUUAUACCAAAAAGUCUUCUUCCUUUUUUUUCAUUUAACAUUUGCAGAGAAUACUUCUUGCACUUCUUUAAUUUAAUAUUCAUAUGACCCACUUUUAACCAUUAAAUUAAUCCUAAUAAAUACUACUAAACACGUCUAGCUUAAUAUUCAAACUCGGUCUGAAAGUAGAAUUGUUGGGUGCCUUAUAUGGUCUCUUUGGAAAACACGCAAUUCCGGAGUUUUUAAUCAUCAAGAUAAAACUGGUGCAUUGAUCGAUCCUGUUUCUUCCUUACUGCAUUCUUACAUGCUGUGAGAUGGCUUUCUCCUAUUUGGUUCAAGUUUUGACCAUUUUGCCCCUAGUGUUGGUUUCGCUUUCUCUUUAUCUUCACUAAUAUGUGAAGAUAAGGACCCUAGGAGAGAGAAUUGAUUCAAGAAAUAUGAUGUGCAGAUUAAUUCUAAAGAUUUGUCUGAACUAAUCAGUUGUGGAAAUAUGAGAAAAAAACAAUAAUAAAGUUGUAUUUCACUUUUUAUUUAAUUAUCUUCAUUUUUAAGUGUAUGUGAAAAGGAAUUAACAGAUUGCAGGGAACAAUAAGAACCAUUAGUUUUUAUUAAAUUAUCUUCAUAUUUAUAUUCUUUAGUUUACGGUUUUCCCUCAUUCACACAUUAUGUGGACACACCAUGUCUAUUUGUUGUUUAGAUUCUUUUAAAGGACCCUUAUGUUAUGUCCCUAUCUCUAUUGACCCAUUCACACACUUUUCACGUCUUAAUUAGUUACAGAACUAAUUCUGAAGUAAAAGACGCUUAGAGUGAAAUUUCUAUUAGCAUUUAUCACAAAAACAAAAAAUAAAUAUCUCUAAAUAAUCAAGUUAAGUUAUAUUAUUACAUUGUUAAAUCCAACACUUAAUAACAUAUAAUACCACAUGGAUUCUUUUUGUAAUCCUAGCGUGGGUUACAACAAAAUAUAUUGUUCUAAAAAAAGGAUUAAUGUCAUGACAGAUAGAUACAAAGUGUAAUACACACCUUUGUGGAAAAUUUUGACACGUUAAAAGACACAGCCUUGUGGAAAAAUAUGACAUUUCAUAAAUUUCCUUUACAAGUACAUUAAAAAUAAAACAAGAAAAAGGUAGCUCAAGUAUAAAUUAGGACAUGCAACCCAUUCAUUUUUUUUUUAUUAAAAGCAACAUGGCAAAGAAAAUAAUGUCUUCUUCAAAUUUAUUAUUUUUCUCUCUAACUCUAUUAAUCAUCACACUCUCCCACACACCAAAUUUUGGUUCUGCUUCUUUGGAGGAAGCCAAUGCUCUUCUUAAAUGGAAAGCAAGCCUUGAAAUCCCCAAAAACUCCUUACUCUCUUCAUGGAUUCCCCUCCCUUUGAAUUCCAGUGCAUCGGUUCCAUGCACUUCUAGGUUUGGAGUAGUUUGCAAUGCUGAUAGGAGCAUUCACAGGUUGAACCUCAGUUCAUCCGACUUAAAAGGUACACUCCACCAAUUUCCAUUCUCUUUGCUACACAAUCUUACGCAUUUUGAUCUCAAUACAAACAACUUCUUUGGCCCCAUCCCACCAGAAAUCAGACUCCUUACCAAUCUUGUAUAUCUUGAUUUUUCAAUGAAUAAGUUUUCUGGUUCCAUUCCUGUUGAACUUGGGAAUUUAAAGUCUCUCACCGAUCUUGCGGUGUACAACAAUCAACUUAGUGGUUGUAUUCCUUCAUCAUUUGGUGAUUUGACAUCUUUAAAUGCCCUUUAUUUGUAUGAAAAUCAUCUCUCUGGUCUCAUUCCUGUUGAACUUGGGAAUUUAAAGUCUCUCACAAAGCUUGAGGUGGGCCACAAUCAACUUAGUGGUUAUAUUCCUUCAUCAUUGGGUGAUUUGACAUCUUUAAAUGUCCUUUAUUUGUUCCAAAAUCAACUCACUGGUCCUAUUCCUGUUGAACUUGGGAAUUUAAAGUCUCUCAUUGAUCUUGAGGUAAGCAACAAUCAACUUAGUGGUUCUAUUCCUUCAUCAUUGGGUAAUUUGACAUCUUUGAAUGUCCUUUAUUUAUAUGAAAAUCAACUCUCUGGUCCCAUUCCAGUUGAACUUGGGAAUUUAAAGUCUCUCACGGAUCUUGCGGUGCACAACAAUCAACUUAGUGGUUCUAUUCCUUCAUCAUUGGGUAAUUUGACAUCUUUGAAUGUCCUUUAUUUAUAUGAAAAUCAACUCUCUGGUCCCAUUCCAGUUGAACUUGGGAAUUUAAAGUCUCUCACGGAUCUUGCGGUGCACAACAAUCAACUUAGUGGUUCUAUUCCUUCAUCAUUGGGUAAUUUGACAUCUUUGAAUGUCCUUUAUUUAUAUGAAAAUCAACUCUCUGGUCCCAUUCCAGUUGAACUUGGGAAUUUAAAGUCUCUCACGGAUCUUGCGGUGCACAACAAUCAACUUAGUGGUUCUAUUCCUUCAUCAUUUGGUGAUUUGACAUCUUUAAAUCACCUUUAUAUGCAUCACAAUCAGCUUGCUGGUCCCAUUCCUAGUGAACUUGCCAAGUUGAAGUAUCUCACUGAUUUUCAGGUGAACAACAAUAAAAUUAGUGGUUAUAUUCCUUCAGAGUUUGGAAAUUUAACUAAAUUACAUAGACUUAAUCUGUCUUCGAAUAAUUUGGUUGGUGAGAUCCCAAACGAGUUUGGGAAGAUGAAAAAUAUGUUGGAAUUGUACUUGGCAGGUAACCAUCUUUCAGGUGUUAUACCUGUAGANUGCAGGUAACCAUCUUUUAGGUGUUAUACCUGUAGAGCUUGGAUUUUGUGAACUCCUUGAAGUACUCGAUCUAUCCAAAAAUAGAUUGAAUGGUUCGAUUCCAACAAGUAUCGGACAAUGGGCACAUAUCCACUUCUUGAAUCUUAGUAAUAACAAGCUCAGUCAAAAAAUUCCAUCGGAGAUUAGUACAUUAGUUCAUCUUACGGAACUUGAUUUAUCUCAUAACUUUCUCACGAAAGAGAUACCAUCUGGAGUUCAAAGCUUGCAGAGUUUGCAAAAAUUGGAUCUUUCUCAUAAUAGACUAUCUGGUUCUAUUCCAGACGCUUUUAAAAGUUUGCCUAGCGGGAUUGAUAUCAACCUUUCUUUCAAUAAUCUCUCAGGUCCAGUCCCCCCUUAUGCCAACUUUGUGAAUGCGUCCAUAGAAAGAAAUCCAGAUUUGUGUGGGAAUAUUACGAGAGUGAAACUUUGUCCAACUCAGAUUAUGAAGAAGAAAAAUGAUCCCUUUCAUCAUAAGCUUAUCCUUGUAAUUAUGAUCCCCCUUAUCGGGGCUAUUUUACUUGGUGUAUUCACGUAUGGUCUCGUUUCUUAUCAACAACAAAAGAAAAAGUCUCCACAAAAACCAUUGGAUGAAGAAAGUGGUGAUUAUUUCUCUACUACAACUUUUGAUGGAAAAGUGGUGUAUGUUGAUAUCUUGAAGGCAACAAAUGACUUCGAUGAAGCCUAUUGCAUUGGGACCGGAGGAUAUGGGACUGUGUACAAAGUCGAGCUACAACCUAACAAUGUGGUAGCUGUCAAGAAACUUCACUCAUCAUCUGAGAAAGUUGAUCAUAAUGGAUUCAUUAAUGAGGUGCGAGCAUUAACGAACAUAAGGCAUCGAAACAUAGUGAAACUCUAUGGAUAUUGCUCCCAUGUACGCCACUCAUUUUUGAUUUACGGUACCUUGAAAACGGGAGCCUUGGAUCAAUCUUAAGAAGUGAUACCUUCAUAAAAGAAUUGAAUUGGUUGAAAAGGGUCAAUAUUGUAAAGGGCGUGGCUAAUGGUUUGGCUUAUAUGCAUCAUGACUGCUCACCACCUAUAAUUCAUAGAGACAUUUCCAUUGCUAACAUCCUUCUUGAUUCUGAUUAUGAGGCACAUAUUUCUGAUUUUGGCACAUCCAAGCUUUUAAAGCUAGACUCAUCCAACUGGACCACAAUUACAGGCACCUAUGGUUAUAUCGCACCAGGUAAAACAAUCUUGUGAUCUUAGUUCUGCAUCUUCUUAAGUUUCAUGAUAUAUAUAAAGAUGUAUAUGAACAUAUAUGUAUCUAUGUUAGAAUCUUUUGGGAUUGUUAUAACUUUUUUUUUGUUUUUGUCUCGUGUUUCUUUGGAUAUAGAACUUGCUUAUACGAUGGUGGCAACCGAGAAAUGUGAUGUGUAUAGCUUUGGAGUUGUUGCACUAGAAGUGGUCAUGGGAAAGCAUCCUGGAGACCUGAUAACAUCUUUACCAACAUUGUCUGUAGAUUAUUUGGUACUAAAAAAUGUGGGAGAUAGUCGGAUACCUCCUCCCUCAUCUCAAGUUGAGAAACAACUUGAGUUGGUUUUGAGUCUCUCAAGAGCAUGUUUGAACUCCAAUCCACAUGAAAGACCAACAAUGCAACAAGUUUCAAAUAUGUUAAUGAAGGAUCUGCUUUGAAUUGACAUCUCUUGCUUGAUAUAGGCUACUUUAAGUGUCCAUUAUUUUUCGCAAGUUCCGUAUACCGUUUCCAUAUGUACUCAUUUGAAUGGCUUUUUGUUAAGAAACUUCACAUUUAUUUGUAGUAGUAAAGAAAUAGGUCAAUGAAGAUUACUAUACAUCUAAAAACACACUACUGGAAACCAAGGAAAAUGUCGUACACACAUGUCACUCGGUUAGUAUUACUAUACAAUUUUAUUCCCGCACAACAUGUGGGUACAUGCCUGGUUAAUAUGAUAUAUGGGCCACAACUCGGGUCGUACAUCAUGUUAAUGGUCAUAUAUGUCAUUCAAAUAUACAAAAUAUAUUUUAGAUUAUAUGAUGAGCCAUUAAAGUUAAUGGUCAUAUAUGUCAAUGGAGAAUUUUAUCAAACACAUGGUAUUAUGGAUGAGACGUGUCUUUAUAAAGAUGGAAAAUUUUAAAUAUUAAGAAAAAAUUUCAAAUAUCAAAGCAAUUUAAAGAGUCUGGAUCAUUUUUGACUCACUCCAUUCCGAGCAUGCUUUUGAGCUAUUGAACUCCAAAUUUAACAGCCUAAAAUAUUUACACAAGAUAACUAACUAAAUAUUUCAACUAAAACAUACAUGAUUUUAGUUAUUGGAGGAUGUGUUAGAAUAUGGUCCAAUUUCCUUCAAACUUUUUAAUUCUUGGAUCAUGAUGGAUGGUUUUGUCGGAGAUUGUUCACUUAGUGUGUGAUGAGUUUGUUUCAGAUUUUAGUUGGAGUAGGUUUGUUCAUCUGAAAAAUAAACUUAAAUUUGUUAAAAGCAAAAUUAAGGAGUGGUAGUUGCAGAUGCGGGCAUCUAAAGAGGAGAUCUGGGUCUUACAUGUUGCCUCACGUUACCAAAUUGCCGACAUCUUCACCAAAAGGUUUUCCACGAGCUCUAUUUUCUGAUUUUAGAUUUGGUCUAAGCAUUUAUGAUCCUCCUCCUUAGACUCCUCCUCCUUAGACUGAGGGGUAUAUUAGAUUAGCAAAUCAAGAUAAAAUUGCAAAAAUGGUCCCUAUGAUUGGCAAAAUUAUAUGGAUUUGGUUCAAAAUGAAAUGUUGAUGCACCGGUGGUCCAAAAUUGGAUCUUUUUAUUGCUUUUGGUCCCUAUACACUUAAAAUGGCCUUAAUGCCCCUUAUAUUUGUUUUCUAUUUUUUUUUUGUAUUUAUAUAAAUGUUUUUAAUUAAUUUAAAAUGAGAAAAAGGCCCACCCACCUCUGUGUGUGUGUGUGUGUUUGUAUUUGAUGAAACUCAAGAACACAAAAACCAUCUCCAUCUAUUGGCACCACCAUCACCAGCGAUUGUCGCCACCAUCACCGCCGAUUGCCGCCACCGUUCGCCACCAUUAACACCGACUGUCACGACUUUCUCUUUCAUCGUCUCUUUACAACUUCCAUCUCCCUUCGCAUGUAGCCUUCCCACUACUGGAUUCAACCUCUAUACUUCUCAAUGCCAAAAAACCUCUCUCUCUCUCUCUCUGUCUCUCUCUCUCUCUCUCUCUCUCUCUCUCUCUCUCUCUCUCUCUCUCUCUCUCUCUCUCUCUCUCUCUCUCUCUCUCUCUCCAGCAAAAAGCUUUGACCCACCAGAAGUCCUUCAUCAAAACCACAAGCACCACAAUCUUCUUCGGCCACUUCUACCUUGUCAGAACACCACCUACACCUCCUUCCGAAGAAAAGCUCUGAAAUCCAUAACUGUAACUCGAAUCUCGUUGGGGGUAUCGUUCACCACCACACCCAUCCAUUAUUCACCACACCAUUUGUUCACUGCUUGCCUCCAUCCAUUUGCAACCACGCCUCUGCUUCUUAGAUCUGAAACCCAGAUAUUGACGAACCUAUCGACGGAUCUAGAGUUUUCAGAUCUAGUUGUGGUCGGAGGAUUGAGAUUUUUCUAGUGCAGGUUUGAACCUUUGAUGGAAUAAGGUUGUGCAGGUGCUGGAUUGGAGCUUAUUGAAAUUAGGGCUCAUAAUCCCCUGUCUCUUGUUUUAAUCGGGAUAAAGAGGGGACGAACAAAGCAGUCGAACGAGACGAUUUGAAAAGAACAUGAGGGCUCGUGUUCAUUGUGAGGAAGAAGGGAAACAAGGCAGAAGUCCUUCCGUUGAGAGGGAUGAAGCAUUUCUUUGAGACCGGUGACCCUUCGUGGGUUUUCCUUCCUUGUCUUCGGCAGCGAUCUGAAAGACGCAAAGCAGCAAAAUCACCGACCUUGGUUCACUCGAAGAAAUAAGAACGGAGGCGACAUCUAACGAUGAAACUCGAAGGGAAGUUGGACAUAAGAAUGGUCCGGUGGAACAAGGCAAGCAGGUGGGGGUUCGGUGGAGUUUACUAGACAGGAGGAGAAAAGAAGUACGAGAGAUGAAGCUGUUGUCUUGGUGGCUCAUCGACGCACCACCACAACCCAUGGUUCAUGGCAGAUAAAGAUUUAGAGAGAGAGAGAGAGAGAAUGUGUGUGGUGAGUUUAUUUUGUUUUUGUUUUUUAUUUUAUUAUAAGAAUAAGAAAAUAAAUAAAAGAAAAUAAAAUAUAGUUAUUUAAGGGGCAUAUUAGUCAUUUUAGAUGGGACGUGGACCAAAAACACAAGAAAAUACAAUUAUAGGGACCAAAACCACAAAAAGUAUCCAAAAUUGGACCAAUGGUACACCAACAUUUCAUUUUGGACCA
rnacentral:lncRNA from 1 species